GUUCAGUUGUUCCAGGUGUUUUCAAAAGUGUCAACAAUCUCAUACUGGCGAGCAGCCAUCUGGAUGUGAACAACAUGGAAAAGCCUUCACUUGCUCCAGUUCCUUUCAAAAACAUGAAAGAACCCAUAAUGCAGAGAAUCCUCAUCAGUGUGAACAAUGUGGAAAAGCCUUUGCUACUUCCUGUCUUCUUCACUCACAUGAACAAAAUCAUACAGAAAAGAAGCCCUAUGAGUGUAAACAAUGUAGUAAAGCCUUCUGUACUUCCUCUUCCCUUCGAAGACAUAAUCUAAUUCAUACUGUAGAGAAGCCCUAUGAAUGUAAACAAUGUGGAAAAGCCUUCACUAGUUCCUUUAAACUUCAUUUACAUAAAUGAACUCAUACAGAGGAAAAGCCCUAUGAAUGUAAGCAGUGUGGGAAAGCCUUUGCUUCAUCCAGUAACCUUCACUCACAUGAGCGAACUCAUACUGGAGAGAAGCCCUAUGAGUGUAAACAAUGUGCAAAAGCCUUCACUACUUCCUCUUCCCUUCAACAACAUAAUCUAAUUCACACUGGAGAGAAGCCCUAUGAAUGUAAACAAUGUGGAAAAGCCUUUGCUAGAUCCAGUCACCUUCACUCACAUGAAGGAACUCAUGUAAGAAAGAAGCUCCGUGAAUGUAAACAAUGUGGAAAAGCCUUUGCUUCAUCCAGUCGCCUUCGCUUACAUGAACAAAUUCAUACAGGAAAGAAGCCCUAUGAAUGUAAGCAGUGUGCAAAAGCCUUCACUACUUCCUCUUCCCUUCAACAACAUAAUCUAAUUCAUACUGGAGAGAAGCCCUAUGAAUGUAAACAGUGUGGGAAAGCCUUCCCCUGGUCCUCUUACCUUCAAAAACAUGAACGAACUCACACUAGAGAGAAGCCCUAUGUAUGUAAGCAGUGUGGGAAAGCCUUCUCCUGGUCCUCUUCCUUUCAAAUACAUAAACAAACUCAUUCUGGAGAGAAGCUCUAUGAAUGUAAACAAUGUGGAAAAGCUUUUGCUUCAUCCAAUCUUCUUCAUUCACAUGAACACACUCAUUCAGGAAGGAAGCCCUAUGAAUGUAAAAAAUGUGGGAAAGCCUUCCCCCAGUCCUCUUCCCUUCAGAGACAUAAUCAAAUUCACACUGGAGAAAAACCCUAUGAAUGUAAACAAUGUGGGAAAGCCUUCUCCUGGUCCUCUUCCCUUCAAAGACAUAAACAAACUCAUUCUGGAGAGAAGCCUUAUGAAUGUAAAAAAAUGUAGAAAAGGCUUCUGUACUUCCUCUUACCUUCAAAUACAUAAAUGAAUUCAUACUGAUGAGAAGCCCGAUGAGUGUAAACAAUAUGGCAAAGCCUUUGCUUCAUCCUGUAACUUCCUGUCCCAUGAAAAUUCUCAUACUGGAGAGAAACCCCAUGUACGUAAAUAUUGUGAAACCUUUAGUUGUUCCACUUAUCUUCAUGUGCCUGAACAGACUCACACUUGAAAGAAGGUCUAUGAAUGUAAAUAAUGUAUUGAAUUUUCUUUUUUCUAAAUACACGAAAAAUCUCAUAGUCGAGAAAAGCCCUAUAAGGGAAAUGGUGUGGUAAAGCCUUCAGAAGUUUGGCUUAUUUUCAAAUACAUGAAAAAACUCAUUUUGGAGAAAAACUUUAUGGAUGUAUGCAAUGUGGGAAGCCUUCACAUAUUCCUGUGGGAUUUAUGUACAUAGAAACAUUUAUACUGAAGAAGAGCUCAGUGAAGGUAAAUAGUGUGGAAAAGCCUGUACUAGUUGUGCUUAUCUUCACGUACAUGAACAAACUCAUACUGGGGAGAGGCCUCAUGACUGUAGACAAUGUGGUACAAUCUUUUCUUAUUCCAAUUCAAUUUUAAAACACCAGAGCACUCAUACUGGAGAGAAUCUGUAUGAAUAGAAACAAUCUGGAAAAGCUUUCGGUACUUCUCACCUUCAAGUGCAUAAAUGCACACAUACUGCCGAGAAACCCUGUAAAUGGAACAACAUGGGAAACGUUUCACUCAUUCUUAUCAGUUUUGAAUUAUACACAAAUUCACACUGCAUUGAAGUCUUAUGAAUGUGAAAAAUAUGCAAAAGCCUUUAGUUGAUCUUAAUACCUUCAAAUAUAAGAACAAACAUACUGGUGAGUGUAAACAAGGUAUAUAUAUAUCCUUCAUUUGUUGCAGUUAUGUACAAAAACAUGAAGUAAUUCAUAUUGGAACAAAGCUAUAUAAAUGUAAACAAUUGGAAACACAUUCCAUUGGAGCAAUUCCCCUAAUAAGCAUUAAAGAAAUGGUAUGUAUAAAUGCACUCGAAUGUAAAAAUUGUAGCAAAUCAUUCAACUUUUCUGGUCAUCUUCAAAUACAUGAAAGGAUGCACACUACAGAAACUCUGAACAUUAAAAGUGUGGUAAAUCAGUGCUCCCAGUUGCUUUCAAAUUGCACUCACAGUGGAAAAGAAACCCUCUAAAUAUCUGAUAUUUACUUCCUAUACAUGAAAGGUAAUGGAGCAAAGAAAUGUAUGACGUGUCCAAUUUUUCCAGGUCCUUUGAAGAACAUAAAACAAUUGCACAGGGUGAGAAUCUGAACCAGAAAUUGAUACAGUUUUCAUACAUUCCAGUUUGAUUUUUGUGUCAGAUUUCCAUUGCAUUGAUGAAAAUACCAGAGAAAAUUCAACUGAAGGGAGGGAAGAUUUAUUUUGGCUCAUGGUUUUAUAACAUUCAGUCCAUCAUGGGCUGACUGCCUUGCUUUAGCCCUGAGGUCAAGCAGAACAUGGGAUGGAAUGGUGAAGCGGGGUAGACCUACUUAUCUCAUGGCAGCUGGGAAGAAGAGAGAGAAUAUGAAUUAAGUAUAUCACUAGUUACCUUGCAGGUUUUAUUGUGCAGACUGUAGUUGUGGUCUUUCUAUUUUCUAUGAUGCUGCUUCCCUUGAUACUGUAGUGUGCACUUGUGAUGGGGUUCACAUCUUUGGUGCCUCAUGGUCCAGGUACUGAUUAGUAAAGGAAGAGAAAACAAUGAUGCUAGCUUCUCAGAAAACACGAGAGAGGCUACUACCUCAAGUGUUCUGAGGGCAAAAUCCCUAGUCAGUGUGUGCGUUUUCCUUAGCACUGCUGUCUACCAGCAUUGCAAAGUUCUCAUGAGAAUAAGGUUUGAUGACCUUGGAGAAAAUGACACUGCAUUUUGUGCAUUUUCUGAAGAUUGAGUUGGUGGCUUCCAUUGUGGGUUAUUAGAUAGCUAAACUCUUUCAUUUAACCACACAGAACAUGACCACUUCUGGGGAUCAGAUGAAGAUAUUUCCUGUGCAACCUGCAAGUUUGCAUGAAUAACUACCCCAAAAUUUUCAGAAGUACUUUAUGUAGAGAGAAGAGAAGAGUAGUUAUGGGUAAUGGGCUGUUCUAGCAACCUAAUAACAAAUGAGGUUGUUAUUAGGGUCUGGAUCACCAAGACCCUUGAAUACUAAGUGCUAUGCCUCCAGCUCAACAAGUGUGAUAAUCCCCUGGUAUCAGGUACAGGAUGUUCUUCUUCAGUUGGUCUUCCCCAGUUCUUCCCCACCCCUCUUUGUUCGUUGUAAAUCUCAAGAAUACACAUAGAAUAUGGACAUAGAAGAAUGAAUAGCAAUCCCAUGAGAUGGCAGGCCAAACUGUCUGUCUCUUGGAGAAGGAGAAGUGUGGGAAGGCAAAAGUAAGAGGCGGCAGAAUGGGAAGUGGAAAGAGAUGGGGAGAGAACACACUGACCAUGUCCCUCCCUGGCCCAGGGUCCAGUACAAUGGGAUGGAGUCUUUAAAGGAUUUGUCUCUUGAGGCCACAUUAGAGUAAAUAUCUCUGUUCUUAUUUUCAUUGAAUCCCCAAAGGAUAAUUGAGAAUAAUAUUGGGAUGAGGUAUUGGAGGAAAAUUGUUGACAUUCUCACAUCUGGUGGGUAGGUGGAGGGAAGGCAUGAAUAUUAUUCACAUAUUUGACCUUGUGUUUUCAGUUUCCUGGUGUGGUCACUGAGGUUAAGGGAAUGGGGAACAGUGUCCCAGUAGGCAAGAUACAUUCAAUUCCUGAAUUCUAACUGCUCGUACUGUGGAAUCUGCAUAAUAUACUAACUUCCUUCCUAUGUAUUCAGAGGCAGAGUACUGUAAUCAGAAAUUGCUUUAGGGGAUAAGCAAUUAGAAAUUUAUGUUGAUUGACUAAAUAUGCUAUAUGGUCACAUGAUUAAUUUAAUCCACAUUUAAGUAAUUUAUUAAUAUGAAAAUGAAUCCUAAAGUUUGAAAGAGCUAACUACUAAAGAAUAAUAAUUCUUAAAUUUACAAAUUUGUAAAUAAGUCUCUGAAAUUUGAGGAUAUUAUAUUCUUAAAACAUGAACAUGUUCAACCAGAGAAAUAAGACAAAGGGAUUACAAUAGAAUUCAAAGAGACAAACCCACACAGAUUGUCAUUUGAUCCUGGAUAAGUGUGCCAAAAAUAUAUUAGAGAAAGAACAGCCUUUAUUUAAAAAAAAAAUGUGCUGGGAAAACUUGUUAUCCAUUUGUAGAAGAAUGAGACUGAAUCCCUGUCCCUCACCUUGCACAAAAUUCAAUUCAUNCUUCAGAGACAUAAUCAAAUUCACACUGGAGAAAAACCCUAUGAAUGUAAACAAUGUGGGAAAGCCUUCUCCUGGUCCUCUUCCCUUCAAAGACAUAAACAAACUCAUUCUGGAGAGAAGCCUUAUGAAUGUAAAAAAAUGUAGAAAAGGCUUCUGUACUUCCUCUUACCUUCAAAUACAUAAAUGAAUUCAUACUGAUGAGAAUCCCGAUGAGUGUAAACAAUAUGGCAAAGCCUUUGCUUCAUCCUGUAACUUCCUGUCCCAUGAAAAUUCUCAUACUGGAGAGAAACCCCAUGUACGUAAAUAUUGUGAAACCUUUAGUUGUUCCACUUAUCUUCAUGUGCCUGAACAGACUCACACUUGAAAGAAGGUCUAUGAAUGUAAAUAAUGUAUUGAAUUUUCUUUUUUCUAAAUACACGAAAAAUCUCAUAGUCGAGAAAAGCCCUAUAAGGGAAAUGGUGUGGUAAAGCCUUCAGAAGUUUGGCUUAUUUUCAAAUACAUGAAAAAACUCAUUUUGGAGAAAAACUUUAUGGAUGUAUGCAAUGUGGGAAGCCUUCACAUAUUCCUGUGGGAUUUAUGUACAUAGAAACAUUUAUACUGAAGAAGAGCUCAGUGAAGGUAAAUAGUGUGGAAAAGCCUGUACUAGUUGUGCUUAUCUUCACGUACAUGAACAAACUCAUACUGGGGAGAGGCCUCAUGACUGUAGACAAUGUGGUACAAUCUUUUCUUAUUCCAAUUCAAUUUUAAAACACCAGAGCACUCAUACUGGAGAGAAUCUGUAUGAAUAGAAACAAUCUGGAAAAGCUUUCGGUACUUCUCACCUUCAAGUGCAUAAAUGCACACAUACUGCCGAGAAACCCUGUAAAUGGAACAACAUGGGAAACGUUUCACUCAUUCUUAUCAGUUUUGAAUUAUACACAAAUUCACACUGCAUUGAAGUCUUAUAAAUGUGAAAAAUAUGCAAAAGCCUUUAGUUGAUCUUAAUACCUUCAAAUAUAAGAACAAACAUACUGGUGAGUGUAAACAAGGUAUAUAUAUAUCCUUCAUUUGUUGCAGUUAUGUACAAAAACAUGAAGUAAUUCAUAUUGGAACAAAGCUAUAUAAAUGUAAACAAUUGGAAACACAUUCCAUUGGAGCAAUUCCCCUAAUAAGCAUUAAAGAAAUGGUAUGUAUAAAUGCACUCGAAUGUAAAAAUUGUAGCAAAUCAUUCAACUUUUCUGGUCAUCUUCAAAUACAUGAAAGGAUGCAGAUUACAGAAACUCUGAACAUUAAAAGUGUGGUAAAUCAGUGCUCCCAGUUGCUUUCAAAUUGCACUCACAGUGGAAAAGAAACCCUCUAAAUAUCUGAUAUUUACUUCCUAUACAUGAAAGGUAAUGGAGCAAAGAAAUGUAUGACGUGUCCAAUUUUUCCAGGUCCUUUGAAGAACAUAAAACAAUUGCACAGGGUGAGAAUCUGAACCAGAAAUUGAUACAGUUUUCAUACAUUCCAGUUUGAUUUUUGUGUCAGAUUUCCAUUGCAUUGAUGAAAAUACCAGAGAAAAUUCAACUGAAGGGAGGGAAGAUUUAUUUUGGCUCAUGGUUUUAUAACAUUCAGUCCAUCAUGGGCUGAUUGCCUUGCUUUAGCCCCGAGGUCAAGCAGAACAUGGGAUGGAAUGGUGAAGCGGGGUAGACCUACUUAUCUCAUGGCAGCUGGGAAGAAGAGAGAGAAUAUGAAUUAAGUAUAUCACUAGUUACCUCGCAGGUUUUAUUGUGCAGACUGUAGUUGUGGUCUUUCUAUUUUCUAUGAUGCUGCUUCCCUUGAUACUGUAGUGUGCACUUGUGAUGGGGUUCACAUCUUUGGUGCCUCAUGGUCCAGGUACUGAUUAGUAAAGGAAGAGAAAACAAUGAUGCUAGCUUCUCAGAAAACACGAGAGAGGCUACUACCUCAAGUGUUCUGAGGGCAAAAUCCCUAGUCAGUGUGUGCGUUUUCCUUAGCACUGCUGUCUACCAGCAUUGCAAAGUUCUCAUGAGAAUAAGGUUUGAUGACCUUGGAGAAAAUGACACUGCAUUUUGUGCAUUUUCUGAAGAUUGAGUUGGUGGCUUCCAUUGUGGGUUAUUGGAUAGCUAAACUCUUUCAUUUAACCACACAGAACAUGACCACUUCUGGGGAUCAGAUGAAGAUAUUUCCUGUGCAACCUGCAAGUUUGCAUGAAUAACUACCCCAAAAUUUUCAGAAGUACUUUAUGUAGAGAGAAGAGAAGAGUAGUUAUGGGUAAUGGGAUGUUCUAGCAACCUAAUAACAAAUGAGGUUGUUAUUAGGGUCUGGAUCACCAAGACCCUUGAAUACUAAGUGCUAUGCCUCCAGCUCAACAAGUGGGAUAAUCCCCUGGUAUCAGGUACAGGAUGUUCUUCUUCAGUUGGUCUUCCCCAGUUCUUCCCCACCCCUCUUUGUUCGUUGUAAAUCUCAAGAAUACACAUAGAAUAUGGACAUAGAAGAAUGAAUAGCAAUCCCAUGAGAUGGCAGGCCAAACUGUCUAUCUCUUGGAGAAGGAGAAGUGUGGGAAGGCAAAAGUAAGAGGCGGCAGAAUGGGAAGUGGAAAGAGAUGGGGAGAGAACACACUGACCAUGUCCCUCCCUGGCCCAGGGUCCAGUACAAUGGGAUGGAGUCUUUAAAGGAUUUGUCUCUUGAGGCCACAUUAGAGUAAAUGUCUCUGUUCUUAUUUUCAUUGAAUCCCCAAAGGAUAAUUGAGAAUAAUAUUGGGAUGAGGUAUUGGAGGAAAAUUGUUGACAUUCUCACAUCUGGUGGGUAGGUGGAGGGAAGGCAUGAAUAUUAUUCACAUAUUUGACCUUGUGUUUUCAGUUUCCUGGUGUGGUCACUGAGGUUAAGGGAAUGGGGAACAGUGUCCCAGUAGGCAAGAUACAUUCAAUUCCUGAAUUCUAACUGCUCGUACUGUGGAAUCUGCAUAAUAUACUAACUUCCUUCCUAUGUAUUCAGAGGCAGAGUACUGUAAUCAGAAAUUGCUUUAGGGGAUAAGCAAUUAGAAAUUUAUGUUGAUUGACUAAAUAUGCUAUAUGGUCACAUGAUUAAUUUAAUCCACAUUUAAGUAAUUUAUUAAUAUGAAAAUGAAUCCUAAAGUUUGAAAGAGCUAACUACUAAAGAAUAAUAAUUCUUAAAUUUACAAAUUUGUAAAUAAGUCUCUGAAAUUUGAGGAUAUUAUAUUCUUAAAACAUGAACAUGUUCAACCAGAGAAAUAAGACAAAGGGAUUACAAUAGAAUUCAAAGAGACAAACCCACACAGAUUGUCAUUUGAUCCUGGAUAAGUGUGCCAAAAAUAUAUUAGAGAAAGAACAGCCUUUAUUUAAAAAAAAAAACAAAAUGUGCUGGGAAAACUUGUUAUCCAUUUGUAGAAGAAUGAGACUGAGUCUCUGUCCCUCACCUUGCACAAAAUUCAAUUCAUAGAUCAAAGGGCUAUGAAUUACAUGAUAAGCUAUGAAUUCCUAGGAGAAAAAGUCAACACUGCAACAUGGUUGCAAGCAACAAUUUUCUCAGUAGAAUUCCUGAAAGUUGAGAAGUAACUUGAAGAAUUAAUAAAUGGGAUGACAUCAAAUUCAGAAUUUUCUGCAAGACAAAGCAAACAAAAAUGUGGAUAACCCAUAGGAGGAGAAUAAAUUUUCUGAGAGAAAAGUAGUAUCCAGUAUGCAUAAAGAACUCCAGCAGGGCUGGGUAUGUGGCUCAAGCGGUAGCACGCUUGCCUGGCAUGCGUGGGGUGCUGGGUUCAAUCCUCAGCACCACAUAAAAUAAAGAUGUUGUGUCCACUGAGAAACUGAAAAAUAAAUAUUAAAAAUUAAAAAAAAAAGAACUCCAGCAUCUUAUAAUACAAAAUAACCCAGUUAAUAAAGGAGCAAAUUAAGUAAACACAUAUUAAAGAAGAAAUACAUUUGACCAUAUAUAUGUGUGUGCGUAUAUAUAUAUAUAUAUAUAUAUAUAUAUAUAUAUACACACACACACACACACAUACAUAUAUAAUGAGAAAAAAUAUAUGUAUACAGAUAUAUAAUACAUAUAUAUAUAUAUAUAUAUAUAUAUAUAUAUAUAUAUAUAAAAUGAUAAAAAAUUUACCAUCUUUAGGAAAUAGGGAAAUGAAAAUCAAAACUAUACUACAUUUCAUCUCACUUUGUUUAGAAUAGCAGUCAUUUGAAUACAAACAAUAAUAAAUACUGGAGAUAUUGUGGAAUAAAAUUGAUACAUUCACACCCUUGGAGGGAUUGUAACUGUGGAAAUCAGUAGGAAGUUCCUCAAAACACUAGGAAUGAAAAACCACACAAUACAGCUAUAGCAUCACUUGGUAUUUAUCAAUCAGAGGGAGAUCAGUAGAGGAAGGGACCAGGCACAAGGAGGAGGGAAGGAUAAGGAAAAAGAAGAGAUGCAGGGAGGGUAAUGGCAAAGUUAUAGUGUUCUACUUUGUGCAUGUGUGACUGCCUUAUAACAUCACAGCAUUACGUGUAAGUAUCAUGCACUAAGGAAAAUGCAGGAAAAAAGAAAGGGUACAUUCCAGCUAAUCUGCAAUCCCAGUGUCUGAAGUUCUCUGCAUCCUAUUCCUCCCCUCCUGUUGGAGGCAACCCCAAGGAGGAGUUUCCAUCUCAGGGCCAGUGCCAACUGGGAAUCACAGCAUACGCAAGAAGGCAAGUAGAGAGUGAAGGUUGCAGGUUCCCUCUGGAGUACCUUCAUCCCCAAAUUUGCAAACAGUAGCCAGCUCCAGGAGAGUUGCUCCCUAUAUGCAUAUCCUGACCUAUGCUGGGUUAUAAUGUCCAUCGGCUUCGCUGCUGGACUGUGGCAACUCAUGCUUGUGCUGUUAUCAUCCAGGCAGGUGUCCCAAGCCAGUCCUCACUACAUAGGGCUCCUCAUUGUUUCACAAGAAAAAUAUUGAGAAAGUGGUGACAUAAAAUGACAACGUAGCUUUUAGGAAAAAAAGAAAUUAUUUUAUUCUGAGGCAAACUAAGAAAUUAGUUCACUAGUUUUAUCAUGGCCUUGAUAAUACACAGAUUCAUGUUACUGUUCAUAACAUGUUCCACCAUGGAAGUGAUUUGAUGAACUUUUAUACCCAUGGAACAAAGACCAUGAAUUUGUAGGUUUACCAAAUUCUUCACUGGAAUCCUUAUGUAGGCAGGCAAGGAGACCUGCUUUAUAGUUUUCAGAAAUUAUCUUGUAGAAUUUGUAGUUUUAAGAUUGAUGUAGGGGAGAGGUUGGCUAAGCUUAGUGAUAAUUUUCAUAAUAUCACAAGGAUGUUCGAUGAGAUAAAAUAGUUGAAAAUACACAGUUUUUUGUCGCGACCCCUUGCCCGCAAGGAAGACGCAACUCAGGAAUCUUCUUUCAGCAGUUUAUUCAGGCCCUUGAUAUUUCUUCUUCUCUCUCUCUGAUGCCCCUCCCAGCCUUAAUAAAGCAUCCCAAGCCCCAAUGCAAAGCUGCCGCGUGGAACUUUCUCACAGGGUGGUGAAAAAUCAUGUGCCAACUUUCCCAGAUAAGAAGUUGUUUGUCACAGACCACAGCGGAGCCAGCGUCAUCUUGUAAUGGCGACCAUAAUCUGCAGAAACGGCAGAAGCGGCUCACCACAGUUUUGUUUUUUUUUUUUUUGUAACGGGGAUUGAGUUCAGGGGCACCUGACCACUGAGCCACAUCCCCAGGCCUAUUUUAUAUUUUAUUUAGAGGAAGGGUCACACUGAGUUGCUUAGCAACUCGCUUUUUGCUCAGGCUCAUUUUGAACUCAUGAUCCUCUUGUCUCAGCCACCUAAACUUGUGCCACCAUCCCUGGCAAAUAGCUUUUAAAGGCAUGAGAUUGCCCAAAAUACUAUGGUUCUUGUCAUGUGCAAUUUUCCUCCCUCCACAGUCAUGAGGGUCUGCUUUAUCAAGAUCUUAUACUGUGCAGGAUCUCCAAUACAUAUGCCGCUUCAGAGAAGUUCAGCUUCACAGUGGACCUUUUGGGCUAAGUACCACAGUGUGCAUACAGAGCUUGAAAGUCUCAAUCAUUGCAUUUGAUAGAGAGUCUGAGAGGAAGGAAUGUAGUCUUCUAGAAAAAGAAAUAGUUCUAAAGCCUUCAAGGAAGCAAUCCCUGCAUGAUGUUAGUGAUACUAGCCUUGUGAGCUUGUUCUCAGCUUUAGUCAUUUCCAUCCUCUGCAUCUGACAGCAUUUCCCUCCAACAUAAAAUAGGUAUAAUAUAUCCAAAGUACACAUGAUCAAGAUUAUACUGUGAAGAAAAUGUGGUGAAUGAAUGGUUAGGCAUCCAAACCAACCCCAAACCUCUUUGUGCAUCAUCAUACUCUGAUGAGACUGACAGUAUGUUUUCCCCCUGUAUGCACAGUUAUCUGUACUUUGUGAAUUACUUCACUUGAUGUUUGGAGUAUUUAAUUCAUUAUCAGUUUGACUUUUUUCUCCUGGCCAAUUUGAGUCCAUGGCCAUAGAAUCGUGUUCAGUACCUGGUUCUAAGAAAGGUUUAUCUUUAAUGUCCAAAUUAUUGUAACUCUUAUUCCCUCUAUAUGUACAGUUUUUAUGAGAUUCAAAAUCUUUGGGAAUCCCAUAUGACAGUCAACAGAGUAGAAGUGACAGUGAGGUGGUAGAAAUCCAUAUGUCAAAGUGCUCCCAAGCAUUUUCUGCAGCUGAUGAUAGUAUUUACAUCAUCUGGAAUUUGGGGUUCAAAAAAUUGUUCCUAUAAACAGUAGUUCACUUGGGUGAUUAAUAAGGUUUGGUGCAGACUUUGGGAUGUGUACCACAAUGACAAGGAGUGGAUGUCCACUCAGGUUUGUUGCACUGGGAAACAGAUUCAGCUGCAAUAAGUUGACAAAAUUAUAUUUGUCAUAUGAAAUUUGUCAUAACUUACUGUCUCCAGAUAUAAUGAUAAUGUUAUGCAGUUGAAUAGACCCACAUUAGCAUGCUUUCUUUUUUCCUUUGCAUAGGAAGAAAGUUUGUUUUGGCUGGAAAGUUUUGGUAUGAUAUGAUUCUAUACCUAGAAGACCCUAAAAGUUCCACUAGAAUACUUCUAGAACUAGUAAAUGAGUUCAUCAAAGUAGCAGGAUAUAAAAAUCAACACCCAUAAAUCAAAUGCAUUUUUGUAUAAAAGUGACAAAUUCUCNNNNNNNNNNNNNNNNNNNNNNNNNNNNNNNNNNNNNNNNNNNNNNNNNNNNNNNNNNNNNNNNNNNNNNNNNNNNNNNNNNNNNNNNNNNNNNNNNNNNNNNNNNNNNNNNNNNNNNNNNNNNNNNNNNNNNNNNNNNNNNNNNNNNNNNNNNNNNNNNNNNNNNNNNNNNNNNNNNNNNNNNNNNNNNNNNNNNNNNNNNNNNNNNNNNNNNNNNNNNNNNNNNNNNNNNNNNNNNNNNNNNNNNNNNNNNNNNNNNNNNNNNNNNNNNNNNNNNNNNNNNNNNNNNNNNNNNNNNNNNNNNNNNNNNNNNNNNNNNNNNNNNNNNNNNNNNNNNNNNNNNNNNNNNNNNNNNNNNNNNNNNNNNNNNNNNNNNNNNNNNNNNNNNNNNNNNNNNNNNNNNNNNNNNNNNNNNNNNNNNNNNNNNNNNNNNNNNNNNNNNNNNNNNNNNNNNNNNNNNNNNNNNNNNNNNNNNNNNNNNNNNNNNNNNNNNNNNNNNNNNNNNNNNNNNNNNNNNNNNNNNNNNNNNNNNNNNNNNNNNNNNNNNNNNNNNNNNNNNNNNNNNNNNNNNNNNNNNNNNNNNNNNNNNNNNNNNNNNNNNNNNNNNNNNNNNNNNNNNNNNNNNNNNNNNNNNNNNNNNNNNNNNNNNNNNNNNNNNNNNNNNNNNNNNNNNNNNNNNNNNNNNNNNNNNNNNNNNNNNNNNNNNNNNNNNNNNNNNNNNNNNNNNNNNNNNNNNNNNNNNNNNNNNNNNNNNNNNNNNNNNNNNNNNNNNNNNNNNNNNNNNNNNNNNNNNNNNNNNNNNNNNNNNNNNNNNNNNNNNNNNNNNNNNNNNNNNNNNNNNNNNNNNNNNNNNNNNNNNNNNNNNNNNNNNNNNNNNNNNNNNNNNNNNNNNNNNNNNNNNNNNNNNNNNNNNNNNNNNNNNNNNNNNNNNNNNNNNNNNNNNNNNNNNNNNNNNNNNNNNNNNNNNNNNNNNNNNNNNNNNNNNNNNNNNNNNNNNNNNNNNNNNNNNNNNNNNNNNNNNNNNNNAGUCUCUAGGGUAUAUAAAGAACUCAAAAAGGUAAGCACCAAAAAAACAAGAAACCCAAUCAAUAAAUGGGCCAAGGACCUGAACAGACACUUCUCAGAAGAUGAUAUACACUCAAUCAACAAAUAUAUGAAAAAAAUGUUCAUUAUCACUAGCAAUGAGAGAAAUGCAAAUCAAAACCACUCUAAGAUAUCAUCUCACUCCAGUCAGAAUGGCGCCUGUUAUGAAUACAAACAACAAUAAGUGUUGACGAGGAUAUGGGGAAAAAGGCACACUCAUACAUUGCUGGUGGGGCUGCAAAUAUGGAAAACAGUAUGGAGAUUUCUUGGAAAAUUGGGAAUGGAACCACCAUUUGACCUGGCUGUCCCUCUCCUUGGCCUAUACCCAAGGGACUUAAAAACAGCAUACUACAGGGACACUGUCACAUCAAUGUUUACAGCAGCACAAUUCACAAUAGCUAAACUGUGGAACCAACUUAGAUGCCCUUCAAUAGAUGAAUAGAUUUUUUUAAAAUGUGGCAUAUAUACACAAUGGAACAUUACUCAGCAAUAAAAGAGAAUAAUAUCAUGGCAUUUGAAGGUAAAUGGAUGAAGUUAGAGAAGAUAAUGCUAAGUGAAGUUAGCCAAUCCCCCCCAAAAAAACAAAUGCUGAAUGUUUUCUCUGAUGUAAGGAGGCUGACUCAGUGGGGUAGGGAGGGGGAGCAUGGGAGGAACAGAUGAACUCUAGAUAGGGCAGAGGGUUGGGUGGGGAAGGGAAGAGGGACAUGGGGUUAGAAAUGAUGGUAGAAUGUGAUGGACAUUAUUAUCCAAACUACAUGUAUAAAGACAUAAAUUGGUGUGAAUAUACUUUGUAUACAACCAGAGUUGAAAAAUUUUGCUGUGUAUGUGUAAUAAGAAUUGUAAUGCAUUCCGCUGUCAUAUAUAAAUUAAAAAAUUAACUAAAAAAAGAAAACUCUGUAGAAGAACAGACAAAGGAGAAGACAAUCAUAUAUUAGCAUUAGAAAACAAAUUUGCCCUUUUAAAUUAGACUCCAUAUAUAAGAGAGUUUAUGUUACAUUUUUCUUUGGGUUAUUUCACUUGGCAUAGAUCUUUUUAUUUUUUAUUUAUUUUUUUAUUUUUUUUUGCUUUUUGAGAGACCUUUAUUUAUUUUUUUAUUUAUAUGUGGUGCUAAGAAUCGAACCCAGUGCUUCACACAUGACAAGCAAGUGUGCUACCACUAAGCAACAGCCACAGCCCUUGGCAUAGAUCUUCAAGUUUAAUCCACAUCAUCACAAAUGACAGUAUCAUCUUUUCAAAACCUAAACAAUUCACACAGACAUACCUACAAUUUUUUUAAUCCAGUCUUACUUCACUGUAUAUUGUGUUUGUUUCUACAUAUUAGCUCCUGUUAGGGAAGCCGAAAUACGUAUUGGAGUGCAGAUAUGCCCACAAGGGCUGUUUCAUGUCCUUAAUAUACAUAUCUGGAAGAGAAAUUGUGAAGUCAUUGAAUACCUCUACUUUCAUUUCAUUUGAGGAACCUGCACAGUCUUUUCCAUGGUGUUUGUACCAAUUUAUAUCCCCACCAAUAUUUUAUAUGUGCCUCCUUUUCUCCAUAUUCUGGGCAAACUAUGGUAACACCUAUAAAUUCUGAGAAAAUAUUUGCUAAAAUAUUAAUGUGCCUAUGUGUACAUGGAACUCAUGCAAGUCAAUAUAGAAAAAAGAAGAACAUCAAAUAACCUGAUUGAUAUGGGCCAGAAACUGAAUAGACAUUUUUUUAAAAAAGACAUAAAAUGGCUAACAGGCACUCAGCAUUACUGAUCACCAGGAAUUGUAAAUAAAAACCCUAAUUUGGAUCCUGUACCUCAUUUAUUUCACAUAAUAAAAAUAAGUACCAACUACAGCAGGUAAUUUCUAUUCCACCACAGAAAACCCUGAGAUGUCAUGCAUGGGCUGCCCAAACUCUCUUUCAGCAAACAUUAUUCUUUCUCAACUGCCAAGUCUAGAAAACUGGAAUACAACUUAGAAAUACAUCCCCAGAUGGGCAAGUGAUUAAAGUAAACCCAAUAAGAAGUACAAUAUAGGGCUGGGGCUAUAGCUUAGUGGUAGAGUACUUGUCUCGCACAUGUAAGGCACUAGGUUCAAUCCUCAGCACCAUAUAAAAAUAAAUAAAUAAAGGUAUUAAAUCCAUCUACUACUAGAAAAAUAAAAAAGAAGUACAAUAUAUUAAUAAACCUAUAGGUAAAGAAUUAGAAUAUAUGAAUGGAAGUAUCACAAUGACAUUCAUUGGAGACAUUCUCAUAAAGAAAAGCUCAGACCCCAGUGAAUUGUACUAUAAUUGAAUAAAUUGAUACCAAUGCUUCAAUGUUACCUCCAAAAAAUACAGAAGACAAUAAAAUAUUGAGUACUGUGGCUGGGGUGGACUUUUCGGAGAUGUUGGUUAAAUCAUAGAAAACUUCAGUUAGAUGGGGAAAUUCAAAAGAUCUAUUGAACAAUGUGGUGAUGACAGGUGAUAAGGAUGCAAUUUUUUUUUUCUUGAAAAUCACCCAGAGAGUAGAUUUUAGUGUUCUUAGCACAGAAUUAACUAUGUGAAGUAAUGUAUGAUUAAUAAGAUUGUUUUAGCAAUAUUAUAAUAUGAUGGUAUUAUGUUUCAUCAUAUUUUAUAUUGAAAAUACACAUUUUUGCAUUCAAUAAUUUUUUUAAUGGAAGAGAAAAUUUACAUAUGUAUUGUUCGCAUAAACUACUACCCAGAUACCAUGCAAUAAUCUUUCUUAAAGAAAGCUAUAAGCCUUUAUCUUUUAUAAAUGUAGACAUAUAUCUUCAAAAGUACGGGCAAGUUGAAUGAAGACAUAAUAACUACAAGAAACCAAGCAAGAUUAUCUCAUAAACACAAAUGUGAUUUAGAGAAUAAAAGCAAUAUAACAAACUACCAUAAUGCCAUAAUGUAAAACAAUUAAUUUGACAGAGACUAACUGGAUUUGUCUAAAUGUAGACCAAUCCACGGUUCCUCCAGGAUAAAAUCUGUUGCACUUGAGAGCUACAGGAGGGCUUCUUAGACAAGCUAAAAGGCAUCCAUAGAAUCAAAUAGGUGACAGUGCCACCGAAGGUAAAAGCUGGGUGUUUAUCUCAGGGAAUGAUGAGACAAAAGAGUGCUGACUUUGCUGUUUGUAUUCAUUAUUUAACUGGAAGUUUGGAUGUUGAACAAUGAAUAGAAAUUAUAUUGAAAGCAUAUGUAAAAAUUUCUAAGGCAUUCUUACACACGUGAGCACACAACACUAGAUUCAAUCAGCUCAGCAAAGCUGCAAUUGACAAGACAAACACAAAAAUAGAAGCUUUUUAUAAUGGAAACAGUCUGAAAAAUGAAAAUAAGAAGCAAUUCUAUUCAAAUUUGUACAAAAAAAUACAUAGAAAUAAAUUUUACAACAGAGUGUUAAAACAGAAAGUUGAAAGUAAUCAAAGAAGAGUUAAAUAAAUGGAAAGGUAGCUAAUAUUCAAGCACAAAAAGUUCAACACUCUUAAGAUCACAUUUUCCUUAUUUAUUGCAUCCAAUAAAAUACAACAAAUAUGACAGUGUAUCAUUGUGCAUCCCCAUUCGAGCCGGGGAUAUAGCUCAGCUGGUAGAGGGCUUGUUAUAACACCCUGGGUUCAAUCCCCAGCACCACCAAAAAAAAAAAAAAAGGUCCACGUGCUUGUCUUCUUACUAGAUCCCUCCAUCUCCAUGAGCACAAAGACUAAGUUGCUGAAGGAGAUACCAUGGGGAGGAGAACCAAGGUGCCCCCUCAACAGCCAGUUCUCCCCCAGAAGCAGAGCUGCCUGGUCAACACCUAGAACAGAGGUCUGAGUGGGCCCCACUGCACCAAGAUUGCUGACCAGCCCACUCAUGAGCUGGUAAGUUGUGGAGUGAUUAGCAGCCUGACACAUAGACCUAGUGCAGAUGGGAGGCCAGGGUUCAACAACACAUCCAUUGGGAGUUACCUUGUUGUAGGGGACAGAUGAGGCAAGGCACCAAAGAUAGCAGGUAACAGUUUUAUUUGGCUGCAGCCAGGUUCAGAGGGCAGCUUUUGCUGUAAUCAAUCAAUCCACAUGAACCCUGAGUUCAGGAAGUUUCAGAGUUUAAUACCCAGCAUGUAAGGAGAGGGGCUCAGAAGCUCACAGUCUGCAGAAGUUCACAUAAAAGCAGCUUUUUCUUUCACUGUUGUAGGCAAGUUAACCUUUCAAGGACAAUACCUGAGAAGGGGGAAGCUUCUUCUCUCCUUUCUUUCCUCCUCCUGUCUGCUGUUACCAUGGAGCCCAACUGGUAACUUUCUUAUCUUAGAAAUGUAAACAUCUCUGUGAAGCCCAGCUCAAGGCCAGAGGCACAUUUCUACAAACUACUAUACUGGUUGUUUGUGAAAAACUAGUAAGGGGUGUCUAGCACCUGGAGUGCUGGUAUCUUCUGGGCCAGUGGCCAAGUAAAUCAGGGCAACACGAAAAUAGGAAGUUUAUCUACAUUGGACUCUUGCAGAGACUCUUUUGCUGACAGUACUAAAAUCAGCCAUGGUGAAGAUUUCUGGAAAGGCCCAGUUAAGACUUUUCUGUGGAGAAAGGAGGUGCUACUACAGUAUUAUAAAGACAAGUAGUUAAUUAAUAGUGACACCUCAUUAUACUGUUUGCAGAGUAAAACAAUGAUAUUUUACAUAUACUGCAUUAAAGACAUCACAAUCAACCUCACCUGUGACUUUCUCUCUUAUCUUUUGAAUCAUCUUGUUUUUGCUGGGCUGGAACCCAGGGCCUCAAUUUGCCAGAAAAGAACUGUAUGGCUGAGCUGUGCCGGGUUGUUUCACCUGUUUCUUUGAACGUUUUCAUGUGGCCUUCAGAAAAGUCAAAGGUACUUACUGAGCACUUCAUUUCAGUUGAACCGGCCUCCUUUCCAGGGCUCAGGCCCACCCUGAACCCAGGGCAGGAAGGUCAUGUGACUUAAGGUCUUAACAUGCUCCUCUGUGGCUCCCUGUGCACAGCACGGAAUUCUAUACACCUACCUCCCCGGGUUACCCGCGGGUCCGGCCCCAGCCCAGGAGGAGGUGCUGCCUGAAAAAGGGCUGGGCCUAUUUCAUCAGGGAUUGGUUACUUCAGCUGUCCCUCAGGCGGGGGCGGAGCCUGAAGGCUGUUUAUUAGGCGGCGCUAUCCAAUCAGGCACGCAGCCGGGGCAGGGGCGGGCUUCCGCAGACUCGUUCUUUCCUUGCUGGGCCGCCCGAGUCUUUUUUCCUCAGGUCGCGGGUCUUGGGCACGGAUUCUGGGCGACUCUGCGUAGCCAGAGAGCCCCAUGAGCUCGGGUGGCCAAAGUUCCUUCGUGAGGACGGCGGGUGACCCCGGAGGCCCAAACGGAGAGUGUGCGGCCAGGGCUGGCGGGACCCGGCGGGCGGGUGAGCGUCGGAGCGGGUUGAGUCCCGGCCGGCGGGUGGCCCUGGGGCCUGUCCCCUGGUCCCGCCGGGUUGGCUGGGAGGAGGGUUCCCGGUCAGCUGCAGAGCGUGUUAACGAGCCCUCUCGGAUGGCCCUGGACCCCGGACCCUGGGUCCCUCGGGACGGACUGGGAACGGGUCCCCGGGGUUCGCUGCGGAGGAUGGCAUUGUCCGCGCUGGCCUGUGGCCCUGGGCUCUUUCCCCUGGUCCCGCGGGGAGUGCUGGCCAGCGGGUCCCCCAGUCAGCUGCAGACCGUGGCCUCAGUGGCCAGGACCCUCAUGUGCCUCCUGGUGGGUGCUUGGGUGAGAGUGAGAACCAGGGUCCCGCAGGAGGGAACAUUCUCCGCUGGGGAGAGAAGAGCACAGUAACCCUCCAGAACCAAAUGUCCAGCUGCUCAGGUUCCCUCAUUCCUAGGGAGCCACCUGGGCUGCAUCCACUGUGAGAGUGUCCCUGGGCUUGGGGAUGUGUUUAGCCACCAAGCGGGGUUCCUGGAGAACUGGGGGUGACAGUCUGCUUCUCUGCGCAGGUGCUUGUUGUUUCCUUUAUCACAUCUCGCUGUCAAGAAAUUCCAGUUUGUCCCCAAGUAUGUAAGAAGCUCAUUCCUUGAUUGAAUUCCUUGAUUUUAUGUUAUUGGUUAACGUUUAAUUGGAUACAGUAAUGUGAUGUAAAGAAGAAGAGAGUUCUUGAAAUAAUUUUUUUAAUGCUCAGUUUAGUGGGAAUCUAAACACCUGUAUAACCUGCCCAAAGAGAGGUGAAUGGGCCCUGGUCAGGCUGCCUCUCCCUGCUCUCCCCUACCUGUGCCUGGAGGGGAGCACAGUUCCAUUUUUUUUCUGUCAUUCCUUGUACUUGAGCCAUCUGUGAGGAGGCAGAAUUUUAGUUGGUGCUUCUUAUUUGAGUUUUCAAUAACUUAAUGUUGAAAGCACAAAAUGAGGGGUGCAGACCUCAAAGGUUCAGGAAGCUGCUUAUUUCUCAUCAGGACCUCAGACACCUGGGGACUUAUUUUCUGAAUAUGUGAAUGGCCAUCAUUUACAGAGGGGAUUUUGGUUUUAUAGGGUACAGUUGUGCUGAUUUCACCAUUGGAACUUGUGAGUGUGCUGUUUGGACAGUCAGGGGUAGUUAUGUAGGUGAAAACUUUUAACUCAGGAGGGCAGCUGUAAAAGGUUGAGACUCAUUGCUACUAAGAGAGAGAGGAGUCCAGAUUGUGAAGGAUGGGUAUUUCUUUUUCUGGAAUUAUUGUCUCCCAGAGAUUCAGUAUUUCUCUCCUUCCUUUGGGGGCCCAUGUUAUCAGGAAAGGAUUUACUGGAAGGUUAAUGGUGGGCUAGUUUCCCCUCACUCCUACCAAGCUGCCUUGUGUCUCCACUUUUCUUUGAGGGCUGUUUUGUAGGAUUAUUAUUUUCCAUAACUCUUCAAAUGUUCCGAUUAGUACUCUAUCACUGUGGUGCUGUAAUGUGAAUUGUUGGUUCCUCUGCCUCAGUUGCUUAGACUCGUAUUACUAUCUGUAGGCCUCCUGGUUCCCUUCCCUAUUCCUGCUUCAGGAACACCACUUGUUUCUAGUUUAAUUUUUUAAUUUUACAUUCUUGACCAUUUCAUUCUCUUUUAAAAUUUGGUCCUCAAGUGCCCACACUUCAUAAGUUUUGUACAUGUUGGGAAAUCAUUGUUAGGUUAUAGAUUGUGGAUUAAUUCAAAUUACUAGAAAAUUUCAGUGCAGUGUAUAUACACAUGUGUAUUCAUCCCUUAUACUAUCUAUCCUUGUUUACUUCCAUGUGGCUAUAUAUUGCUUUUUGCUGAAUACCAUUUAUGAGAACGUUUUUCUCUGUAUUUCCAUGUUCCUCUGGGCACAGAGUCACAAGCAUUUGUGAGAAAUUACAUAUCUGGUGUCCAAGGCAGCCAACCCUGAGCUCAGAGAACCCAUAUUCAUUGAAAAGGUGUUCAGUCAUUUUCUCAUAUUUAAUUCAUUUGUGAAGUUAUUUUUUGUUUUGUCUUAACAUACCCUAUACAUGAAUUCUUUUUAUUUUAUUUUUUUUGUAAAGAGUGCAGACAUUUCCUCUGAGGGAGGGCAGCCUUCUUUGACCCUAUCGCAGUUUGAUGGAGGAGUCUCUUUUUUAAUAGAUGUGAGUUUAUCACUUUCUUCCUUUGGAAUUUUUUUUAUCUUCUCACAUAAGAAAACCUAUAGGAUGGGGACAUGUUGGGCUCCCAGAGGUAAAUCCUUAGGUGGACCCUCCUGGCCAUGGAGUUCCAACCCCUCUGUGGUACAUUUCAGCAGUCAAAGUCUGGCGCCCAAAUAAGUUUUGUAAGUUUGGAAAUAUGUAUAUACCUCUGCAAGUGGGUUUUCAUUGAACUGUGGAUGAAGCAGGCACCGUUCCUCAACUAGUUCAUGUGGUUGCUUUUCCUCUUAAAUUAUUUUUAUUGCCAUAUAAUUAAGUUUUCAUGUAUUUAAUAACUAUAUUCCUUUGUUGUCUUUUCAUUUUCUUGUCUGGAAAUGAGUUGACUGAGAGUUAAAGUGUGAGGAGGCCUUGGCAUACAGCCCCGACCUCUUCCCCAAGAUGGAUGCCUGUAUCCCUCCUUUCCAGUCUAUUGUGACCGGGCACCCACCUUCUCUGAGCUCAGGGUUGGCAGCCUUGGACACCAAAUAUGUAAUUUCUCACAAGUGCUUGUGACUCUGUGCCCAAAGGAACAGGAAGACAACAGGGCCUGCUUGAGAAAGGGCUUAAGUACCUGAGGAGAAAUGUCCCCCUGGUGGGGCAGGUCCCUUGCAGGGAGAAAGUCUUGCCUGAAAAGGGCUUUUGCGUACUACCUGUCCUUCUGGCCUCAUUUGUCCGAGAGUCUGAUUUAUCUCCUGUCACUCAGAGUCCCAGGGUGUACAUAUGUGGCUGGGGUGAGAGAAGGGUCUUGUGGAGUCCUGGCCAGUGAGGAGGCAGCUGGUGGGAGGGGGUGGCCUUCCACAGUCUAACAGGACUUUCUCUCUCACCCUAUACAGCUCAGAAUCCAUCUCCAGGACUGUGUCUUCUCUGCUGUGUGAGGCCCAAGUGGCUCUGGCUCAGGUCUAUCUCUUUUUGACCUGCAGGUGCUAUGAGGUCCACAGGAAGGAUGUCAGGACUCCCCAGAAGGCAGGAAAUGGUGAGUGUGUGGGGCCAGGAGUGCUCAGGGAAGUGGGAUGGUUAGAACUGGUGGGAACCAGCUGUGGCUGGUCUCUGGCCUCCUACUGUCAGUUCCAGAGUUCAGCCAACCCAGACCUGAGUCAUGGUGUGGGCUGGUGCAGGUAACAGAAUCCUCUCUGCACAUCUGGACCCCAGCCCUAGGCCCUCAGUGUGCAGUGAAGGCAGAGGGCCUCAGGGAUCCUGCCUCAGGUGUGGGGCUCCUUCCUAUGUAGAGGAUUCUGGUCUGAGGGGGUCCAUGUCCCUCCUUCUUCUGAAGAGUCAUCUGGUUUUCCCCCACCUAGCCAUUGUUAGGGCGCUCAUUAGAUCCUUUAAAUUUGAGCUCUCUUCACAUUUUCAGACUUUGACUCCCCACUCAAGUUCCCAGAAUUCUCCCCUCUUUGCUCCUUAUACUGCAUUCAGUGGGCACAGCCUCGUAGAUUUGUUUCUGUUUCUGAAUUUGUCAUGUAGUGAGAGCAGAAAAGAGUUACCUGGAACUCCACUGUUAAAACUCUGUUCCUCUCUUCCUUCCUUUACCUUCCCUAGGCAUAGACGCCUUAUCAGAAUAACUUGUGCAGAGGUUUCCAUUGGACCCUCCAGGGUCCUGUGUCCUCAGCCACUGUCCUUUCCUGUGGCUGCCACUUGUUGCAGCCAGUGGAGGCUGCCCAGUGUCCUGCAAAGGGUAGGCAAUUUCAGGCCCUUGGUCAGCAGAGCCUGAGGUGUGGGAUGCAGCCUCUCAGGGGAGCAGCUGGAGGUCCUGGGGCUGAGGAAUCUCCUGGAAUAGGCCUCAUCUAGAGACCUGUCAUCUUGGGACAUUGUUUUAUCCACUCCCUGUUCCCAUUUCUCUGAUAUCAGUGGACAGUUAGCCUGGAGAUGCUGGUGCUGCGGGGCCAGGUCAGCAGUGAUUCUUGCCCUUGCAUUCUCUCACAGUUGUGAAGGAGGAAAAUUCUCCCAGAGCAUAGGACCACCCACCCCAGUGCAGUGCUGUGCAAACCUGAAAAGCCUGGAGUCAUGGUCUGGGUCUCCUGGGAGGGUAAUCAUGGAGUGUUUCAGUGAGCUGGACCAGGUAGGAGGAUGCCCAGCUCACAGGGACCUUACCUGCUCCUUGAGCCUGACAUGUCUGCUCCCUCAGCACAAGCCCUUUAUUUAUCACUUUGAAAUGAUCUGCCCCCUUAUAUGACAGCCAGAUUUCCUUAAAUGUGAAUGUAUUUAUUUAGAGCUGAGCAAGGUAGAAUAUUUUAAAAGAGGUAAAAAAGAAAUAAAUUUAAAAAGAAAACAGAUUUUUUUUGGUAUAUGAUAAAAAUUCUUAAGUUACCUUUCUGAUUUGUUUAGAACAUGUAGAACAUUUCUGAGACCUCACUUUUUUUUUUUUUUUUUUUAAAUUUGAUUUCAAAUGGAGUUACAUAUGGUAGGUUCAUGAAUGCUACUUUAGUGGCUGGGGUUGUGGCUUAGUGGCAGAGUGCUUGCCUAGCAUGUGUGAAGCACUUGGUCUCUCAACACUGCAUAUAAAUAAAUAAAAAAAAGGUUCAUUGACAUCUAAAAAAAUAAAAGAAUGCUACUUUAGAAAAUGAAAAAUCCGUGUGUCAUUGUUGCUGUAGAAAAUGUUUCAUUUUCACAAAAGGUGUGGUAGGUAAAUUUAUACUCUGUGGAUUCAUGAGAAUAUUAGUUCCCUUGUAUAAUGAAGAACUUGUCACAAUGGAUAACUUCUCUUUGCUUCCUGUUACCUGAACUUGGAAGAUUACUACUGAAUUUCAUGGGACAAAUAUGGCAAUUGCCACAAAUAUCAAAGUAUGGUCCUUUGUUUAUGAAUUGAUGUAAGUGUCCUGGAAAUUGUUAUUAAAUGUCAUCUCUGUUGGCUGAAUAAAACAUGUUUUCGUGAGAUUAUUAUAAUUCAUGAGCAUCUUUCAUGAUCUUAUCUGAUUCCAAAUGCCCCCUCCUAAUGCCACCCAAUGGGUGUUCACCUUUCACCUUGUGAAUCUUGGGGUUGAAAUAGACCUUCAAUCUAUAAUAUUACCUGAUGGUAUUCUCUACAAGGUGUUGGAGACUCCUGGACAUUUUGGCUACUCUUAGAUAUUUGUCUACUAUUUCCACUUGUAGAAAUAGUUUUCUGAAUUUCCUCAACAAAGACAUCCUGGUCUUGGAUUUCAUAGAAUUUAAGAAAUGAAGCUAGAGAAUCAAUUGAGCUGCUUCUUUCUCCACGAUUUAAUAAAAUUGCAUGCAAUUCAUUUCUCCUUUUUUCAUUAUUGCUUAGUUAUAUUUUUGCCAGGGUGCUGAAUCCAGCCAUCAGUGGUCCACGCAGGUUCCCUGGCUUGGCUGCCAGAAACUGUUAACAUUGCAAUAUGUCAUAUAGGCUACACCUUGAGGAAUGAGUUGGAAGUGUUACCUGCUUCCUCUUAGAGGGGAUUAAGGGUAGUUUUCAUUGCCUCCUUAGUGUGGUGCAGAAUCCACCAUGACACCCCUGGGCCAUGCCUUUCCUCUGAUGACAGUUAUUAUCACUUCAUUAACUUGUUCAUGUUGUGUAUUUCUCUUUUUGUGUGAGUUAUGGUAGAUUGUUUUCCUCCUGGAGUUGGUCCAGUUCAUCUGAAUUCUCAAAUUGUGUCCGACAGUUAUUCAUAAUAUUCCUUUAUGGUUCUUUUACUCCCCCUGAAUAAUGGUGUCUUUCAUUUCUACUGAGUAAGUUUUGUUUCUGUUUUCUUAGUUGUGCUAUCUGUUACAAGCAUGUCCACAAAAAAACCUGCUUUUUAUUUUUUAUUUUUUAAUAGUUAUAGAUGGACAGCAUGCCUUUAUGCAUGGGCUCUCUCUCAUCUAGUGAGGAGGUCCAUGGAAUAGGUAGAGGAGAGUGUGGCUGCAGAGUCAUGAAUCAAGACCUCCAGAGAUCUCACAGGAAGCAGGUCUGAUUUGAUUGUGCAGUUACCAUGUAUAUAUACGUGGCCAGUAGUUAAGCAGAUUUUAGGCAGCCACCAAUACAAUUUCUGGCCAACUGUCCUUGUAGCAACCGAUUAAGGAGUGGCCGUAGAGCAGCACUGGGACCACAACAUGUGACCUCAUGCUCAGGGUGCUGUGCCUACGGAGUAAGCAGCCUGCCUCUCAAGCGCCCUUAACAUACGCCAUAUAUACAGUACUCUAUGCACCUGUUCCCAUACCUGUAUUUGUUUAGUUUUUUAUGCUGUGCUAAGGAUUGAACCCAGUGCCUCACACAUGCUAGGCAAGUGCUCUGCCUUUGAGCUACAGCCUCAGCCCUGAAGAGCUUGCUUUUGAGUUGAUUCUCUAUUGAUUUCCUAUCACAGUUUCAUAUGCUAGCAUCGGAUGUAGGUUCUCCUUGCUGUUUGUUCUUUAGUUCCUGAAGUGGAAGGAUGAAGGGUUGAUUUUUAUUCUUUUGUAAUGUAAGCCUUCAGCACCUCUAAUUCUCCCUAAGCCCUGCCUGUGCUCUGUUCCACAAAGUUUCCUAAGAUGCAGUUUCAGUUCUUUUCCUUUGAAAUAUUCAGACUGAUCCUGAGACACCCUUGACCCAUGUGCUGUUUAGAACUUUGGGAUUUGACCUGCAGAUAUCUGGAGGUCACCCAGCUGUGUUUCUGUUACUAACGCCAUGGUAAUUCCAGUGUUCCUGGUGCCAUGUUGGGAUUUGGUAGCCUUCUGCACUAACGCCUGUCGUGGCUGAAGGUGGCUGGUCGUGGAUACUUCCCUGUGAUGUUGAGAAGGAUGUGUGCUGGGCUGCUGUUGGCUAAGUGCCCUAGAGGUACCUGUGGUGGGUGUGCUGUUGAGCUAGAUACCACGACAGCUCUUCUGUGUGCUCCAGCUGUCGCUCACUGUCAGGCGAUUGCCUCUGACUCCUCUGUCACUGGAUUUCACCGCGUGUCCAUGUGAGUCUCUCAGUUGUUCAUCAGGUGUUUUGACCUGUUGUAGGUCGUACAUCUUAAAAGAUUCCGGCAGUUGGUUUUAAGUCUUAUUACUGAGUCUAGUGUCCAUGUUUUCUCAAAAAAUAACUGAAGCAUUUUUUCCCCAUUGGUGAGAUGUACUUUGCUCUUUAUGUGUAUUCCUUAUUUUGUUGCUUUUGCAAAGUGGGUAUUUGAAUAUUAUAAUCGUUUCUCCUCUGAAAUCAGUUUUUCCCUCUAUUCAGAGUUUGCCCUUGUUUGUUGAAGACUGUAGCCAUUGUGUGUAGUGACUUUCCAGAGUAUGUUUGGAGACAGUAGUUUAGUUGCUCGGUGUACUCAGAGGGUCUCUCUUAGCUUGUGUUGAGCUUGAGUUUUAAUGGAGUUCCAUGAGGAAAUAGCUGGAAAGAAAACAAGAAACAGCAAGAGCUCAGCUCCUCCAGGGCCUGUGGAUAGUGGAGCUUGGGCUGCUGCUUUAACACAUGGUCAUGCUGUUUAAAACCCCUUCAGCCUCAGUUCUCUGCAGACCUGAGCCUGGAGAGCAGCCUGUGGUCAGCAUAUGGGUCUUGGUCCUCUCUGAAAGGAUUUCUCUUGGCCUGGGUGGCCUUCCACCCUGAUAUACCAGGGUGCUGUGAACACUCAUUUCUUCUUUUUUUCUGUAGUAGGGAUUGAAUACAGGGACAAUCUACUACUGAGCUACAUUCUCCAAUCUUUUUUUCAUUUUGAAGCAGGUUCUUGCUAUGUAGCCCUGCAUAGAUUGCGACAUGUUAUCCUCCCACCUCAGCUUCCUAAAUCCCUGCGAUUUGAGCCACUGUGCCCAUCUGAAUACUCUAGUUUUUUGUUUUUGUUUUUGGAUACCAGGGAUUGAACAUGGUAGUGCCAAACCACUGAGCAACAUCCUCAGCUCUUUUUAUUUUUUAGAGACAGGUUCUCGCUAAGUUGCUUAGGACCUAGCCAAGUUCUAAGGCUGGCUUUGACUUGUGAUCUUCCUACAUCAGCCUCCUAAAUCACUAGGAUUUGAGCUGUUCACCACCACAUCUUGCCUGAAUAUUGUAAUUUCUGAGAAUAUAUUUUAUUGUACUUUUCUCUCUCACACUUCACAUUGUGAUUUUUUUGUUUUGUUUAAACAACCACAUGUAGGAUUGAUUUUUUUUUUUUGGCGGGGGGCGGGUACUGGGGAUUGAACUCAGGAUCAGUCAACCACUGAGCCACAUCCUAUUUUGUAUUUUAUUAGAGACAGAGUCUCACUGAGUUGCUUAGCACCUCACCAUUGCUGAGGCUGGCUCUGAACCUGUGAUCCUCCUGUCUCAGCCUUCCAAGCUGCUGAGUGAGGGAAGCAGUGGCAGUGGCUGUGGCAGCAAUGGUGGUCAUCAGGCCAAUAAUUCCAUCGCUGAUGAGGCUAAUUGCACAUCUUGUCUGGUACAGGAUCUCAUUCAGAAAGUUCUUCAUCUCCAUGUCCCAUGGACUCCUCCACUGUCUGGACAGGUUCACUGGAAGCCAGAUUUCUGGUGGCACUCUAAGAAAAAUAUACGUUUAGCUUUCAUAGCAGGGGUUAGACAAUUUAUUGACUGCCCAAGGGAUCUCUGUAUGAGUGAUAUUUAUGCCGUCAGUAUCAUUGAUAAUUACUAUGGCAAAGGGUGGCAUAACACAAGUUUGUGCAUAAUGGGUAUGGGUAUCAUUUGGGAUGAAGGUAAAUCCAUGGCUAGGGCCUUGGUUCAACAUCGACCCAUUCAUGCAUCCGUCUGCUGCCCAUUUGAUGGGUCUAGCAGCCAGCAAUAUUGGUGUGAUAUCCAUCAUGCCAUAUUGAAUUUCUGUGUAACAGUUAGUAACAGAUUGUCCCAUGUAGCAGUUACUGCAGUAGCCCGUAUGGCUUUUGGGCCUGUUAGAUGAAUUGCAGAGAGCUGUGUCCACCCAAGUCCACAGGUAUUGUUCUUCUCUGGAGAUAUUUCUCUUAUCAAGUAGAAGAGGUCUAGAUGUGAUGCAUUGAUUCCAGGGAGUGGUGUCAUUAUCUGAGGGGGACUUCCCAAAAAGCAUCUUAGGACAUGUUGGCAGUAAGUGUUUUUUUCAUUUGCCAUGGGGGAGUCUAUGGCUCUAGGUAGCAUUACUAUAACUCUAAGGUCAGUGAGAGACAGCCCAACAUGUGACUUAUUAUAAUUAUCUACAAUAGAUUCAUUGGCAAAAGCAAAGCAAAGGGGGUUGUUCUGACUGUAGGUCUCAUUAUCAACUAUGGAGAAACAAAUGGGCAGAGCAGGCAUGGAAAUGCUGGUAUUCCACUGCACAGUUAAUUCAGGAUGGAUAAGAUUAGAGUUAUUGGAAAAGAGCUUAGGUGGUGGCCUAGUGAACAAAGCCCAGUUUACCUGACAGGAAGCUUCACUGUUAGCAGUGAGUGCUGCAUACAAUAGGACCACCAUCAUAGGCCCAGGGAUGGGGUUGCCAGCAGGUGAAGGGCCCAUUCUGGUGGCGUGGUCAACGAGACCUUUAAUAUCACCCCAGGUUACUUUACAUGAGGUCCAUUUGUGUUGUUGAGUCCUUUGCUUUCCUCCAGAGUUAGUUCCUUCAUUUUCUUGGUUGGUGGUUCUGGGGGUCCAGGGCUUGACACUUCUGGCAUGCACCCAGAUGGGGUGAGGCGCCUAUUCUGGAAAAACACCUGUAAACCCUUGACCCAUGGUUGGGACGGGACCUGGACUAUUGCAUGCCCUUGUUAUAAGAUCCUUCCAUGAGACCAUAGGUAGAUGGGGGGCCCCAAGAGGGGGGCCCAAAGCUUAUGGGCUGCUGUUUCUAUAGAAGAUUUUGAAAUGGUGAGAAAACUUAGAGUGAAUAGGGUUUUGUUCAUAGCAUCGUGUGGGGAGCUAGUGUAGUUUCCCCGCCUAUGCUUUUGGAGCAUGGUCUUGAGUUCCCUGUGUAUGUGUUCCACAAUACCCUGAACCUAAGGAUUAUAGGGCAGGCCAGUUCCACAUUUUAUGUGCCAGGUAGAGCAAAAUUUCUUGAAGAUUUUGCUUGCAUAGGCUGGGCCAUUGUCAGUUUUUAUAGAGAAAGAAACUCUCAUGAUCCCAAAGCAUUUAAGCAGAUGGAAGAUGACUUUUUUCAUGGUUUUUCCAGUAGAAGGUGUAGCCAUAAUAAAACCUGAGUAGGUAUCAAUGACUACGUGAACGUAUUUAAGGUUGCCAAAAGGCAAAUAAUGAGUAACAUUCAUCUGCCAAAGGGUGUUGGAUUUGAGCCCUCAAGAGCUUACCCCUGUAGGUUGCAAGGAUCUGAUGGGGAGAAAAGGCACACAGUUUUUGCAUCUCUGACUAGCCUCUUUAGUCAGUUCUGAAAAUAAUCUAGAGACUUUAGGCGGAUUGGUGGAAAUGUGUGUGUAACCCUUGAGUUUGCUCAGUUACAGUCAAGCCCAAUGUCAUCCCUUUUUGAAUCCAGGGCAAAUAGAAGGAGGUGCACGUGGUUUGCUAGGGCUAUUUGGGCAUUCUCGCUGGAGAUGUCCUGUUCCUCCAUAUCCCCAACAAGUGGAGCAACCUCUUUCUUUACUAUUAUUUUGUCCCUGCUUCAAUGCAACUGCCAUGGCUGAGGCCAGCAGAGAGGCUUGAGCCGUUUGUCUCCCUAUGUCCUGGGUGGCCAAAAUCCAGUCAUCUGGGGUGUCAUUGCACACUGGUGCGAUGGCAGCCCUAUGUUCCUUGUUUAAUCCUUCCCAGAGUAACUCUUUGGCUAGGGCUUCCCUAGCUCCUACAUGGGAUACCUUCCCCUCCACCACCUUGUUUACUCUACAGAUAAACUGCGGCAAGUCCUCAGUGGCUUUCUGCCUUAGUCCCUGUAUAGAAACUGUUCCUUCUCCAGCUGGUAACUUCCUGCAGGCUCUUAAGGCAGAGUUGCACCUGGUUGAAAUAAUUUGGCAGACCUGUAACUUAUACCACAGGGGAGCAGCAGAUUCCCUCUCCCUGCAAGCAUUUAGCUGGGAGGUUAACAUCUGUGAUGGGGUUGCGACCUCCUUGCCGCUCAUAUUCAUUAUAGAAAAAUGUCUUCCAUUUUAGGUAUGUGGAUGGCUCAAGGGUGGCUCUUGCCAAGUCUUUCCAAUCCUGUGGGCAGUCUACACUUAGGCUAAGGGUUUCAAGGACUUGUUCAGCAAAGGGACCCCUAGGUCUGUCUUCCUUCACUGCCUUCUUAAACUCCUUUAAUAUAGCUAGGACAUGAGGAUACCAGUGUAGUGGCCUUUGAGGGGUGGGGUUCACAUUGACUGGGAACGCAGUUGGUAUCUCCUGUUCAUAGGCACCCCAUGCUUGGUCCUUUGUUCAACCUGAGUCUGAGAAUGGAUUAGAUUCUGACCUUGGAGGAGCGGGUACUGGCCAAGGUGGAAGGGGGCCUAUAAGGCUCUCCCUUUUACCUUCUCUAUCUGUAACUGUCCCAUUAGAUUUGACAAAGAGCAGUAAAUUUUCUUUGGCUUAAACGUGUCUGGCCCUUUUUCUGUUUGUUGUGGUUCAAAGGACUUUGCAUCAGAGCUUACCUGUGAUUCUUCCUCCCUUUGUCUUGUUCUCCUUGUUCCCCUGCCUCUGAUGCCAUAACCAGACGGGUUACACCCUUUGUGCCCCAGAGGUUGCUGUGUUGCUGUGACAAUUGGAAAGGAAUGAAGAGGCAGGGUAUAUCCCUGUCUAACUUCUGCUUGCCUUGCAUUAACCAUAAUUCUUUUCCCAUAUACUUGGAUCAAACACAUCAGCUGCUUUCACCCAGGGAUUGGUGUCAAUUACCACAUUCCCAAAUUUGGGCUUCCUUUCUAUUUAGUGUUAAUCCUCUCAUGCUAAGGAGGGUGCGCAGCAGCUGUGAGUCCUUAGUGGAGGUUGGUAAGUUGCCCAUUUUUCCCUGUUUCCCUGGGGUCCAACACCUGCACUUACCUGCUUGCCUCAGGUCCCUCUGCAGGCACCAAAUGUGGGCUCUCUUGAUGCAGCCAAAGCCCACCGAACACCUGAGGAGGGUGUGGUGACAGAGUCGAAAAGACCUCCAAAGACCAAUUUCACAGAACUCGAUCCACUUUAUUAUUGCAUAGGCAAAGUUUUUAUAAUGAUCCAAUGAGCUACCAACAUACUUAUGAGGGGCAACCAAUGGGCUAAUAGAUCAGUGGCAGAAAAGCAGAAGGAAAGGAACAUGCUGUGCAUGGGGAGGACAGUUACCAUGGUGAUGGGGCUGAGUGCGGUUAACUAACCAUGGUAUCUGGAUUCAGCGUCCUGAACUCUGAGAGCCCCUCACAUAUGUAACAUAGGCUGCUUUUCAACUCCUAGGCCCAACAUAUUUUAUUUAGAGACAGGGUCUCCCUGAGUUGCUUAGUGCCUCGCCAUUGCUGAGGUUGGCUUUGAACUCCUGAUCCUUCUCAGUCUCCCAAGCUCCUGGGAUUACAAGUGUGCACCACCAUGCCUGCCUAGAAGUUGAUUUUUGAUUAUUAGUUUAUUUUUAUUGAGAUUUGUAUAUGAAUUUUUCACUGCUGACUUGGGGAACAUAUCUUCCUCAUGGAUACACGCAGGCUUUAGUGUACUGCUGCUGUAAAUAUUGCAACACAGGAUUUCGUGUGGAUCUACAUUGUGAACUUAUUUGGGUUACCCCAACUUUGGGAAAUGGCUUGGGUUCAAGGAGCCACCACUCUGACCUAUUUGAUGUGGUUGUUCACUUCAGUCUGUGAAAGUUGAGGGGUCAUGGGCCUGCCAGGAGGUUGGUGUGAGACCUGUGUGUAUUUGAGUAUGUGUUAAGAGCCCUGGGAUUUAUCAGGUAUCCAUCUACACCAAUGUAGCCGAUUUUCUGGUCGGAGCAGCAUCUGAAAAAACCCCAUCCGAUAUCCUUGUCCACUUGCUGUAGACACUCUAGGAAGCACGAAUGCAAAUGAGAUGUGCACUGUGUCAGGUGGUCAGUGUUGAUGGGGAGAACCUCAGUAAAGGGUGCAGAGGCUGCACUGUCUUCCUCCCAUCUUGGUGCCUGUGGCUGUUCUCUCUGCAGGUGAUAGUUUGAGUCUGAGUUGCCUAUGCCCACCUCCAUCUGCUUGGUGAAGUCCUUGAUUUUGUCCCACUGUUUGGGGCUACGUGAGUUGGCUGAAGUCUGGAACACAGGGAUUUUUUUCCUUGCUUCCCUGGUAGCACUCCUCUUGCUGUGUUGUCUGGAAGUGGUGAGAGCAGGCAUCCUUGACUUGUUUUUGUUGUCAUGGAGACAGCCUUUCAUCCUUCAGUGUAGCCUUCAGUGUAGGUUUUGUAGAUCUCUGGCACUUUUUAAGGUGUUUCAUUUUAUUACAGUUAGGUUUGCAUCCUUAUGUCAGAAGGAGUUGAGCUUUGUCAGCUGGUUUUUCUUCAUUCUUUCAAGUUUUCAGCUCCUUUCCAGAUGCACAAUGUGCAGGUAUUUUCUACAAUUCCUUCCAGUGCCAUUUCACUUGCUGACGGUGUCCUAUGAAGGACAACAUUUUCCUUUCUAAUGCUGAUUCACUUUUAAGUUGCACAUGUGGAUGAGGUGCAGUGAGCUGGUUGUACACCUGUUUCAUUGCAUCAUUCCUAACAUUUAUCAUUUCUUAGGGUCAGUGGACUGCUCCCCAGCUUUAUUAUGAAAACCACAGUGACAUGUUGUACACUAUGGCCACCUACUCUGCUGGAGAGCAGAAGUGCUGGCUCCUCCUGAAUGGACUCUGGUACCUGAUACCCAGCCUCCUCACCCAGCCCUGCUGUCCCCUCUCUUCUCUCCUCCUCAUCUCUGGUGAAUACCCUUGUACUUUCUGUGAAGCCAACUUGGAGCUUUGCUGUAUAAGAACACACAGUCGGUGUCUCUCUCUCUUUUCCUGACUUAUUUCACUUAAGAUAGUAUUCAAUAGUCCGGGCUUCGUUGCUGCAAAUGAAAGGACUAAAAGCUAUUUUUGGUGAAAUUAGGUUUAUCUAUUAUUUUCAUGAAUCAAAUGGAUGCUACUAUAUCCCAGAAAUCAUCCCCAAAUCCAGUGUUGUGAGACAUGUGGUCUGCAUUUUCUUCUAAGAAUUGGUGAGGUUCACAUCUUACUUCAGCACUUUGGUCCCCAUGGAUCUCAUGUAUGCGUGUGCUGUGAGGGGAGCAUCUGACUUUAGGUGCUGCCAUGAACAUCCAGUUUCCCAGCCAUUCAUUCUCCAGAGAUCCUGGUCCCCUGGAAUGACCCUGGCCCCUUGAGAGACAUCAUUUCCUUCUGUGUAUCUGCAUGGUCCUGGGUCCCCCUGUCCUCCUUCACUGCUCUGUGUGUCUGCCUUUAAACUAGUUCUACACUCCCUUUGUUACUCCUUUAAAGCAGGUUUUGAAAUCACUUUACACUUUAUUUUUCUUCUUCCAUUGUUGAGUUUCUUUCAAUUCCACGUGAAUCUUAGAAUAGUACUUCUUAUUUUGUAUAAAAAUGUCAUUGAUACUAUGAAAGGCAGUGAAUUGACCUCAUGGUUGAUUUUUAGGCAGAUUUACAAUUCUUUGAGCUCACAAAUGCUAGAUAUUUUUAUGUGUGUCAUUUCUUUCAGAAAUAUUUUGUGGUUUUUGUAAAGUCUUCUUGGUAAUUUCUAAAUACUUUUACUCUUGAUCUUCUGUGAUGGCUUUCAGGUUGCUCGUGUUUUAGUGGAUGUAAGUGUGUUGUGUUUAUUGUGGUGGUGUACAGCUUGGCUUUAUUUUUUAGUUCCAGGCAUUUGCGUUUUCUUCUUCAGCGCAUGCACAGUUUAGAAUUUUCUACUUACGAGAUCAUUUCAUGGCUUUGUUUCUAAGAGCCUCAGCCCUUCCUCCUCCCUGACCUAGGCAGGAAGAUUAGGGGGAGCUGGGCUCAGUGUUUCUUUUUCCCCACAAGUUUUUGCUGAUAAUGUCUUGGGUGACUCAGCCUUGGAGAAGUAGUUUCCUUUGAAUGUAGGCUCAGGAAGAUAGAGUUCUCUGGGUGUGCUGGAAAUGGCUCCUUUUCCUCCCUGUGCUGGCAGCAAAGGGCAGUUUUUUGUGAUCUUGACUGUGUGAGCCUGGCAGCAGUUCAGGAGGUAAGAUGUUGUGAAUUUGUGAGGACCCCUAAGAAUACACAGAAAAAGUCUCUGGGCUGCAGGUCAUGGUAAAUUUCAGGUGUGAGGAAAUACCACUAGAGGGGCAGCCGUCCCGCUCUCCCCACUACCCACAUCCUGACUGAGGGGCACUGGGUCUGCAGUGGGUGACAGUGCUCAUCUGCUUGGCCUUCUCCUGGGCUUCUCUUCACCCAGAGGUGGUCCUUUCUCCAUAGGCAGCUUUCACCUUCUGUCUGGCUAUUCAUCUUAAGUCUGGCUAUUUCCCAUUUGAGUCAUAUGUUGAUUAUUCUCACUCUGGGCCCUGGUGUGUGUGUGCACGUGCUCCAUCUCUCCGUGUCUCUGUAUCUGUAUGUCUGUCUCUCUCUGUGUGUGUGUGCACGUGCUCCAUCUCUCCGUGUCCCUGUCUCUCUCUCUGUCUCUCUCUCUCUCUGUCUGUCUCUCUUUCUCUCUGUACCAGGGUUUGAACUUAGGGGCGCUUAACCACUGAGCCACAUCCCCAGCUUCUUCUAAUAUUUUAUUUAGAGCCAGGUUGUUGCCCAUUUGCUCGGGGGUUUGCUACGUUGCUGAGGCUGGCUUUGAUCCUGCAUUCGAUUGUCCUGCCUCAGCCCCAUGAGCCGCGUGCUCGGCACCCUAACUCUCUGUGUCGCAUAUUGCAGGUGUCUCCCCUCUUGCAGGUGUUUUCAUCUUUUUAUUCCUGUUUUUAUUCCAUGUUGUGAGUACCUGGAUGCAAUGUGGUCUACUAGGGCAGUUCCUAGAUUCUUUGCUCAGAGGGUUCUGUUUUGGUUGGAAGGACUUUGAUUCUUUAGGUUCUAACAGAAUAGUGGUACAAAAUAAUAGAAUUUCCAAAGGAAAGUAAAGAUUCAGUUUGCUGGGAUCCUUCCCAAAUUUUUAGUUCCCCUAUCCAGCAAAGAUGCAACUUUGUCAGCAACCUUUUCUAAGGAUAGACACUAUCAGGACUAAUACUACCUCUCUUCCAACAUGAGAUAGUAGGGCUUCAUUAUUACUGGUGGUGUUAGACAUGCACCCUAUUAAGAUGUUAGGGGUGUUCUGGGAGCAUACCUUAUUAUACCUUUGCCCCACAAUGAAAAGGGUGUUUUUGGUCUGCUGAUACUUUUAUGGAUCAGUUUAGAUCUUAUAUUGGAAUGCCUCUCUUUGAGGAAGUGAGUGUAGACAGAAAGCAGUUGGUUUUUUUUUUUUUUUUUUUUUGGUUGAAGACAGAUAGCAUGCCUUAUUUUAUGUGUUUAUUUUUGUGCCGUGCUAAGGCUUGAAUCCAGUACCUCACAAAUGCUAGGCAAAUACUCUGUCUCUGAGCUACAGUCCCAGCCCUGAGUACAAAUAUAGGCUAAAUACUUGAAAGACCAUAGAAUCAUGAGAACAUCUCACAUGUCUAGAAUAGAGCCCUUAUGUUUUCAGUCUCUCAUGGCCUGCACUACAUUUUUAUUAUUAUUUUUUAACUAUUGAUAGAUCUUUAUUUUAUUUAUUUAUAUGUGGUGCUGAGAAUCGAACCCAGUGCCUCACACAUACCAGGUAAUGCACUACUGCUGAGCCCCAGCCCCCCCUUUUUAAAAAUUUUUAAAAAUUGUUGAUAGACCUUUAUUUUUUUCAUUUAUAUGCUGCACUAAUUUUUUUUUAAUUUUUAUUGUUGGUUGUUCAAAACAUUACAUAGUUCUUGACAAAUCAUAUUUCACACUCCCAACUUCUCUCUCUACCCCAUCUACUGUAAUUCAUUUCUCCCCCUUUUUUUUUCCCCCUUUCCCCUCACUUCCUCUUGUAUGUAAUUUUGUAUAACCAUGAGGGUCUCCUUCCAUUUCCAUGCAAUUUCCCUUCUCUUCCCUUUUCCCUCCCACCUCUCACCCCUGUUUAAUAUUAAUCUUUUGAUGAUAUUUUAGACCUCAGUGUUCUUUGAGGAUGUGGUUGUGAACUUCACCCAGGAGGAGUGGGCUUUGCUGGAUCCUUCCCAAAAGAAUCUCUACAGAGAUGUGAUGCAGGAAGUCCUUAGAAACCUGGCUUCUAUAGGUAAGGAUGAUGUUUCAUUACAUAUUGAAAGAGAGAGCACCCGGGAGUCCCCCCACCCACCCACUCAUGGAUUUAGAAGGUGGAAAGGGAAUAAGUACGUUUAGGAAAAAAUGGGGCCUAAUGUCAGUGCACUGUGCAGCAUAAAUAUCAUAAUUCUUUUUUUUUUCCUCUUUUAUUAUUUUUAUGUUUUAGUUAUCCAUAUUAUAAAUCCCAUAAUCCAUUCUGAAAUUAUGAUAAUUUUAAUCACUGUUCUGGGUGUACGUUUUAGGAUUCAGACGGGAGAACCAAAGUGCUGAAGAUCAGAACACAAAUCCUGGGAUAGAUCUAAGGUAACUUGUACUCAUGAGAGGAAACAGAGAGCCCUGAAGGAAUCCUAGCAUAUCCUAUAAUUUUACAAACAAGGAAAGUAAGCAAGCAUGGUAUGAACUAUAUUUAUUCUUUUUAAACCCAAAACAUGAACUUUAAUGUAAGAUACACAUUUAGUGGUUUCAAAAUAAUUGAUUUUUUUGACAGAGCUAAGAAACUGCAUUUAUAAUACCACUGUUUUCAUAGUAGCUAUGGAGAAGCAGUCUCACAAAGUAGUCAUGAUAUUGACUUUCAAACAGUUUAGACAUGACAGAAAACCAGUACUUUCCCUGAUAUUAGUGUAAGUCCAAUUCCUAUAAAUAAAUAUAAUAUAAUAUUGUUAAUUAGCCAACCAUAAAUUGUACUUGUAGUUGUUUUUUUUGUUUGUUUGUUUGUUUGUUUGUUUUUACAGGAAUCUUAUGGUAGGCUCUGGAAAAAUUUAAAAAGAUAUUUCAGGGAGAUUCCAAAUCUUAGUCUUAAAAGGACAUUCCUGCUAGAAAUUCCAUGUGAAAGAAGUAUGUGUGGACAGUUCUUCAUAUAUAAUGUUUUCCUAAACAGGCACAUCAUAUCUCUCUCUGCAAACAAACCACAUGAGGAUGAGGAGUGUGGAGGAAAGCCAUAUGAAUUUAAACAGAACAAAAAAUCCUUUAUUUCUCUCACAAAUGUUCAAAGACAUGUGUCAGAGUGCACUGUAAAUGGAUCGUAUGGAUGUUUGACAUGUGGAAAAGAGUUUAUUUGUUCCAGGUGUAUUGAAAAAUCUCGACGAUCUCAUACUAGAGAGAAGAUAUAUGGAGGCAAGCAAUGUGGGAAAGCCUUCAGUACUUCAAAUUAUCUUCAGUUACAUGUACAAACUCACACUGGAGAGGCGGCUUACAGAUGUAAACAAUGUGGAAAUGCAUUCAUUAGUGUGGCUAAUCUUAAAGUACGUGAAGAAUCUCAUAAUGAGGAGAUUAUGAGUUGUAAACAAUGUGGAAAAGCCUUCAGUUGUUCCAGUUCCCUUCAAAAACAUGAACAAACUUAUGCUGGAGAGAACCCUAAUCCAUGUGAACAAGGUGGGAAAGCCUUUUUUAUAUCCUCUAAGCUAUACACACAAGAACAAACACAUAGAGGAAAGAAGCUAUAUGAAUGUAAACAAUGUGGAAAAGCCUUCACUAGUUCUUCUUAUCUUCAGAUUCAUAAACGAACUCAUACAGGAGAGCUCAAUGAAUGUAAACAAUGUGGUAAAGCCUACACUACUUCAUCUUACCUUCAGAUACAUAAACGAACUCAUACUGGAUUGAAGCCCUAUGAAUGUAAGCAGUGUGGCAAAGCCUUCACUCAGUCCAGUCACCUUCAAAUACAUAAAAGAACUCAUGCAGUAAAGAAGCCCUAUGAAUGUAAACAAUGUGGGAAAUCCCUCUGUAGUUUUUCUUACCUUCAAAUACAUGAACGAACUCAUACUGGAGAGAAGCCCUAUAAAUGUAAACAAUGUGGGAAAGCCUUUGCUUCAUCUAGUGACCUUCAUGCACAUGAACGAACUCAUACAGGAACAAAGCCCUAUGAAUGUAAACAAUGUGGUAAAGCUUUCACUAGUUCCUCUUACCUUCAAAUACAUAAACGAACUCAUACUGGAGAGAAGCCCUAUGAAUGUAAGCAGUGUGGGAAAGCCUUCACACAGUCCAGUCAGCUUCACACGCAUGAACGAACUCAUACAGGAGAGAAGCCCUAUGAAUGCAAACAAUGUGGAAAACGCUUCACUACUUACUCUCACCUUCUAAUACAUGAACGAACUCAUUCGGGAGAGAAGCCCUAUGAAUGCAAACAAUGUGGAAAAGCCUUUACUACUUCCUCUUACCUUCAAAUACAUGAACGAACACAUACUGGAGAGAAUCUCUAUCAGUGUGAACAAUGUGGGAAAGCCUUUGCUAUAUCUAGUCAGCUUAACACACAUAUAGCAAUUCAUACAGGAAAGAAGCCCUAUGAAUGUAAACAAUGUGGAAAAGCCUUCACUUUUUCCAGUCCCCUUAAAGUGCAUGAACGAACUCAUACUGGAGAGAAGCCCUAUGAAUGUAAACAGUGUGGUAAAGCCUUUGCUACAUCUGGUAACCUUCACUCACAUGAACGAACUCAUACAGGAAGAAAGCCCUAUGAAUGUAAACAAUGUGGAAAAGCCUACAGUGGUUCUACUUGCCUUAAAAUACAUGAAAGGACUCAUACUGGAGAGAAGCCCUAUGACUGUAAGCAGUGUGGCAAAGCCUUUACCCAGUCCAGUCACCUUCACUCACAUGAACGAACUCAUAGAGGAAAGAAGGCCAAUGUGGGUAAACAAUCUGGUAAAGCCUUCAGUUGUUCCACUUAUCUUCCUGUGCAUGAAAAGCCUCACACUGGAGAUAAGCCGUAUCAAUGUAAAUAGUAUGGUAAAAUUUUCAUUUUUUUCCCUUUUCCUUUGAAUACAUGAACUAUCUCUGUGGAGAAAGGCCCUAUAAGUAUAAAUUGAUGACCUUGGUAAAGCCUUCACUAGUUUGACUUAUUAUGAAAGAUAUGAAAAAUCUCAUACUGGGGAAAAACUUUAUGGAUGUAAACAAUGUGGGAAAGCCUUCACUUAUACCUUUGGGCUUUGUGUACAUAAAAAUAUUUAUACAGGGGACGACCCUAUGAAUGUAAAUGGUGUGUUAAAUCCUUCACUGAUUGUGCUUAUUUUCAUGUUGUGAAUGAACUCAUACUGGGAAGAGGCCUCAGGAAUGUAAACAAUGUGGUGCAACCUUUCCUUAUUCCAAUUCAUUUUGAAAAACACUAGGGAACACACACUGGAGAGAGAUUGUAUGAAUGUAAACAAUCUGGAAAAACAUUCAAGAUUUCCACUCACCUUCAAGUGUAUAAAUGCACACAUACUACAAAGAAACCUUAUAAAUAUAAGCAAUGAAGGAAAGGUUUCAUGUAUUCUUAUCAGAUUCCAAUCAUAAAUUUAUACUGGAUAGAGGCCUUAUGAAUGUCAACAAUAUGUGAAAGCCUUCAAUUGAUCUUCCUACCUUCAAAUACAAGAACAAAUGCUGGUUAGAAGCCCUUCAAGUAUAAACAAUGUAGAAAAGCCUUUAUUUGUGGCAGUUACGACAUGAAAUAACUCACAUAGGAACAAAGCUAUACUAAUAUAACAAAGCUAUACUAGUAUAAACAAUCAGAAAUACCUUCUUUCCUUACUCCUAAUAAGUAUUAAAUAAAUGGUAAUGUAGAAAUGCCCUUUGAAUGCAAUAAUUUUCACAAAUCAUUCACCUUUCCUGGUCAUCUUCAAAUACAUGAAAGUAUUCACACUACAGAAACUCUGAACAUUAAAAAUAUGGUAAAUCAGUGCUCCCAGUUGCUUUAAAAGCCAUUUCACUCAUAGUGGAAAAGAAACGCUCUAAAUAUCUGAUAUUUACCUCCUAUACAUGAAAGGUAAUGGAGCAAAGAAAUGUGUGAAAAUGUUCAAUAUUUUCAGGUCCUUUGAAGAACAAUUGCACAGGGUGAGAAACUGAACCAGCAAUCUGAUAGAGUUUUCAUAAAUUCCAGUUUGAUUUUUGUGUCAGAUUUCCAUUGCACUGAUGAAAAUACCAGAGAAAAUUCAACCGAAGGGAGGGAAGAUUUAUUUUGGCUCAUGGUUUUAUAACAUUCAGUCCAUCAUGGGCUGAUUGCCUUGCUUUAGCCCCGAGGUCAAGCAGAACAUGGGAUGGAAUGGUGAAGCGGGGUAGACCUACUUAUCUCAUGGCAGCUGGGAAGAAGAGAGAGAAUAUGAAUUAAGUAUAUCACUAGUUACCUCGCAGGUUUUAUUGUGCAGACCGUAGUUGUGGUCUUUCUAUUUUCUGUGAUGCUGCUUCCCUUGAUACUGUACUGUGCGCUUGUGAUGGGGUUCACAUCUUUGGUGCCUCAUGGUCCAGGUACUGAUUAGUAAAGGAAGAGAAAACAAUGAUGCUAGCUUCUAAGAAAACACGAGAGAGGCUACUACCUCAAGUGUUCUGAGGGCAAAAUCCCUAGGCAGCGUGUGGGUUUUCCUUAGCACUGCUGUCUACCAGCAUUGCAAAGUUCUCAUGAGAAUAAGGUUUGAUGACCUUGGAGAAAAUGACACUGCAUUUUGUGCAUUUCCUGAAGAUUGAGUUGGUGGCUUCCAUUGUGGGUUAUUGGAUAGCUAAACUCUUUCAUUUAACCACACAAAACAUGACCACUAUCGGGGAUCAGAUGAAGAUAUUUCCUGUGCAACCUGCAAGUUUGCAUGAAUAACUACCCCAAAAUUUUCAGAAGCACUUUAUGUAGAGAGAAGAGUAGUUAUGGGUAAUGGGCUGUUCUAGCAACCUAAUAACAAAUGAAGUUGUUAUUAGGGUCUGGCUCACCAAGACCCUUAAAUACUACAUGUUAUGCGUCCAGCUCAACAAGUGUGAUGAUCCCCUGGUAUCAGGUACAGGAUGUUCUUCAGUUGGUCUUCCCCAGUUCUUCCCCACCCCUCUUUGUUCGUUGUAAAUCUCAAGAAUACAUGUAGAAUGUGGAUGUAGAAGAAUGAAAAGCAAUCCCAUGAGAUGACAGGCCAAACUGUCUGUCUCUUGGAGACAGAGAAGUGUGGGAAGGCAAAAGUAAGAGGCGGCAGAAUGGGAAGUGGAAAGAGAUGGAGAGAGAACCCAUUGACCAUGUCCCUCCCUGGCCCAGGGUCCAGUACAAUGGGAUGGAGUCUUUAAAGGAUUUGUCUCUUAAGGCCACAUUAGAGUAAAUGUCUCUGUUCUUAUUUUCAAUGAAUCCCCAAAGGAUAAUUGAGAAUAAUAUUGGGAUGAGGUAUUGGAGGAAAAUUGUUGACAUUCUCACAUCUGGCGGGUAGGUGGAGGGAAGGCAUGAAUAUUAUUCACAUAUUUGACCUUGUGUUUUCAGUUUCCUGGUGUGGUCACUGAGGUUAAGGGAAUGGGGAACAGUGUCCCAGAAGGCAAGAUACGUUCAAUUCCUGAAUUCUAACUGCUCGUACUGUGGAAUCUGCAUAAUAUACUAUCUUCCUUCCUAUGUGUUCAGAGGCAGAGUACUGUAAACAGAAAUUGCAUUAGGGGAUGAGCAAUUAGAAAUUUAUGUUGAUUGACUAAAUAUGCUAUAUGGUCACAUGAUUAAUUUAAUCCACAUUUAAGUAAUUUAUUAAUAUGAAAAUGAAUCCUAAAGUUUGAAAGACCUAACUACUAAAGAAUAAUAGUUCUUAAAUUUACAGUUUUGUAAGUAAGUCUCUGAAAUUUGAGGAUAUUAUAUUCUUAAAACAUGAACAUGUUCAACCAGAGAAAUAAGACAAAGGGAUUACAAUAGAAUUCAAAGAGACAAACCCACACAGAUUGUCAUUUGAUCCUGGAUAAGUGUGCCAAAAAUAUAUUAGAGAAAGAACAGCCUUUAUUUAAAAAAAAAAAAAAAAUGUGCUGGGAAAACUUGUUAUCCAUUUGUAGAAGAAUGAGACUGAAUCCCUGUCCCUCACCUUGCACAAAAUUCAAUUCAUGGAUCAAAGGGCUAUGAAUUAGAUGAUAAGUUAUGAAUUCCUAGGAGAAAACAGUCAACACUGCAACAUGGUUGCAAGCAACAAUUUUGUCAGGAGAAUUCCUGAAGGUUGAGAACUAACUUGAAGAAUUAAUAAAUGGGAUGACAUCAAAUUCAGAAUUUUCUGCAAGGCAAAGCAAACAAAAAUGUGGAUAACCCAUAGGAAGAGAAUAAAUUUUCUGAGAGAAUAGUAGUAUCCAGUAUGCAUGAAGAACUCCAGCAUCUUAUAAUCAAAAAUAACCCAAUUAAUAAAGAAUUGAAUUAAGUAAACACUUAUUAAAAGAAGAAAUACAUUUCACCAUAUAUAUGUAUGUCUCUCUCUCUCUCUCUCUCUCUCUAUAUAUAUAUAUAUAUAUAUAUAUAUAUAUAUAUACACACACAUACAUAUAUAAUGAGAAAAAAUAUAUGUAUACAGAUAUAUAAUACACACACACAUAUAUAUAAUGAUAAAUUUACCAUCUUUAGGAAAUAGGGAAAUGAAAAUCAAAACUACACUACAUUUCAUCUCACUUUGUUUAGAAUGGCAGUCAUUUGAAUACAAACAAUAAUAAAUGCUGGAGAUAUUGUGGAAUAAAAUUGAUACAUUCUCAUCCUUGGAGAGAUUGUAACUGUGGAAAUCAGUAGGAAGUUCCUCAAAACACUAGGAAUGAAAAACCACAUGAUACAACUAUAGCAUCGCUUGGUAUUUAACAUAAAAUAUUGAAGUUAGGAUAUUAUAGUGAUACAUGCAUGGCCAGAUUUAAAGGAGCACAACUUAAAAUAUGGAACUGGCCUCCAUGUGUACCAGUAGAUGUAUGGAUAAGAAAAUGAGGGGUAAAUCCACAGUAGAAGCUCAUUCAGUCAUAAAGAAGAAUGAAAUUGUUAUUUACAGGAGAAUGUAUGGAACAGGAGAAUAUAUAUGAAGUGAAAAAAGUCAACUCAGAAAGUCAAGGUUCAUGUUUUCCCUCAUGUGUGGAAGCUACAAAGAAAGGAAACGUAUAGAGGGAGCUCUUAUGACAAUCAGAGGGAGAUCAGUAGAGGAAGGGACCAGGCACAAGGAGGAGGGAAGAAUAAGGAAAAAGAAGAGAUGCUGGGAGGGUAAUGGCAAAGUUAUAGUGUUCUACUUUGUGCAUGUGUGACUGCCUUAUAACAUCACAGCAUUACGUGUAAGUAUCAUGCACUAAGGAAAAAAGAAAGGGUACCUUCCAGCUAAUCUGCAAUCCCAGUGUCUGAAGUUCUCUGCAUCCUAUUCCUCCCCUCCUGUUGGAGGCGACCCCAGGAGGAGUUUCUAUCUCAGGGCCAGUGCCAACUGGGAAUCAUAGCAUGUGCGAGAAGGCAAGUAGAGAGUGAAGGUUGCAGGUUCCCUCUGGGGUACCUUCAUCCCCAAAUUUGGAAACAGUAGCCAGCUCCAGGAGAGUUGCUCCCUAUGUGCAUAUCCUGACCUAUGCUGGGUUAUAAUGUCCAUCGGCUUCGCUACUGGACUGUGGCAACUCAUGCUUGUGCUGUUAUCAUCCAGGCAGGUGUCCCAAGCCAGUCCUCACUACAUAGGGCUCCUCAUUGUUUCACAAGAGAAAUAUUGAGAGAGUGGUGACAUAAAAUGAUAACGUAGCUAUUAGGGAAAUAAGAAAUUAUUUUAUUCUGAGGCAAACUAAGAAAUUAGUUUAUUAGUUUUAUCAUGGCCUUGAUAAUACACAGAUUCAUGUUACUGUUCAUAACAUGUUCCACCAUGGAAGUGCUUUGAUGAACAUUUAUGCCCAUGGAACAAAGACCAUGAAUCUGUAGGUUUACCAAAUUCUUCACUGGAGUCCUUAUGUAGGCAGGCAAGGAGACCUGCUUUAUAGUUUUCAGAAAUUAUCUUGUAGAAUUUGUAGCUUUAAGAUUGAUGUAGGGAAGAGGUUGGCUAAGCUUAGUGAUACAUUUUCAUAAUAUCACAAGGAUGUUCGAUUAGAUAAAAUAGUUAAAAAUACACAGGUUUUUUUGUACAGAGAUUGAGUUCAGGGGCACCUGAUGAUUGAGCCACACCCCCAGGCCUAUUUUAUAUUUUAUUUAGAGGAAGGGUCACACUGAGUUGCUUAGCAACUCGCUUUUUGCUCAGGCUCAUUUUGAACACAUGAUCCUCUUGUCUCAGCCACCCAAGCUUGUGCCACCAUGCCUGGCAAACACAGCUUUUAAAGACAUGGUUCUUGUCAUGUGCAGUUUUCCUCCCUUCACAGUCAUGAGGGUCUGCUUUAUCAAGAUCUUAUACUGUGCAGGAUCUCCAAUACAUAUGCCGCUUCAGAGAAGUUCAGCUUCAUAGUGGACCCUUUGGGCUAAGUACCACAGUAUGCAUACAGAGCUUGAAAGUCUCAAUCAUUGCAUUUGAUAGAGAGUCUGAGAGGAAGGAAUGUAGUCUUCUAGAAAAAGAAAUAGUUCUAAAGCCUUCAAGGAAGCAAUCCCUGCAUGAUGUUAGUGAUACUAGCCAUUGUGAGCUCGUUCUCAGCUUUAGUCAUUUCCAUCCUCUGCAUCUGACAUCAUUUCCCUCCAACAUAAAAUAGGUAUAAUAUAUCCAAAGUACACAUGAUCAAGAUUAUACUGUGGGAAAAUGUGGCGAAUGAGUGGUUAGGUAUCCAAACCAACCCCCAAACCUCUUUGUGCAUCAUCAUACUCUGAUGGGACUGACAGUAUGUUUUCCCCCUGUAUGCACAGUUAUCUGUACUUUGUGAAUUACUUCACUUGAUGUUUGGAGUAUUUAAUUCAUUAUCAGUUUGACUUUUUUCUCCUGGCCAAUUUGAGUCCAUGGCCAUAGAAUCGUGUUCAGUACCUGGUUCUAAGAAAGGUUUAUCUUUAAUGUCCAAAUUAUUGUAACUCUUAUUCCCUCUAUAUGUACAGUUUUUAUGAGAUUCAAAAUCUUUGGGAAUCCCAUAUGACAGUCAACAGAGUAGAAGUGACAGUGAGGUGGUAGAAAUCCAUAUGUCAUAGUGCUCCCAAGCAUUUUCUGCAGCUGAUGAUAGUAUUUACAUCAUCUGGAAUUUGGGGUUCAAAAAAUUGUUCCUAUAUAUAGUAUUUCACUUGGGUGAUUAAUAAGGUUAGGUGCAACUUUGGGAUUUGUACCACAAUGACAAGGAGUGGAUGUCCACUCAGGUUUGUUGCACUGGGAAACAGAUUCAGCUGCAAUAAGUUGACAAAAUUAUAUUUGUCAUAUGAAAUUUGUCAUAACUUACUAUCUCCAGGAAUAAUGAAAAAACUGUUAGGCAGUUGACUAGACCCACAUUAGCAUGCUUUCUUUUUUCCUUUGCAUAGGAAGAAAGUUUGUUUUGGCUGGAAAGGUUUGGUAUAUGAAAUACAGAGAUUCCCAAAGGAGAGUUGGUAGGUUUGGAUCCGUGGUGUGCCCUAAAAGUUGCUGUUAAUUCAGAAAUAUCCAGAGGUGAAAUGAUUAGAUUAUGAAAGCUGUGAUCUUAUCAAUUCAUUCUAGUUUGGAUGGACUGAGUGGGUGGUAAAAGCAGAUAGGUGGGGUGUAGGUAGGUGGAAUGAGUCACUGGGAGCAUGUCCUGGAAGGGUUAUUCUUCCUGGAGCACCUCUCUCUCUCUCCCCUCCCUCUCUCUCCCCUUCUUGGCCCCACCAUGACCCAAGCAGCUUCCAUCAGGUUGGUUCUUCCACCCAAUUGUGCUGCCUCACCUUGAGUCCAGAGCAAGGUAGUCAAGCCAUUUGUGGUCUGAGACCUCUGAAACCAGGAGUCCCAAAUCAACCUUCCUCCUCUACAUUGUUUAUAUUGGAUAUUUUGGUCACAGCGAUGCAGAAAGUGACCAAAAUACAGUUUCUUUCUGGUAGAUAUGGUUUAGAUUGGAGGUGUCCUGCAAAAGCUCACAUGUGUGACACUGGAAGUAGGUUUAGAGGUGAAAUGAUGGGGUGAUGAGCAUUUUUACCUGAUUAGCUCACUAAUCCACUUUAAUGGAUUACCUUGGUGCCAACUUAGGAGGUAGGGUGUGCCUGGUGGAGAUAGGUAGCUGGGGAUGUGGCUUUGCAGGUUAUAUUUUGUCCUUGGUGAAGGCAACCCUCUCUUUCUGCUUCCUGACUGCUACAUCCUGAGCUGCUUUUCUUCUCCAUGCCCUUUUGACGUGGUGUUCUGCCUCACAUUGGGCCCAGAGCAAGGUAGUUAGCUGUCCAUGGACUGAGGCCUCUGAAAUCAUGAGCAGCAAAUAAACUACCUGCUCUAAAGUUGUUGUCAGAUCUUCUAGUCAUGGCAGCAAAAAAGCUGAUUAAAAUAGUAGAUUUGGGCUGGGGUUGUGGCUCAGUGGCAGAGUGCUUGCCUCACACAUGUGAGGCACUGGGUUCGAUCUUCAGUACCACACAAAAAUAAAUUAACAAAAAUCAAUAUAUUGUGUUCAUGUAUAAAUAAAAAAUAUUAAAAAAAAGGAAAAUAGUAGAUUUACAGGCAUAGUGGUGCACGCCUGUAAUGCAGGCAGCUGAGGAGGUUCAGGAAGAAGAAUUAUGAGUUCAAAGCCAGCCUCAGCAAAAGCUAGGUUCUAAGCAACUCAGUGAGACCCUGUUUCUAAAAAAAAUAAAAUAGAAAAUAGGACUGGAGAUGUGGCUCAGUGUUUAAGUGCCCCUGAGUUUAAUCCCUGGUACCCUCCCCCCAAAAAAUGUGGUUUUACCAGCUAAAACCUGGAAUUUUACUUAAAUAUAUUUAAAUUAUGAGAGAAUUAUUACUUGGGGUUAAUGUAAAACCUAAAUCUUUUCAAGUUUAAAUUUUGGUUCCACUGAAGUAGGAGAUUUGAGAUUUUCCUUUUCAAGGAAAGUCUUACCACCUAGGCACACAUAGGGCAGAUAUGAUGUUAAGACAACAAUAAACAAGACAGUAACACAUUUUCUAUAAACAAUUAGCACAAAAGCAAUCUAUUAUUCGCAGAAUUUCCUGCUCCUUCUCCACUUUUUUCUUUUCUGAGCCAACUCCUCCAAGUUUACAUUCUAGGACUGACAGCUGUCAGGUUCUAGAAAGGCAGGGUAGAAAAUUGACAUCUAAAAGCUCAGAGCUUGGGCCUCAGGCUCAGCAUUGUGUCAAGUACCAUCAUUUGCCCAAUCAGAUGAAGGUGUGUGUAGGUAAAGAGUCUUUAAGACAGGACAAGGGGCUGGGCCUGGGGCUCAGUGCUAGAGCUUGCCUAGCGAGCCUGGUAGGUGGGGAGAAUGACAGGUGGACAGGCAUGCCAUAUCUUCCUCCCACAAAAAGGCUGAGUUUUGGAGGCUGCUCCUUAAAAGGGAUGAGAGACAUGUCCCAGGCCACCUGGGUUGAAGAGGUGAUCUGGGCCUCUGCAGAGUCCCCUGCAAGACCUAUUUCUAGGAGAGUGACAAUCCAGGCCUGAGUAAGCCCCCUGUCCCCACAUUUCAUGAGCACCCAGGGUCCAGAAGAGAAAACGUAGUGAGCAACUUGGUCCCAAGUCUGCCGCAGGUCUCCUUCCUGGCUGCUUGAGUGCACACAGUUUGGGGCUCUGACCUUCUAGAAGAGUCUCAACAGGAAGGUGACCCCCACAGAGGUGUGGGGUAGCCCUGCUGGAUGACCAGUGUUCCUUGGUCACAAGGGCUUGGGGGUUGAGGUGGCCUGUCCUCUGGCAGCAAGGGCAGCCCAACAGCCCAGGGUUCCCUGGGAGGGGGAUUUGAAAUGGAAGGUGAGGAUUGAGACUCUGCUGCCUGCCCCCAGUGCCAUCCAGUCCAUCUUGGAUGCCUGGCCAGACAAGCACCCAGAGGAGUCCUGUCAGCUCCCAAUUUGACCCAGUUUCAAAGUGAAAGAUAUAGAGGGCCUGGGGUGUGUUGCCUUGGCCUAGGUGAAGCUCAGGCUACACAUGGGCCCUAGGAGACAGACCGCUGGACAGGAUCCUGGCUCCAUCACUGACUCCUGUAAUGGGUAUGUCUCACCAGAGGCUUGGUUUCCUCCUGUGUGAAGGGGCGAUGCUGUGAUCAUCCUCGUUUGUGUACCUGAGAGGACAAAGCACCAAGUGUGUGGGAAUGCAGUUUAUCUGGGCCAAUUCGAAGAUGAUCCCCAGGAGAAUGAAGUUCUGCCCACCUAGAAUGUGUGCUCUGGAAAUGGCAUCUGAGUAAUCUCGGUUUACAGAUCAUUAAGGAAAGCAAUGGAGGGAAAAUAGAAGGAGGAGGUGGCAGCACACCUGUGGCUGUGCUGUGCUGGCUGAGGACAGCAGCAAAGGGGUCUCUGGUGGUGGUGGUGAGAACAGUGCUAAAUUUGUCCUCUACAGCUUUGGAGUUGUUUUGUUGUCGCAUUUGUGGUGAAAGCAUAAAUGAGAUUCAGACUCCAUCAGUCCUUCUCAAAUUAAGAAAUCCUGGGCUAGGGUUGUGGCUCAGUGGUAGAGAGCUUGCCUAGCAUGUUUAAGGCACUGGGUAUGAUUCUCAGCACCACAUACAAAAAAAUAAAAAUAAAGGUAUAGUGACAACUAAAAAAUACUAAAAGCAAAAAAGGAGAGAAAAGAAAUCCUGCAGAAGUGUGACGUGUGUGGGAAGGCCCCCCCUGCCUGGCUCCUGCAUGACCACAGGGCUGCACUGCUCUCAAGAGUCCAAGUUAGCCUCAGACUGUGUCACCUGGGCAGUGAGUGGAAACAGGCCCUCACAUCCCCCAGGCUCCAGAGGUGUGGGGUGUUUGCACAGAGACUGUCAAUAACCUUGGAGAAACAGAUGAGUAACACUUCAGGAACCAUAUCCUGAUCCAGGACAGGGGCAGCCUUUCCAUCAUGCUGGAAGAAGAGGUAGCAUCCAAAGGAGCCACGUGGAAAUAAUGGAUGUGCCCAUUUGUGUUCACCCCUCACCCAGUAGGCGUUGUGCUGAUGGUGAGGCCAGGGGCACAUGUGAGAAGCAGUUGAAGGAGAGGGGCAGCUUCUCCCUGGUGCACAUGAAAGAGUGCAGGCCUCUAAGUCAUUCUCUGUACUCAGGGACUCACACAUGUCUGGAGACUGCUCCACAGCACUGAGUAGCAUCACCAUGUGGAUGACAGCCUGUCAAGGACAUGGGCCUGCAUGAUUGAAUAGCCAUGAAGUGUACAAUCAAAGAAGCAAGGUACUGCUGAGAUGCCAGUUGCAAGGUGGGAAAAUUGUGGUUUUCAAUGAUAACCUGGGUGGAAAUUGUGUGAAUCUUCAUGGUGAACAAGAAACACUUUUUAAAUCUUAAAAAUAACAGAUCAUAUGUCACUGGUGUUCUUUCUUUGGUAGUCAAAAUAUUAACAAAUUAUUAUGGUUUUUACUUUAUCCACUCACAGUCUUGAUAGGCCCUGACUCUCUCAUAUCAACUCUAUGACUCAGCCUCCCUUAGCUGGACUUGUCAUUUCCAUUCUCUCACUGUCACUCUGUGUGUAGCUUUACAGGAGAGGUUAGGUUCUUUUUUUAAUAUUUAUUUUUUAGUUGUUGUUGGACAAAAUACCUUUAUUUAUUUAUUUUUAUGUGGUUCUAAGGAUGGAACCCAGGGCCCCGCACAUGCUAGGCACAUACUUCACUGAGCCACACCCCAGCCCAAGGUUCCGUUCUUGAGGCAGUAUAUUUUGGGGUCUUAUUUUUUAUCCAUUCAAGCACUAGAUAGAUGUCUUUAAGUGGAGAAAUAGCAAGUUAUAUUGAAUUAUUGAAAGGCACGGGCUUUAUCAUUUUGUUGAUUUUCUUCUCAUUUUUUUGUAUAUCCUUUGUUACUUCUUCCUGUCUUCUUCAUCUCUGUGGUUUGAUGCAUACUGAUUGAUCAUAUCUGAUUCUUCCCUAGUCUCAAUUAAAUGUGUGCUUUUGUAUUGGGAUUUAUUCUUUCCCUCUUUCUUGUUUUGGUAAUCUGUCUUCGUCCAUUCCCAGGUGUGCGAUUCACUUCAGCUUCCUUUGCAAUGCUAGUGUGUGUUCAUGAAUUCCCUUGGUGGGAGCAUAUCUUGGGAGGUCUUUAUUUCUCCUUUGACUGUGCAGUCUACCACUGCUGGGUAUAGUAAUCUUUGAUGGCACUUGUUUUACUUCAGGACUUGAAAUACACCAUGCAUGUCCUUUGGCCCUUAGGUCUUCUGAGAAGGCUGAUGUCAGCAGUGGUCUUGUCUUUGGUGUUGUUUGGUCCUCUCUCAUGCUGGUUCUAAAGUUUCUUGUGCUUCGCUUUUCACUGAAGGACUGUUGUGGUGGCAGGAUUUUCUCAUCAUUACAUUUGGGGUUCCAUGGCCCUGUGCACUUGGUGUCUGUGUCUCCACGUGUGCAUCACUAGGAGGCAUCAACAAUUGGGUCUUUUUCUCCCCCUAAUUCUGUCAUGAAAGUGAGUACCUGGGUGUCACUAUGAGUGGAUGGUGGUUGGAACUGGGCAAAAGUCCCGUCAUCUGGGCUUGGGGUGCAGCGCAGUGGCAGAGUCCUGCAACACAUUUGAAGCCCUGUGUUCCUCACCAGUAAAACACACCCACCCACCCACACACACACACACACACACACGUUUCUCUUAGAUGAGGUGCAUUCAUGGACUGAGUUGAGCAGCUUCUCUCUGGAUCAUAGGUUGUGUGCCCCAGGGGCAGGCUGAGGCCAAGGUUUUCCCAAUUCAUUCAGGUGUAUUACCCACCAGGUACUAAACAGAAGUAGGUGGCAGCUAAGCCAGGUGGUAUUUCUGUCAGCUGAUGUUCAUAGGGGCGAGCAAGGGCAGAAUGCAGCCAGCAUCAAGCAGAACUUCCUCCAGGUUCUUGUACUGCACGUCCAGGGGUGCAUCAGGCUGGAUCAGGUUAGCUUGUUGGGAAGGUCUCCACAGGAUGCCCCUAUAGACAUGGGACGUGCUGUUACCACAACAUUUUGUUCUGGGGUGGCAAAGGAACUGUGUGUCCAUCACCCACCUCAACCUUGGCACCCCCAGUCCUGGAACCUUGCUAGGCCAGGUGCUUCUGACCCGCCCUGAUUCUCAGAGGGCAGCCCCCCAGCUUUCUGCUUCAUCUGGAGUGCCGCCCUCCAGGCUGCAGCUCCUGUUCCCCACCACGUGGGACUCCAGCAGGUUUGCACCCACGUCUCCCGACCAGGUCAGGACCUGUGAGACAGCAUCUGGCAGUGAACCAAUACCCACAGGAGCCUACUGUGGGAAUAGGUGGUUUCUGACCUCUGGAGCAGAUGAGACUUAGACAAUAGGUCCCUCCUCAAGAUAUCUCUCUACUGUAGCACCUUGGAAAUAUUCUUCACCAAAACUUAAUAUAUAUAAAGAAAAUUAUUUGUUCUUUUCAGUUAUAGUUGACAGUAGAGUGUGUUUUGACAUAUUAUAUGUACUUGGAGUGUACCUUCCCAUUCUAGUAGUUGUACAUGAUGUGGAGUUACACUGUCAUGUAUUCAUAUGUGAACAUGGGAAUGUCAAACCCCAUUCAUUCUACUGUCUUUGCCAUUCCCAUCUCCCCUCCCUUCCCUUCAUUCUACUACUAAAACUGAGUUUAAUAAAAUAAUUGAACUCAUGAUGAAUAUUUUAGACCCCUUUUAUAUAGCUGUUUCCCUAACUAUAUAGUCUGAUUAAAAGCACAAAGUAAUAUUUCUAUAGAGUUGCAAGGUAACCAGGAAGUUUAUUAGCCCUUAGUAUAACAGAAUAAACAAAAACAACUUCAUGGCCAUUUGUUAAGCUUAUUAUCAUCUAAUAUUAAGAAUACCAUGCUUUUUUUUACCAUGCACGGUGGUGCAUGACUGUAAUCUCAGUGCCUAGGGGUGUGGGGGCUGGGUGUGGGGGCGAGGCUGGGUCAGGAGGAUAGUGAGUUCAAAGCCAGCCUCAGCAAUGGUGAGGUGCUAAGCAAGUCAGUGAGACCCUGUCUAUAAAUAAAAUACAAAAUAGGGCUGGGGAUGUGGCUCAGUGGUCAAGUGCCCUGAGUUCAAUUCCGAGUACCUUCCCCAAAAAAGUAUUCUGUGUUUUUGGCAUUCUAAAGCCUGUUCUUAUUGUUUGUUUUGUUUUGGGUACCAGGAAUUCAAACCAGGGGUUCUACUCCACUGAGCCACAUACCCAGUCCUUUUUAUUUUGUAUUUUGAGACAGUGUCUUGCUAAGUUGCACAGGGCUUUGCUGGAUUGCUGACGAUUGCUUGGAACUUGUAAUUCUCCUGCCUCAGCCUCCCAAGAUGCUGGGAUUACAGGUUUACACCACUGCACCCAAAUUAAAGACUUUUUUAAAAAAUUGAAAUAAUUUUAAGUAUCUUUAAACAUAACAGAAAACAAAAAAUUAUUAGAAUAUGCUGUAUUAGUUUAUGUUUGAUUAUGCUACUAGAUAAAAUACUAUGUAAAUGAAUAUAGUAAAGUAAAUAGAAACAUUAAAAUAAGUAAACAACACCGGAUAUGGUGGUGCACACCUUUAUCCCAAUGGCUCUGGACACUGCUGAAGCAGGAGGACUUCAAGUUCAGAGCCAGGCUCAGGAACUUAAUGGGGCACUGAGCAAGUCAGUGAGACUCUGUCUCUAAAUGAAAUUUAAAAUAUCAUGGGUGAUGUGCCUCAGUGGUUAAGCACCCUGGUUCAAUCCCUGGUAUCACCAAAAAAAAAAAAAAGUUUCAAUUUAAAUACAUCAGAAAGCUUUAAAAUCCCUUUCACUAAUCUAUAAGUUUGUGGUUUUCUGUAUUUCAUGACAUUGAUUUUUUAUAAAUGUAAACAUCUGCUCUAAUUUGUUGUGAUUUCCUGGCUUUGGACUAAAGUUCUGAGCAGAGAAUGCUCCCAGCUCUGUACUGGGCAACUUCCUGCUUCGCAUCCUGAGAACUGUUGAUGAAGUAUUUUCCUGGGACAUAUCUAUCUGAUCUCAGAUUUUGUCAGCAACAGAAAAUCAAAAAUUAAGCCUUCCUUCAAAGCAAGUUCAAACCAUGCCUAUGUCUACACUUCUUUCAGAAUUUGCUGCUGGCUUCCACACUUAUUCUCCUGUGGUUUGAGUGUCUCCUGUAGAAGAUACAGCAUCUUUGUGCAGAUUAAAAAAGUGUCCACCUUACAAACAUAUUUGGGAUAAGGGAUCUGAAGUCAUAAAGAUAGGAGGUCUGCAAAUGUGUCAUCCCUGGGAGUCAAGGGUUGUGGUUCAUCAGUAAAUUUAGUUUCAGUUUGAAUCAUUUCAACUUCCUGGUAUGUGUGCCUACACAGAUGGAGUAAGAAGUGAUUUGGAAUGUCUCUUCCUGCUUAUAUCUAUUUCAUACCUGGAAUGUACAGCUUAAGUGAACUAAGACCAAUCCAUGAAUAAGUCUACCUUUGGUAACUCAGGAAAUUAAAUGAAACCACUUGUUAAACUAACUUCUUGUCCUUUGUUCUCUAUAGAACCAGACCCUGUGGAUACCAUCUUAGGACACUGAUUCUGAGCAUCUGAAAUUCCUGUUUUCCUAUGUUAUCAUCCUCAAUAUUGGCUCAAGUAACCUGCUUGUCUUACGUGGUUUUGUGAGAUUGUGUUACAGUUUGACAAAACUUUCCUUGAGAAGAUGCAGCCUUGAGACAGACCCUGCCUUGAAAGAACAAUGCAGGUGGUAUUUCCUCCUAGGCUCCAUCUGGUGAGACAGGAGCAUUGACGGAGGGUGGAACUGACCACUCCCUUCCUUGGGCCACAGAGGAUUGGGAUGUGCACAUGCCUUCCUGAGAUACCUUCUUUAAUUGUGGAAGUCCUGGUCCCCUCCUUCAGUCUCCUGUGCUGUUACUAACAGGGCUGUUCCACUUCACACUGGUGGGGUCAAUUUAUGAGGAAGAGAAGGCUGAGAGACAGUAGUGACACAGCCAGCCUUGGUACAGGUCUGAGUUAAUCUCUUUGUUGUCAGAAAUGGUCCAUGCUUCAACUUAGGAUGGACCACAGACAGGGGGGGAUACACACUCCUGAGAACACCUGCCUCAAAAUCAUCAUUUCCCCUACUAAAUUUGUGCUGUUGAAGUUAAUAAUGAAAAAAGAAAAACUAGGUUUAUGAUUUGAUUGAGAAAACUCAGUGGUUUUCCUGGGGACACAUUUUGGCAUCUGAGUCAUCAGCUUCCUUUUGAAAAUAAGGGUUGGCUCACCAAGACUUGCCCAAUAACACUUCAAAUCUCUCCUCAAUAUAUUCAUCCCUCUGUGUUCCCAGAUUCAAAACUAAUUGUUGUGACCUUUGACCAGUGUUACUCACUUUAUUACAUUAAAAUCAUGACUUCAACCCUUUAAUGUCAGAUCUAAAAUCCUAUAACCAUGCAUCCACAAUUCACUCUGUGAGUGUCUAUCAAAGUGACAUCCUCCAGGCUGAACUGCUUCCUGAGUGACAUCCCCCAUGCUGAACUGCUUCCUGAAAGUGAAGGAGCAUGAGUGAUGAGUGAGCUCUGGAUUAGAACACUACUUCUUAAAGUCUGACUUCUUAAACACUGACUAUGAUCCCAAUCAGCAUGUUUAUCUGAACAAUUUUAACAAGAGUCUUUAAUGCACCUUGGUUUGAAACAACUGUAUAGAAGAAUGACUGUAGUUUUAUCCCUGAUGAAAAGUGGUUGCCCACGUGUGUGGCAAUAUCUCUGGUUAUAUAAGGUCUUUCAUAAGAAUGUAAAGAAAGUAUCGAUUCAUUGUUCCAAGUGUAAAAAAAGAAGAAAGCCAUCAAAUAUUUUCACACAAUUUGUGCCUCUCCAAAAGGAGCAUAAAUAAUGAUGCUUGGAGCUGAUCCCACCAUGUCAGAUUGGCUUUCUACAGGGUUUGGUGGGCCAUGGCACAGAUUCCUACUCUGCGUUCAUGUGUCAGAGAAUCUUUCUGGAGUGGACACUGAAGCAUUGGAAAGAUACAGUGGCAUCCCAGAUGGGAAUGCCAUGUGAGUGCAAGAUGGUGGUACUCCGUUGAGAAUGAAUCAUCAGCCUCACGCAUGGUAGGUGAGCACUGUGCCUCUGAGCCGCAACCCCAGCCCUCAUUCUACUAUCUUUCCUAUCCUCACAUCCCCAUCCCUCCCCUCCCAUCAUUUCCUGCUACAUAAUCUAAGAUAAUGUUAUUCUUCCCUAGUGCCUCCUGCCUUACUGUGAAUUAGCAUCCACAUAUUAGAGAAAAUAUUUGGCCUUGGAUUUUGUGGGAUUGGCUUAUUUCACUUAGCAUAAUAUUCUCCAACUUCAACCAUUCACUGGAAAAUGUCAUAAUUUCACAAUUCUUUAAAGCUGAGUAAUAUUCCAUUUUUUUAUCCAUUCAUCUAUUGAAGGGCAUCUAGGUUUCCUCCACAGUUUAGCUACUGUGAAUUGAGCUGCUAUAAACAUUUAUAUGUCUAUUUAUAUGUCUGUCUCACUAUAGUAUUCUGAUUUAAAGUCCUUUGGGUAUAAACCAAGGAGUGGGAUAGCUGGGCCAAAUGGUGGUUCCAUUUCCAGUUUUCUGAGGAAUCUCCAUAUUUCUUUCCAUAGUGGUUGCACCAAUUUGCAGUUCCACAAGCAAUGUAUGAGUGUACAUUUUCCCCAACAUCCUCACUAACAUUUAUUGUUGCCUGUAUUCUUGAUGAAUGCCAUUCUGACAGGAGUGAGAUGAAAUCUUAGAAUAGUUUUGAUUUGCAUUUAAUUGCUAGACAUUUUGAACACUUUUUCAUAUAUUUGUUGAUCAAUUUUAUUUCUCCUGUGAAGUGUCUGUUCAGUUCCUUAGCCCAUUUAUUAAUUGGGUUUUUUUUUUUUUUUGGUGUUAAGUUUUGUGUGUUCUUAAUAUCCUAGAGAAUAAUGCUUUAUUGGAGUGCAAGUGAUAAAGAUUUUCUCCCAAUCUGUAGGCCCUCUCCUUAAAUUAUUAAUUGUUUCCUUUGCUGAGAAGAAGCUUUUUAUUUUGAAUACAUCCCAUUUAUUUAUUCUUGAUUUACUUCUUGUGCUUUAGGAGUCUUGUUAAGGAAGUCAGAUCCUAGAUUGAUUUGUUGAAGAUUGGGGCCUAUUUUGUCUUCUAUUAGGUACAGGGUCUCUGUUUUAGUGCCUAAGUCUUUGAUCUAUUUUGAGUUGAUUUUUGUGCAGGAUGAGAGACAGAGGUUUAAUUUAAUUUUGCUACAUACGGAUUUCUUCUUUUGCCAGCACCCUUUGUUGAAUAGGCUAUCUUUUCUCCAGUGAAUGUUUUUGGCACCCUUGUUUAGUGUGAGAUAACCGUAUUUAUGUGGGUUUGUCUCUGUGUCCUCUAUUCUGUACCAUUGGUCUACAUGUCUGUUUUGGUGCCAAUAUCAUGCCGUUUUUUGUUACUAUAGCUCUGUAGAAUAGUUUAAGCUCUAGUAUUGUGAUGCCUCCUGCUUCACUUUUCUUGCUAAGGAUUGCUUUAGCUAUUCUGGGUCUCUUAUUUUUCCAAAUAAAUUUCAUGAUUGCUUUUUCUAUUUCUAUGAAGAAUGUCAUUGGUAGGAAUUGCAUUAAAUCUGAGAAUUGAGAAUUUUUGCAUCUAUGUUCAUCAGGGAUAUUGAUCUGAAGUUUUCUUUCCUUGAUGUGUCUUUGUCUGGUUUUGGUAUCAAGGUGUUAUUAGCCUCAUAGAAUGAGUUUGGAAGGAUUCCCUCAUUUACUAUUAUGCUUUUGGUAGUAUAGUCAUUUUGAUAAUAUUAAUUCUGUCUAUCUAGGAGCAUGGAAGAUCUUUCCGUCUUCUGAGGUUUUCUUCAAUUUCUAUCUUUAAUGUUCUGUAAUUUUCAUUGUGCAGGUUUUUCACCUCUUUUGUUAGAUUGAUUCCCAGGUAUUUUAUUUAUUUAUGUUUUUUGAGGCUAUUGUGAAUGGAGUAGUUUUCCUAAUUUCUCUUUUAGUGGAUUCAUUGGUGAUGUAUAGGAAUGUGUUUAAUUUGGGGGUGUUGAUUUUAUAUACUGCUAUUUUGCUGAAUUUAUUUAUUAGUUCUAGAAGUUUUCUGGUGUAAUUUUUUUGAUCUUUCAGAUAUAGAAUCAUGUUUUUGCAAAUAGUGAUAGUUUGAGUUCUUAUUUACCUAUUUGUAGCCAUUUAAUUUCUUUCUUUUAAUUGCUCUGGCUAGAGUUUCAAGGAUGAUGUUGAACAGAAGUGGUGAAAGAGGACAUCCUUGCUUGUUCCAAUUUUUAGUGGGAAUGUUUUCAAUUUUUCUCUAUUUAGGAUGAUGCUAGCCUUGGGUUUAGGACAUCUCAAAGCCCUAGAAAAAGAAUAAAUCAACACCAAAAGCAGUAGAAGACAGGAAAUAAUUAAAAUCAGAGCUGAAAUAAGUGAAAUUGAAACAAAAACUGGCAAAACAAAAAGCUGGUUCUUUGAGCAAUCAGAUUUCUGUUCUUGGUACAUUGGAUUACCAUUUAUUCCAUAUCUGGAUAAUUUGCCAAACUUCAAUAGAUCAGUUGAUGGAUCAAUCAGGCUGCCAAUUGUGGAUAAAUACAAGGAUUUGGGCACUAUGGUCCUGGGAAAGCUGGAAUCAGGAUCUAUUUGUAAAGGCCAGAAACUUGUGAUGAUGCCAAAUAAGUACAAUGUGGAAGUUGUAGGAAUACUUUCUGAUGAUGUAGAAACAGAUUCUGUAGCACUAGGUGAAAACUUCAAAAUCAGACUCAAAACAAUUGAAGAAGAAGAGAUUCUUCCAGGAUUCAAACUUUGUGAUCCUAAUAACCUUUGUCAUUCUGGACGCACAUUUGACGCCAGAUAGUGAUUAUAUAGCAUAAAUCCAUCAUCUGCCCAGGGUAUAAUGUGGUGCUGCAUAUUCAUACCCGUAUUGAGGAAGUCAAAAUAACAGCCUUAAUCUGCUUGGUAGACAAAAAAUCAGAGGAAAAAGUAAGACUCGACCCCGUUUUGUGAAACAAGAUCAAGUAUUCAUCGCCUGCUUAAGGACAGCAGGAACCAUCUGCCUUGAGACCUUUAAAGACUUCCCUCAAAUGGGUCAUGUUACUUUAAGAGAUGAGGGUAAGACCAUUGUAAUUGGAAAAGUUCUGAAAUUGGUUCCAGAGAAAGACUAAGCAUUUUCUUGAUGACCCUGCACAAUACUGUGAGGAAAAUUGACUGCAAAAGCCUACUUCACACCACCUUCUCUUAUUUUCUCCCCAUUGAUAAACUUCUUCCCAUAUUUUUCAAAGAGAAAAUUCACCUCAAAAGUCCACAUUAUGUCAGCUUUCUCAUAUUGAGAGCUCUGCUAUAGCACUGUGGAAUUUAUCCCAAGAUCUCCUCCUCCCCUUUCAAACUCUGCUUCCUUGGACAGAUUUGGCAAUAGCUUUGUAAGUGAUGUGGACAUAAUUGCCUACAAUAAUGAAAACCUACAGGAAUUUUUUAUUUUUCAUUUUCCCCUUAGGCAUAGUCCUUCUUCCCCAGGCAGAUCAUUCUGAGUGUGCAGAGUGUGUGUCCAUUUGGAAAAAAAAGUUGGUUCUUUGAAAAAAUAAAUGAAAUAGAUAAGCCUCUGGUCAUGCUAACAAAGAGAAAACUCCAAUUACUAAAAUACAAGAUGGAGAAAAUACUACAAUGGACACGUCUGAAAUACAGAAGAUAACUAGAAACUAUUUUGAAAAUUUAUACUCUAAUAAAAUAGAAAAUAUUAAAGACAUUGACAAAUUUCUAGACAUAUGACCUAUACAAACUGAAUGAGGAGGUCAUGCAUGCUUUAAACAGAUCAGUUUCAAGUAAUGAAAUAGAAAAUGCCACCAGAAGCCUACCAACUGCGGUUGUAGCUCAGUGAUAACGUGCUUGCCUAGCAUGCAUGAGGCACUGGGUUCGAUGCUCAGCACCACCUACAAAUAAAUAAAAUAAAGGUCCAUCAACAACUAAUAAAUAAGUAAAUAAAAAGAAUAUAAAAUUUAAAAAAAAAAGCCUACCAACCAAGGAAAGCCAAAGACCAAAUGGAUUCUCAGCCAAGUUCUAAAAGACUUUCAAAGAAAAAUUAACACCAAUACUCCUCAAAGUAUUCCAUGAAAUAGUAAAGGAGGGAACCCUUCCAAACUCAUUCUAUGAGGCUAAUAACACCCUGAUACCAAAACCAGACAAAGACACAUCAAGGAAAGAAAACUUCAGAUCAAUAUCCCUGAUGAACAAAGAUGCAAAAAUUCUCAAUAAAAUUCUGGCAAAUUUGCAUACAAAAACAUAUUAAAAAGAUAGUGCACCAUGAUCAAGUGGGAUUUAUCCCAGGGAUGCAGGGUUGGAUCAACAUACAGAAAUCAAUAAACAUAAUUCAUCAUAUUAAUAGACUUAAAAACAAGAAUCAUGAUCAUCUCAAUAGAUGCAGAAAAAGCAUUUGACAAAGUACAGCACACCAUCAUGUGAAAAACUAGGGAUAGUAGGAACAGACAAUGUUUUUUUAACUGAAACUUGUGAUGUGCAGUUGUGUCAAACCUCUCAAAAGUAAAUAAAGCUGGAAGGUUAUAAGGAAAGGGUUCUAGUGUGGGAGUGCCUAGUAAUAUCUAUCACAAAGGCUCCUCCAGAGUCAGAAGUUUAUCCUGAGUCAAUUUUGGCCUAAUUUCAUAAGCCUAAAAUCCUUCUAACUUGCUACAUAAGCAUAAUUGAUCUGUAAGUAUUUUUUGCUGGUAUGAUUAUCUAGCCCGAAUAUUUAUUCCUCAGAUUGGUCUAAAAGAUGGCAUGUUAAAGUGCUAACUUCACCAAGAGAUCCCAAAUGACACAGAUCAAAGGAUCCCUUUACUAACACAGUGGUAACAGAGAACAAAAGCUGUUUUAUUUUGAUGUAUCUUUGUCUGGUUUUUGUAUCAGGGUGAUAUUAGCCUCAUAGAAUGAUUUUGGAAGGGUUCCUUCCUUUUCUAUUUCAUAGAAUACUUGGAGGAGUAUUGGUGUUAAUUCUUCUUUGAAGGUCAUGUAGAACAUUGCUAAAAAUUCAUCUGGUCCUGGGAUUUUCUUAAUCAGUAGUCUUUUGAUGGUGUUUUCUAUUUCUUUACUUGUAAUUGGUCUGUUUAAAUUGUGUAUGUCCUCCUGAUUCAGUUUGUGUAGGUCAUAUGUCUCUAGAGAUUUGUAGAUGUCUUCAAGAUUUUCUAUUUUAUUGGAGUGUAAAUUUUCAAAAUAGUUUCUAAUUUUCUUCUGUAUUUCAGUUGUAUCUGCUGUGAUGUUUCCUUUGUCAUUGUGUAUUUUAGUACUUUUGAGUUUUCUCUUCAAUAGUGUUACUAGGGGUUUAUUGAUUUUAUUUAGUUUUUCAAAGAACCAACUUUUUGUUUUGUCAAUUUUUAAAAAUUGUUUGUUUCAACUCCAUUGAUUUCAACUCUGAUUUUAAUGAUUUCCUGCCUUGUAUUUGAUGUUGAUUUGUUCUUAUUUUCCUAGGCCUUUGAGAUGUAAAUUUAGGUCAUUUAUUUUUUGAUUUUUAUUCUUUUAAUAAAUGAGCUCAAUGCAAUGAAGGUUCCUCUUAACACUGACCUCAGCGUGUCCCAGAGAUUUUGAUAUGUUGUAUCACUCUUCUUAUUUACCCUGAGUACUUUUUAAAUUUCAUCCCUGAUUUCAUCUGUUAUUCAUUUGUCAUUUAAUAGCAUAUUAUUUAGUCUCUAGGUGUUAGAGUAGCUUCUAUUUUUAUUCUAUCAUUGAUUUCUAAUUUCAUUCCAUUAUGAUUUGAUAGAACUCAGGGUAUUAUUUCUAUUUUUUUGUAUUUGCUAAAAGUUGCUUUAUGGCAUGUGAUAUGGUCUAUUUUAGAGAAGGAUCCAUGUGCUGCUGAGAAGAAAGUGUAUUUGAUCAUUGAUGAAUGAAAUGUAUAUAUGUCUGUUAUUUCUAAAUUAUUGAUUGUAUUAUUUAGUUCUAGAGUUUCUUUGUUUAGUUUUUGUUUGGGGGAUCUAUCCAGUGGCUACAAAUGUGUUAAAAUCAUCCAGUGUUAUUGUGUUGUGGUGUAUUUGAUUAUUUUUUUUUUAAAUUAUUUUAUUCAUUUAUUCAUUUUAGUUAUUUAUGGACUUUUAUUUUUUAUUUAUAUGUGGUGCUGAGAAUUCAACUCAGUACAUCACAUAUUCAAGGCAAGCACUCUACCUCUGAGCCAAAACCCCAGACCCGGUCUAUUUGAUUCUUGAAGUUGAAAAGUGUUUGUUUGAUGUAUAUAGAUGCUCCAUUGUUUAGGGCAUAAAUAUAUAUGAUUGUAAUGUCUGGUUGAUGAAUAAUUCCCUUAAGCAGUAUAAAAUUGCCUUCUUCUAUCCCUUUUGAUUAACUCUGGCUUGAAGUCCACUUUAUCUGAUAUGACGAUGGAAACCCUGCUUGUUUACACAGUCCAUAUAUGUGAUUUUCCCCAUCCUUUCACCUUCAGUCUGUGGAUGUCUUGGCCUACGAGGUGAAUCUCUUGGAGACAGCAUAUUGUUGGGUUUUGUUUUUUAUUCCCAUUUGACAGUCUAUGUCUUUUGAUUGAAGAGUUUGGGCCAUUAACAUCCAUGAUUUAUAUUUCUGGUCAUUUUGGUUUAUUUCUGGUUUUUAAUUUGACUUAGUUUCUCCUUUGGUUGACUGUUCCUUUGGUGUAGUUCCUCUCUUUGCUGGUUUUCACUUUUUUUUCCCAUUUCAUCCUCAUGAAGUAUUUUGAGAAUGUUCUGUAGUACAGGCUUUCUAAUAUGAAUUGUUUUAAUUUUUGUUUAUCAUGCAAGAUUUUUUAUUUAAUCUUCAAAGCUGAAACUUAAUUUUGCUGGAUUUAAAUACUUGGUUCGCAUCCAUUUUCUUUCAGAGCUUAAAAUAUACUAUUCCAGGACUUACCCCAUACAUAGUUUUUUCCCCCCACUCUCUUGUGAUAUUUAAAAAUUUAUCCUUAUUCUCUGUUAAUCAUUCUCAUUACAAUGUGUCUUGGGAAGGUCUGCUGUUUUGUACAUUUGGAGUUUUGGAAGCUUCUUGUAUUUGAUUUUCCAUUUCAUUCUUUAAGUUUGAGAAAUUUUCUGAUAUUAUAUCUUUGAAAAGAUUGUACAUUUCUUUGGUUUUUAUAUACUCCUUCAUCUAGCUCAGUAACUCUUAAAUUUUGUUUUUUUCAUAUUAUCCCAUAAUUCUUGGAAGUUCUGUUCUUGGUUUCUUAUGAUUUUGUCUGCAGGUCAACCAGUCAAAGGCACAUCAAAGGAAGAAAACUUCACAUCAAUAUCCCAGAUGAAUAUAGACAUAAAAAUUCUCAAUAAAAUUCUGGUAAACUGCAUAUAAAAACAUAUUAAAGAGUGCACCAUGAUCAAGUAGGGUUCAUCCAAGGGAUGAAGUUUGGUUUAAUCAAUAACAAUAAUUCAUCACAUCAAUAGAUGUAAAAAUCAGAAUCAUAUGAUCAUCUCAAUAGAUUUUAAAAAAAGCAUUUGACAAAAUACAGCACCCCUUAAUGUUCAGAACACUAGAAAAACUAAAUAUAGUAGGAGCAUACCUCAACAUCAUAGAAGCUAUCUAUGCUAAACUCAAGGCCAACAUCAUUCUAAAUGGAUAAAAAUUGAAAGCAUUCCCUCUAAAAAGUGGAACAAGACAAGAAUGUCCUCUUUGAUCACUUCUAUUCGACAUCAUCCUUGAAAUUCUAGCCAAAGUAAUUAGACAGGAGAAAGAAAUUAAAUUAAAUGGAUACAAAUAGGAAAAGAAGAACUCAAAUUAUUUGCUGAUGACAUGUAUAUUUAGGAGACCCCAAAAAUUCCACCAGAAAACUUCUAGAACUCAUAAAUCAAUUCAGCAAAGUUUCAGAUUAUAAAAUCAACAUGGAUAAAUCAAACACAUUCCUAUAUAUUAGUGAUGAAUCUACUGAAAGAGCAAUUAGGAAAAUUACCCCAUUCACAAUAGCCUCAAAAAAAAAAAAAAACCUGUGAAUCAAUCUAACAAAAAAGGUGAAAGAUCUCUACAAUGAAAACUAUAGAACACUAAAGAAAUAAAUUGAAGAAGACUUCAGAAGAUGGAAAGAUCUCUAAUGUUCUUGGAUAUGCAAAAUUAAUAUAGUCAAAAUUAUCAUACUGCCAAAAGCAUUAUAUAGAUUUAAUUCAAUUCCUUUUAAAAUCCCAGUAAGUGGGCUGAGGCUGUAGCUCAUUGGUAAAGCUUUUGCCUCGCAUGCUGAGGCACUGAGUUCAAUCCUCAGCACCACAUAAAAAUAAAAAACUGUGUGUUCAUCUACAACUAAAAAAUAUACAUAAAAAUAUUUUAAAAAAUAAAAUCCCAAUGACAUUCUUAAUAGAAAUAGAAAAAGUAACCAUGGGACCCAUUUGGAAAACUAAGAGACACACAGUAUCCAAAGCAACCCUUAGCAAGAAGAGUGAAGCAGGUGGCAUCACAAUACCAGACCUUAAACUAUACUAUAGAGCCAUAGUAACAAAAACAACAUGGUAUUGGCAAUAAAACAGACAUGUAGACCAAUAGUACAGAAUAGAGACACAGAGACAAACCCAUUUAAAUACAGUUAUCUCAUACUAGACAAAGGUACCCAAAACAUACAUUAGAUAAAAAAUAGCCUAUUCAAUAAAUGGUGAUAGGAAAACUGGAACUCCUCAUAUAACAAAAUGACAUUAAUCCCCUAUCUCCCACCCUGCAUGGAACUCAACUCAAAAAAUACCAGAGACCCUACACCUAAUAAAAAGUAGGCCUAAACCUUCACAAUGUUGACUUCCUUAACAAAACUCCUAAAACACAAGAAGUAAUAUCAAGAAUCAAUAAAUGAGAUGGAUUCGAACUAAAAAGCUUCUUCUCAGAAAGGAAACAAUCAAUAAGUUAAAGAAAGAGCCUACAUAGGGCUAGGGAGAUAGCUCAGUUGGUAGAGUGCUUGUGUCACAUGCACAAGGCCCUAAGUUCAAUCCUCAGCACCAAAAAAACAAACAAACAAAAAAACUUGAAGACAUAACCCUCAGAAUGGGAGAAAAUCUUUCCCACCCACAGAGAGCAAACUAAUCUCUAGAGUAUCUAAAGAACUCAAAAAAACUUAACACCAAAAAAAAAAAAAACAAAUAACCUAAUCAAUAAAUGGGCUAAUGAAUUAAACAGACACUUCACAGUACAAUAUAUGCAAUCAAUCAACAAAUAUGUAAAAACUGUUCAACAUCUCUACCAAUUACAGAAUGCAAAUCAAAACUACUCUAAGAUUUCAUCUCAUUCCAGUCAGAAUGGCACUCAUCAAGAAUACAAACAACAAAAAAUGUUGCAAGGAUGUGGGGGUGGUGAGGGCAGCAAGGUAUACACUCAUACAUUCCUUGUGGGAAUGAAAAUUGUGCAAUCAUUAUGGAAAGCAGUUUGGAGAUUCCUCAGAAAACUUGAAAUGGAACCACCAUUGGACUCAGCUAUCCCACUCCUCAGUUUAUACCCUAAGGACUUAAAAUCAGCAUAUUACCAUAAUGCAGCCACAUCAAUGUUUAUAGCAGGUCAACUCACAAUAGCUAAACUAUGGAACCAAUCUAGGUGCCCUUCAACACAUGAAUGGAUUUAAAAAUGUAAUAUAUAUAUAUAUAUAUAUAUAUAUAUGAGAUGAACUAUUACUCAGCCUUAAAGAAGAAUGAAAUUAUGGCAUUUGUUGGUAAACGGAUGGAAUUGGAGAAUAUCAUGCUAAGUAAAAUAAGCCCAUUCCCCCAAACCAAAGGCCCAGUGUUUUCUCUGAUAUGCAGAUGCUAAUUCACAAUGUGGGGGUAAGCUAGGGAAGAAUAAAGUUACUUUAGGUAGAGGGGAAUAAAGGAAGGGGAGAAGGUAUGGGGGCAGGAAGGAUAGUAGAAAGUAUGAGACAUUAUUACCAUAUGUAUAUAUAUGACUGUAUGACUGGUGGGAUUCUACAUCAUGUACAAUCUGAUGAUCUAUCAAAGUGCACUCUACUGUCAUGUAUUACUAAUUAGGACAAAUAUUUUUUAAAAAGGUGUUUUACAGAAUCCAAUGACAUUAGAUUUCUAUAGUUUAAGGGACACCUAUGAUUUUAUUAAAACUAUAUGAUGUCUGCAUGUUUCUCACGAUUCUGAAAAUCUUUCUAAAGCCUUAAAUGGCUUCCACUCACAAAUCAGUGGCAUAUGGCUCAUCCCCGAAGCUUUCACGAGUUACUGUCUUCAUUGUUUUCAGAGACUGGCCGAUGGAACUGAUUGCUUCUGUGCUGUCUGCAGACAAUAGUGCUUUGUUGUGCUUUUUACUGUUGUCUUAGCAUGAUUCUUGCUCUACAUUUGCCUCACGCACCAACAUGAACCUCUGAUGUUCUGCAAUGCUACAUACCCUUCAUGUUCCAUGCCCUACCUGAGGAAGAACAAGGACCCAUGGUCACCUCUCCUAGGUUCACUUCCUUCAGCAGAAAGCAGCCAGAUCAUGCUGAUGUGCAAAUGUCUUGGAACAAUCUGGGGGGAUGCUGGGGAUAUAGCUCAGUUGGUAGAUAUAGCUUAGGUGCUUGCCUUGCAUGCAUAAGGCCCUGGACUCAAUCCCUAGCACAACAGAAAACAAUAGAAUCCAGGAGAGACUGUUAGGUGGCCAGUUGGCCAUGAAUGGGUGAGCAGGAAGAGAUCAAGAAGUGCGGCUGAGCCUCGGGAGCCUUAUCUGAGUGGCAAACACCCGUAAGAUGGGGGCCUGCUAGGUCAAAGCCUCCUCUAGCAUUCAUUGAGAUAAACUAUCAUUUCUGGACCAUGUCAUCAUUAUUUCAUGUAACCAAGGCUCCUGGAUCCUCCCUUAUCUCCAAAACUAGGUCAUAACACAUAUUAAAAAGUAAUGAACCAAUUAAAGGGCAGGAAAUUGAGGCAAAAAUAGGGAAAUUCAAUAAGAAACCCAUUAGGGGAUGGGGAAAUUGAGACAAAACAGUGGGACUCAAUCUCCCUAAAAACUCCCAAUUCUGAGCAGUACAUCAUCCUCUCUGGGAGGAAGUCCAUGCAGCUUCUAUGAUGUAAGUCAAAAGGUGGCAUGGACAGAACUCUGGAAACUUCCUGGACCUCCCAGUGAAACUGGAGAGCAGGAGGAGUGUGCUAUCCCUCUCCUUCCUGAGAGGACUCACUCUCUGCCUUCAGUGAUCCUUUGCCACUUUCACAUGCAUUCUAAUGAGCUCACUUCUGUUACACUGAGAAACAUGUCUGGAAUCUUUCUGGCAUGAUUGCAAGUCUUGGGGUGAAGGGGGGCUCUUCAUGCUGCCUCAAUUGUGUGGAAGGCCUCAUACCUGUAACAUCACCAUGGGGUGGGAAAGAGCUCCAUGGUUCAGGGCUGCUCCAGACACAGGCUCCACUGAGGGUGACAUGAGCGAUGACUUGGCUCUGUCCGUCUGCCCACCCCUGGGGUACACAGCCUAAGUUGGUGUGGAGAGGGACUUUGCCACAUCCUGUCUAGCUUGAUUCCAUGGGCACUUUAGUUCAAAGAGUUGUGGGGUGAAAAUCCCUGCCAUUGUCCUUGGGUGCACAGGAGGCCUGGGAGGAGUGUCCCUGGCUCUGGCUCCAGCUUGCUCCCUGGUGAUAGAGGAAAGACCUGGCUGUCUUCCCAUCCCCAGGCAUGCCAGCUAGGACAUACCACAGUAGCAAUAGAGGGGACCCUGAAAUCUCCAUGAGAACAAGCCCACAUCAGCCUGCUGGAGGAAGGCGCACCACAGGGAGGAAAGUGGAGGUGCCCCAGUACACAGCCAGCUCACCCCCAGAAGCAGAGCUGUCUGGUCAACCAUCCUAAUGCUCACUUGAAGGAGCCCAGCUGAGCCUACCUGGAAUUGCUGGCCAGCUCGUUCAUAAACUAAUUUUAUGGAGUGAUUUGUUUUGCAGCAGUAGGUAAGAAAUACAUAAAGAAAUACAUGCAGGUAAAUUGAAAGUUUCUCCGAUAUGCAGGAGCUAAUUAAAAAUAAGAGAGGAGGGGUGGUAAAAAAAAAAGAAGAGAGAAAAAAACACAGGAGAGGAAAUCUCAACAAAAGUAGAGGAAAGAUGAGUACACUAGACAAAGGGGACAGAGGAGGAGGAAGAAGGGAUGGGAAAAGGAAGGAGCAGUGGAAGGGAUCUGACAGAAUUUUCCUAUAUGCCUGGUCGGGGCAUGGUGGAUCCUGGCAUCAGGCAUAUCCACAGGACACUAAUGAUUUUUUAAAAACUACACUGUAGAUGAACUGAAGAGAUCAGUGGAGUGGAGGGAGGGGUGGGGGGGCAGGGGGAAGUGCUGGGGACUGAACUGGUAUAGGUUGAUUUCAUAUCUUUAUGAACAUGUCAGGGCAUAUCCUGGUAUUGUAUAUAACUAAAAGAAUAAAUGUUUUAAAAAACAGAGAGGAGUGCCAGGGACCAAAGAUAAACCCCAAAGGCAAGCUCACAGGACACACUUCCUCCAGCAGGCCCUGCCUGUUUACAGGUACCAUCCAGUAUAGCGGUUCUUUAAAAUGAUUAAUCCAUCAAGUGGAUGAACCCACUGAUGAAGUUACAACUCUCAUAAAAUAAUCAUUUUGAUAGGAGGCAGACAGAUGUGAGUGGUGGAAACAUGAGGUCAAGUGAAUAAUUCUCUAAAAUGGGCCCACUGUCCUGCCCCUCCUCAUGCUUUAUUUUCCAAGAAGUAUUCAUACACACUACUGCCUGGCCUCAUAUGUCACAUUCUCCUCAACAAACUACCUGUUAUCUGCAGGAGAAAUGCAGGCCCAGAAUAAUGUCAAUAAGAUGAACCCAAGUUACUCUGAGGGGGGACUUUUGUGACACUUUCCCAGAUCAGAUCCUAAAGCUCAGAGAGUUACGGCUCAUUCUCCCUAACUAUAAAAUUUGUAAGAACAGGUUCCAAUCAGAACCAGUCACGUGGACCAAAGUGACCUAGCACUGUCAAGACAGCAGGGAGCAAAAGUCUGAUGUCAUUUUAUUGUCAGUCAAAAGUCAAUAUGUGUAACUUUGGAACUGUCCAGGAACUUCCCUGGGACCCCAAUAAAACUGGAGGACUGGAAGUGCACACCGUCCCUCUCCUGAGAGGUCCCCCUCUCUUGAGAAUGUCCCCUUUCUCCUUCCUAUCCCUUCUAAUAAACUCAUGCCUAUAAUUCUGAGAACUUGCCUGAGAACUUUGUUUUUCUAAAGAAUUGGGGUCUGAAAGGGGCGGUCACACUGCCUCAGUUUCCUAGAAGGCCUCAGGCCUAUAAAAAUGUCACCUCCGAAUGUUCCUGAUGGGUGUCACAUGUGAGCUUCUGGGGAACAUCUCGUGUGCAAUCCAUAACAACACGGAAGGUGGCGUAUUCUGGACUGAAACGUACUGGAAGAUCAGAAUGCAGAGUAAACGUGAGAGCGGUCUCCUCGAAAAUACCCACUAGUAAAAACCUACUGUAUUGGGUUGAUCACAUGUAAAAAAAAAAAAAAAAAACCACUGCACACAUUCGUUGAGUAAUUUAUAAUCAACUUCACCUGCUUGAACUUGGUCCCUGUGGCUUCCAGACCUGUGAACUAAGCUCGAGGCACCCAUCAGGUCGCCACCGCAGGCUGCUGCCCUAGAAGCCGGGCUCCCUUGAGCGUCCAAGCGGUCACAACAGUAGAGGUCAGGAAGGGUGCGCUCUGAACUGCUAAGGCAAAGCUCAUGUCGCUUCAGGCAGGAGCAGCACAUCUCUUCCUCUGCUUUGCUCCGUUCGUGACAACCAUUUCUAAACUAUCUUCUGCCAGCUUCACAGCGAACACGUCCCCACAGGGUCAGGUCUCAGCGCAACCGCGAGGGUGAACCUGAAAAGAGAUGGGUCACUACACCUGUCACUCUGGCCUCUGGCAGCCAGGGAUUGGAUGAGCUUAGCUGUCACUCACGACGGGGGCGUUGCCUAGGUAUUGUCCAUCAGGGCGCUGGGGCGGAACUGUCCAGUCCAGCACGCGAACGGAUGGCAAGGGGGGCGGGCUUCCGCAGUCUCGCGGGCUUUUCUUCCUCGUCCGCGGAGCUCCUUCCUCGCAGGCCCGCGUCCUCUGCUCCGGAAGCUCGGGAGGCUCUGCGCGGCCUGUGUCUCCCCGCUCGGGUUUCUAAAGAUUCCUCGGGAGGACAGCGAAUCACUCCGCAGACCACAGACGGUGGGUGUGCGGUCAAGACUGGCGGACCCGAUCAGCGCCCGGCGUGGGGACCGGCGUGAGGUUCAGCUGCGGAGCGUGGGGCGGAGUCCGGGCUGGUGGGUGGCUCAGGGCCCUGUCCUCUGGGGCCACGAGUGGGCUGGCGCGGGUCCCCGUUGGCGACUGGCGCUGUCCCCUGUCCCCUGGGACCGCGGAGUGGGCUAAGCGGCAGCGGGACCCUGGAGUCCAGUCCUCUCCCUUUGACAACCUCCGACCUCCGUGGGUCAUCUGGGCAGUUCCCGCAGCCGGCGGCUCCCAGGCACGCAGCGGCGGUGGUCGGUGGGAGGAACGCGCUUGUCCGCGCGCCCCGUUCCCCGUGCGCAAGAAGCGGGUCCCAAAUGCAUUGCCAUUCUAGAGCCUGGCUCCUCCUAGGGCAGCAGCUGUGCCUUCCCGCGUUCCCAGACGCCGCCGACUGCACCCUCUGGCGCGCACUUUCUGGACCGUCCGUUCUUAAGGCGACGUGCAGGUGACAGUGAUUUAGUUGUUGUAGUUUCACCAAGUAAUGGACGGCCUAUUUUUUUUUUUUUUUUUUUACGUGGGUGAACAUUUCUUUCCUAGGAGUGGAAAGCAGAGAGGAAUGACCUGAACUUGAGAUUAAGAAGCACUUAUGACUCUUUUAUCUUCUCUAAGGACAGGUGCCUCAUAAAUGCCUUUGGGCACAGGUGUCUUUUGGCCACUUUACAGGAUCCUGUGUCCCGAGCCACUAUCCUGUUCUUUCAUGGGGGUUGUCACAGGGUGUCCACAGCUGCCCCAUGUCCUGCAAGAUGCAGGGAAUUUCAGGCCCUGGUCAGCUCCUCCUAGAGGACAGUUUGAGGUGUGGAGUGCAGCUUCUGAAGGGAGAAGCUGGAGGCCCUGGGGCUGAGGAAUCUCCUGGAGAGGGACACUGUCUCCCCAUAAGACCUGUUCCAUUCUGUUUUUUUUUAAGCCAGGUAUUGAACCCAGGGGCACUUAAUCUGUGAGCCACAUCCACAGCCUUUUUUUAAUAUGUGGAGACAGAGUCUCAGUUGCUGCUUAGGGCAUCCCUAAGAUGCUAAGGCUGGCUUUGAACUCACAAUCCUCCUGCCUCAGCCUCCUGAGCUGCUGGGAUUACAAGCAUGUGCCACUGCACCCUGUGACCUUGUCCAUUCUUAGGGACCCACUGGUCAGACAGUGGGAUGCUGGUAUGAAGGGAGAGGGACAGACAUGAUUCCUGUCCUCUGGAUUCUCUCAGAGUCAUGAAGGGACAACAAGGAUUCCAAAGCAGGGAAAACUGACCCCAGCAGUGUGGAGCAAAAACCUAUAAACUUUUGGCCCAGCCUGUAAUCCCAGCAAGCUUGGGAAGCUUAGGCAGGAGGAUCGCAGUUUUGAAACCUGCUUUAGCAACACCCUGUCUCAAAAUAAAAAAUAAAAUGAGCUGCAGAUGAGGCUCAGUGACAACAGCGACCACUACCACCCAAGAAACUACAAAGGCAACCUGAAGGGGUGGGAGGAUGUGCCUGGUGACAGCUGGGCUGACCUGAAGCUGGAGUCUGACAGGUCAGUGUCCAGGCAGGGAAGCCCUUCCCUGGGUUUGCUGCCUUGGAAAGACUUGCUCACUUCAGUUACUCAUUAGCUGCAAAAUGCCAUUUAUUAGUAGACCUAAAAAAGAUGAGAAAAUAUUUCCAGAGGGCAAGGAAGAAGGGUAAUUCAGAAGAAUAAGAAAAAGAAAUAUUUGGUCUAAUAUUCUGUCAAUUAAAGAUUCUCAUAUACUGUUUCCUCCCUCACACUGAGUUUAUUGCUAUUUAUUUAUUUAUUUCUUUUGUACCAGGGGUUGAACUUAGGGGUAUGUGGAACCAGUCAGCUCUGCAAGCACCCACAGCUCCUGCAGAAAGGGCUGCUUUCCUAGGGAGGGGCAAACAGGGUCAGGGAGAAGCUGGAGGGGAGGGCAGCGAGGAGGGGGCCAGGUCAGAUCCCAGGUCAGAGAGUGUUUCCCCAGAAGUCAGCCUGUUCUCAAGAGGCACCAGGAAGAAGGGUUCUAUGUUAUUUCUAGCACCAGUGGGUCAGAGUCCAGGGUCCUGGAGGAAGGAGGGAAACUUGAGUUAAGUUUGAGUACCAAGUAUUUGUUCUGAUUCCUGAAGAGAAAACUGUUCCCCUAAUUGCUUAUGAGGGGAAAAAAAGAGGGGAGGGAUUUUCAGUAUCAGAAGGUGUCUGCCAUGAGUUAAAAAGAUGGCAGUCGGCUGCCUUGGACACCAAGGCUGUAAUUCCUCACAUAUGCUUGUGACUCUGUGCCCAGAGGUGCAGAAGAACUUCGGGGCCUGCUUUGGAAAGCCAGGACUCAGCUCUGCUUAAGUGGAAGUGUCCCCUGGUGGGGCAGGUCCCCUUGCAGGGAGGAAACCCUGCCUGAAAAGGGCUGUAGCCAAAACCCUGUCCUUCUGGCCUCAUUUAUCCAGGAGCCUGAUACAUCUCCUGUCACUCGGGCCCCAAAGUGUGCGUAUGUGGGCUGGGACAAGAGAGGGGUCUUCUGGAGCAGGUGGCCUUCUGUGGUCUCAGAGGCCUUCAUCUCUCAUCCUCUGCAGCUCAGAAUCCAUCUCCAGGACUGUGUCUUCUCUGCUGUGUGAGGCCCAAGUGGCUCUGGCUCAGGUCUAUCUCUUUUUGACCUCCAGGUGCUAUGAGGUCCACAGGAAGGAAGUCAGGACUCUCCAGAAGGCAGGAAAUGGUGAGUGUGUGGGGCCAGGACUGCUCAAGGAGGUGGGCUGUUUAGAACUGGUGGUAACCAACUGUGGCUGGAUUCUGGCCUCCCACUGUCAGCUCCAGAGUCAGUCAGCCCAGACCUGAGUCAGAUGCUGCUACAGCUCAGCCCUUGAUGCCUUCAGGACAUGGUGUGAGCUAGUGCAGGUGGGUUCCCAGUGUGCUGCCUGGUCUGCAGCCACUUUGGCAGAACACUCUCUGUGCAGCUUGAUGCCAGCCCAGCCCCUCAGUGUGCAUUGAAGACAGUGGGCCUCAGGGGAUCCUGCCUCAGGUGUGGGGCUCCUGUGUAGAGGAUGCUGAUCUGAGGAGUCCAUGUCCGUACUCUUCACUAGGAGUCAAUUUGCCCCCAUCUCCCACACCUAAUCCCUGCUAGGGCUUUUAAUUGAUCCUUAUAAUACCUACUUUCUCCUCACAUUUCCAGACUCAACUUCCUGAUCCAGUUCAGAGCAUUAUCCACUCUUUGCUCCUCACACUGCAUUCAGUGGGCACAGCAUCAAAUAUUUGUUUCUGUUUGUGAACAUUUGCCAAGUGGUGAAAGCACAGGACAGUCACCGGAACUCCAUUGUUGCAACUCUUGCUAUUUAUUUCUGGGUGUGUGUGGGGAUACUAGGGAUUGAACUCAGGGACAAUCAACAGCUGACCUAUAUCCCAGUUCUAUUUUGUAUUUUUAUUAGAGACUGGGUCUCACUGAGUUGCUUAGUGCCUCACCAGUUGCUGAGGCUGGCUCUGAACUUGCGAUCUUCCUGUCUGGGAUUACAGGAGUGCACCACCAGCUAGCCCCACUGUCACAACCCUUUGGGUCUGUCUUUCUUUACCUUGCCCAGGCACAGAGGCUUAAUGCCUUAGGGUAAAAGUUCCCUUUCAACUCUUCACAAGGUCCUGUGUACUAGGCCACUGCCCUUUCAUGGGGCUGCCACAAGGUGCCUAUAGCUGACCUUUGUCCUGCAGGGUACAGGCAAUUUCAGGGUCAACUCCUCCUAGAGAACAGCCUGAGAUGUGGGUUGCAGCUUCUCAGGGGAGAAGCUGGAGGCCCUGGGGCUGAGGAAUCUCCUGGAAUAGGCCUCAUCUAGAUAGCUGCCUCCUAGGGACACUGUCUCCCUCAAGCCCUGUUCCCAUUCCUUGGAGACAGGUGGACAGUGAGCCUGUGGAUGCUGGUGCUAAGGGGCCAGAUCAGCAGUGAUUCCUGCCCUUGCAUUCUCUCACAGUUGUAUAGGAGGAAAACUCUCCCAGAGCAUAAGGACCACCCACCCCAGUGCAGUGCUGUGCAAACCUGAAAGCCUCCUAGACUGGAGUCAUGGUCUAGGUCUCCUGGGAGGGUGAUCAUGGAGUGUUUCAGUAAGCAAGACCAGGUGGGACUUUACCCGCCCCUUGAGCCUGACACAUCUAUGCUCCCUCAGCACCAGCCCUUUCUGUGUUUUUCACUUUGAAAUGAUCUUCCCCCUUAUUUAAGACCCAGUUUUAAAUGUAGAAUGUGUUUAUUCAGAGCUCAGCAAAGUAAACUAUUCUAAAAGACAUAAAAAGAAGAUUUAAAAAAAAAAGAUAGGUUUUUUUUUGUGUGUGUGUUUGAUAAAAAUUCUUAUUUACCUUUCUGCUUCCUCUUUCCACAUGUAGAAAGUUUGUGAGACCUCACCUUUUUUUUAUAAUUUGAUUUCAAAUGCAGUUAUGUGUCUUAGGAUCAAGAACGCUACUAGAGAAAAGAAAUAUAAAAAAAAAUCUGUCAUUGUUGCUGUAGAAAAUGAUUGCAUUUCCACAAAAGUUGUGGUAGAUAAAUUUGGACUACAAAGAUUCGUGAGAAUAUUGGUUCCUUUGUAUAAAGAAGAACUCCUUAUAGUGGACAGCUCCAUUUUGCUUCCUGUUUUUUGAACUUGGAAGAUACAAUAAAUUUUAUGGGACAAACAUGGUAAUUACAAAUCGAUUCAGUAUCAUGGAAAUUGUUAUUAAAUGAAAAUUCUGUUGUGUGAACAGAACAGAUUUUCAUGAGAUUACUGAUAAUUCAUGAGCAUCUUUUAUGAUCUCAUCUAAUUCCAGGUCUCUCCCAGAUUCCCCUUCCUAAUGCCACCCACUGGGAGUUCACCUUGUACCUUGUGAAUUUGGGGUUUACAUGGCCCUUCAGUCUAUAAUACUAUCAGAUAUUGUUUUCUACAAGCUGUUGGAGACUCCUGGACAUUUUGGCUACUCUUAAAUGUUUGUCUACUAUUUCUACUUGUAGAAAUAGUUUUCUGAAGUUCCUCAACAAACCAAUCCUGGUCUUGGACUUCACAGAAUUUAAGAAAUGAAAUUAAAGAAACAAUCGAGCUGCUUCACUGCAAUUUGAUCAAAGUACAUGCAAUUCAUUUAUCCUUUUUAUAUUGAUGCUUAUUUUGCAAUUUUGCCAGGGUGCUGAAUCCAUUCAUCUAUGGUCCACGCAGGUUCCCUGGUCUGGCUGCCAGAAACUGUUCACAUCACAGCAUAUCAUAUAGGCUACACCUUGAGGAAUGAGUUGGAAGUGUUACCUGCUUCCUUUUAGAGGGGAUUAAGGGUAGUUUUCAUUUCCUCCUUAGUGUGGUGCAGAAUCCACCAUGACGUCACUGAGCCAUGCCUUUCCUCUGAUGAUGGUUAUUAUCAUUUCAUUAGCCUGUCCAUGUUGUGUGUUCCUCCUCCGGUGUGAGUUGUGGUAGAUUGUUUUCCUCCUGGAGUUGGUCCCGUUCAUCUGAGUUCUCAAAUUGGGUCCAGACAGUUAUUCAUAAUAUUCCUUUAUGGUUUUUUUACUCUCUGUAGGAUGAAUAAUGGUAUCUUUCAUUUCUGCUGAGUAAGUUUUGUGUCUCUUUUCUUAACUUAGCUGUGGCGUAUCUGUUACAAGUAUGUCCACAAAGAGCCUGCUUUUGAGUUGAUUCUCUAUUGAUUUCCUCAUCACAGUUUCAUUGAUGUCUUUAAUUAUAUGAUAGCAUCAGAUAUAGGUUCUCAUUUCUGUUCGUUCUUUAGUUCCUGAAGUGGAGGGAUGAAGGGUUGAUUUUAGUUCUUCUUUUGUAAUAUAAUCCUUCAGCUCCUCUAAUUCCCCCUAAGCCUUGCCUGUGCUCUCUUCCACAAAGUUUCCUAAGAUGCAGUUUCAGUUUUUUCUUCUUUGAAAUAUUCAGACUGAUCCUGAGACACCCUUGACCCAUGUGCUGUUUAGAACUUUGGGAUUUAACCUGCAGAUAUCUGUAGGUCACCCAGUUGUGUUUCUGUUACUGACGCCAUGGUAAUUCCAGUGUUCCUGGUGCCAUGUUGGGAUUUGGUAGCCUUCUGCACUAACGCCUGUCGUGGCUGAAGGUGGCUGGUCGUGGAUACUUCCCUGUGAUGUUGAGAAGGAUGUGUGCUGGGCUGCUGUUGGCUAAGUGCCCUAGAGGUACCUGUGGUGGGUGUGCUGUUGAGCUAGACUGACACCACGACAGCUCUUCUGUGUGCUCCAGCUGUCACUCACUGUCAGGCGAUUGCCGCUGACUCCUUCUGUCACUGGAUUUCACUGCGUGUCCAUGUGAGUCUCUCAGUUAUUCAUCAGGUGUUUUGACCUGUUGUAGGUCGUGCAUCUUAAAGAUUCAGGCAGUUGGUUUUAAGUCUUGUUAGUGACUCUAGUGUUCAUGUUUUCUUUUUUUUUUUUUAAGCUUUUUUUAAAAUUAUAGGUGAACACAAUGUCUUUAUUUUAUUUGUUUAUUUUUUUUUUUAAUGUGGUGCUGAGGUUUGAACCCAGUGCCUCACCCAUGCCAGGCAAGUGCUCUACCACUGAGCCACAACCUUAGCCCUGUCCAUGUUUUCUUAAUAGUGGUUUAAUUCAAGCAUUUUUCCAUUGAUGAGAUGUAUAUUCCUAUUUCUGUAUAUUCCUAUUUCUGUGUAUUCUUUAUUUUGUUGCUUUUGAGAAGUGGGUAUUUGAAUAUUACAAUGGAUUCCUCUGAAAUCAGUUUCUCCCUCUAUUCAGAGUUUGCCUUUGUUGAAGGCUGUAGCCAUUGUGUGUAGUGACUUUCCAAAGUAUUUUUGGAGGCAAGAGUUUAGUUGCUCAGUGUACUCAGAGGGUCUCUCUUAGCUUGUGUUGAGUUGAGUUUUAAUGGAGUUCCAUGAGGAAAUAGCUGUAAAGAAAACAGAAGAAACAGCAAGAGCUCAGCUCCUCCAGGGCCUGUGGAUAGUGGAGCUGGGGCUGCUGCUUUAACACAUGGUAGUGCUGUUUAUACCCCUCCAGCCUCAGUUCUCUGCAGACCUGAGCCUGGAGAGCAACCAGUGCUGGGCAUGUCGGUCUUUCUUGGUCCUCUCUGAAAGGAUUCUUCCUGGCCUGCAUGGGCUAUCUCAGUUCCCUGGAAUACCUGGGUGCCGUGAACACUCUCAUUUUUUUUAUAUUCUAGGAAUUGAACCCAGGGGUGCUGUGUCACUGAGCUACAUCCCCAGGUCCUUUAAUUUUUAAUUUUGAGACAGGUUACCUAGGAUAGACUAGAACAUGUCAUCCUCUCACCUCAGCCUGCUAAAUUCCUGGGAUUUGAGCCAUACCCUACUGUGCCCACCCGAAUAUUGUAAUAUCUGAGAAAAAUGUUUAUUGGACCUUUUUUUUUGCCAGGUUCACGUUGUGAUUGUUUUGUAUAAACAUCCAUCCAGAUGCAGGAUUUUUUUUUUACUUAAAACAUGUUUAAGCAAGUCCCAAUAAUUUUUUACACCUGUUGUCUUCUGACUUAGACACAGCAGUCAGAGGCUUUUUUCAGUCAGAUAGCUCUAGAUCCCCUGUGAUGUCCAACUGCAGUGAUUCACAGGUUAAGUCCUUGGUUACUGGCAUCAAUGACAGGAGCCCACACUGAGCGCUCAGGCUACUGUAUGGAGGAUGGUGCUGAGUUUCAUGGUUUGCAGCAAGGACAGUGAAACCUCUGCAAGGCCGCCAGCCAUGUUUCCCUGAAGCUGCAUCAUGCAGUUAGGUGAAAUUUGAGGCUGCUCCAACAUCAUGAUGGUUCUGCUUGUAUUUCUAAGUUUCUGUGUGGAGCAGCUCACUCUGCUGUUUCCUUGACCUCUUGCUCCCUGGAGUUGUUGUGAUUCCUCAUCUACAUGGGGUUCCUGGUGCCAUUACUGCACCUUGGUUACUGUUAACUUGAAGCAAGUAUUUUUUUACUCAUAAAGUGCUAGUCAAAUUGCUGCUCUGUUUUUCAGAGUUGUGUGGUAUUCUGGAUCCCUUGCAAUGUUGUAUGAUAUUUUCAAUUUCUACAGUGAAAUCGUGUACUGCUGUUGUAAGUUUUGCAGCACAGGAUUUUAUGUGGAUCUACAGUGUGAACUCAUUUGGGUUAUCCCAACUGUGGGGAAUGGCUUGGGAUCCAGGAGCCAGCACUGUGAUACAUGAGAUAUGGUUGAUCACUUCAGCCUGUGAAAGUUGAGGGGUCAUGGGCCUGCCAGGAGGUUUGUGUGAGACCUGUGUGUAUUUGUGUGUGUCUUAGAGCCCUGGGACUUAUCAAGUGUGGAUCUAUGCCCAUAUUGCAUGCUUUCUGGUAGGAACAGCAGUGAAGAAACACCAUCAUGUGUUCCUGACCCCUUGCAGUAGAGACUUUAGGGAGCAGAAAGCUAGAAAUACAAGUCAAACAGGUACCACUGCCAGGUAGUCCUUAUUGAUGGGAAACGAGAUGGUGAAGGGUGCAGAGGCUGCACUGUCUCCUCCCAUCUUGGUGCCUGUUCUCUCUGCAGGUGAUAGUCUGAGUCUGAGUUGCCUAUGCCCACCUCCAUCUGCUUGGUGAAGUCCUUGAUUUUGUCCCACUGUCUGGGGCUACGUGAGUUGGCUGAAGUCUGGAACACAGGGAUUUUUUUCCUGGCUUCCCUGGUAGCACUCCUCUUGCUGUGUUGUCUGGAAGUGGUGAGAGCAGGCAUCCUUGACUUGUUUUUGUUGUCAUGGAGACAGCCUUUCAUCCUUCAGUGUAGCCUUCAGUGUAGGUUUUGUAGAUCUCUGGCACUUUUUAAGGUGUUUCAUUUUAUUACAGUUAGGUUUGCAUCCUUAUGUCAGAAGGAGUUGAGCUUUGUCAGCUGGUUUUUCUUCAUUCUUUCAAGUUUUCAGCUCCUUUCCAGAUGCACAAUGUGCAGGUAUUUUCUACAAUUCCUUCCAGUGCCAUUUCACUUGCUGACGGUGUCCUAUGAAGGACAACAUUUUCCUUUCUAAUGCUGAUUCACUUUUAAGUUGCACAUGUGGAUGAGGUGCAGUGAGCUGGUUGUACACCUGUUUCAUUGCAUCUUAAUCAGAUCAGGGCACUAGCUCUUCCAUUUCUAACAUUUAUCAUUUCUUAGGGUCAGUGGACUGCUCCCCAGCUUUAUUAUGAAAACCACAGUGACAUGUUGUGCACUAUGGCCACCUACUCUGCUGGAGAGCAGAAGUGCUGGCUCCUCCUGAGUGGACUCUGAUACCCAGCCCUGCUGUCCCCUCUCCUCUCUCCUCCUCAUCUUUGGUGAAUACCCUUGUACUUUCUGUGAAGCCAACUUGGAGCUUUGCUGUGUAAGAACACACAGUCGGUGUCUCUCUCUCUUCCUGACUUAUUUCACUUAGGAUGGUAUUCAAUAGUCCGGGCUUCGUUGCUGCAAAUGAAAGGCCUAAAAGCUAUUUUUGGUGAAAUUAGGUUUAUCUAUUAUUCUCAUGAAUCAAAUGGAUGGUACUAUAUCCCAGAAACCAUCCCCAAAUCCAGUGUUGUGAGACAUGUGGUCUGCAUUUUCUUCUAAGAAUUGGUGAGGUUCACAUCUUACUUCAGGACUUUGGUCCCCAUGGAUCUCAUGUAUGCAUGUGCUGUGAGGGGAGCAUCUGACUUUAGGUGCUGCCAUGAACAUCCAGUUUCCCAGCCAUUCAUUCUCCAGAGAUCCUGGUCCCCUGGAAUGACCGUGGCCCCUUGAGAGACAUCAUUUCCUUCUGUGUAUCUGCAUGAUCCUGGGUCCCCCUGUCCUCCUUCACUGCUCUGUGUGUCUGCCUUUAAACUAGUUCUACACUCCCUUUGUUACUCCUUUAAAGCAGGUUUUGAAAUCACUUUACACUUUAUUUUUCUUCUUCCAUUGUUGAGUUUCUUUCAAUUCCACGUGAAUCUUAGAAUAGUACUUCUUAUUUUGUAUAAAAAUGUCAUUGAUACUAUGAAAGGCAGUGAAUUGACCUCAUGGUUGAUUUUUAGGCAGAUUUACAAUUCUUUGAGCUCACAAAUGCUAGAUAUUUUUAUGUGUGUCAUUUCUUUCAGAAAUAUUUUGUGGUUUUUGUAAAGUCUUCUUGGUAAUUUCUAAAUACUUUUACUCUUGAUCUUCUGUGAUGGCUUUCAGGUUGCUCGUGUUUUAGUGGAUGUAAGUGUGUUGUGUUUAUUGUGGUGGUGUACAGCUUGGCUUUAUUUUUUAGUUCCAGGCAUUUGCGUUUUCUUCUUCAGCGCAUGCACAGUUUAGAAUUUUCUACUUACGAGAUCAUUUCAUGGCUUUGUUUCUAAGAGCCUCAGCCCUUCCUCCUCCCUGACCUAGGCAGGAAAAUUAGGGGGAGCUGGGCUCAGUGUUUCUUUUUCCCCACAAGUUUUUGCUGAUAAUGUCUUGGGUGACUCAGCCUUGGAGAAGUAGUUUCCUUUGAAUGUAGGCUCAGGAAGAUAGAGUUCUCUGGGUGUGCUGGAAAUGGCUCCUUUUCCUCCCUGUGCUGGCAGCAAAGGGCAGUUUUUUGUGAUCUUGACUGUGUGAGCCUGGCAGCAGUUCAGGAGGUAAGACGUGAAUUUGUGAGGACCCCUAAGAAUACACAGAAAAAGUCUCUGGGCUGCAGGUCAUGGUAAAUUUUAGGUGUGAGGAAAUACCACUAGACAGGCAGCCGUCCUGCUCUCCCCACUACCCACAUCCUGCCUGACUGAGGGGCGCUGGGCCUGCAGUGGGUGUCAGUGCUCAUCUGCUUGGCCUUCUCCUGGGCUUCUCUUCACCCAGAGGUGGUCCUUUCUCCAUAGGCAGCUUUCACCUUCUGUCCCACGUCUGGCUAUUUCCCAUUUGAGUCAUAUGUUGAUUAUUCUCACUCUGGGCCCUGGUGUGUGUGUGCACGUGCUCCAUCUCUCCGUGUCUCUGUCUCUCUGUCUCUCUCUGUCUCUCUCUCUACUUAGGGGCGCUUAACCACUGAGCUACAUCCCCAGCUUCUUCUAAUAUUUUAUUUAGAGCCAGGUUGUUGCCCAUUUGCUCGGGGCUUUGCUACGUUGCUGAGGCUGGCUUUGAUCCUGCAUUCGAUUGUCCUGCCUCAGCCCCCUGAGCCGCGUGCUCGGCACCCUAACUCUCUGUGUCGCAUAUUGUAGGUGUCUCCCCUCUUGCAGGUGUUUUCAUCUUUUUAUUCCUCUAAUUUUAAUGUUUGAAUUUCUCAUUCUUCAUUAUUGCUUACUCUUGUUAUGUGAAAAUGUUUUCCCUAUUCCUCUAGGAAAAUAUUUCCUGUAAGCUUCUGAAAGUGUUUUAGUUUUGUAUUUCACAUCAGAAUCUGUAAUGAAUUCAUAUUUUGUCUAUGGAAUGGAGGGAAGUAAUGCAUUUUUUAAAAAUUAUAUACCAGUUUGUUUUGACUCAUCUUCUGAAUUGCUUUGAAUGUCUCCACUUGUAUACCUUACCUGUUAUGUUAUUACUCAUCUAUAUGAAUUCCAAGGCACUGAUUUUUUUUUUCUUUUGUUCUCUCUGUUUAUUGCUCUGCUAAUUCUAUGCUGUUUCCAAUAGUAUAUCUUAGAUGUUCUGUAUUUAUAGUCACGAUGUUUAAGUGACACCAGACUAUAAAUACAGAACAUCUAAGAUAUACUAUUGGAAAUAGCAUAAGAUUAGCAGAGAGAUAAUUAGAUAAUUAAUCAGAAGAAAUUAUCAACUUAAAAAUUCAUUUUCUUUCUCACCAUUGCACAAACACCAAAGUGUGUUUACACAGUCCUAGAAGGAAUAGCGUAUUACAGACCUAGGCUAAGUGGAGACGGUGCUUCCCAGGUACAGCCUUGCACAGCAUCUUACGUAACAAGAUACCAAAGGUGAUCAUGCAGUAUGUUUGUUUGUACCACCAUCACUAUAAACACAUCAGUUAUCUCUUUACUACGGAUAACCAUGCAUAUGUAGCAUUAUUAACCCCAAAUGUCUUUGACCAAAACAUAGUCAUGUGGCACAUGAGUGUAUAUUGGAAAAGCCAACAGUCUGCUGUCUACCACAGUUGGAUAGGUGUUACACAUUUCUUAUUUUCAUUUGGCUUGGAAAAGUACUUUCUGGUGAUUACUAGAAAUUCUGUUUGUUAAAUGUCAGUAAAAGUAUUUGACACUUAUCCAACUGUAUCUUGAUAUUAAUCAGAAUAAAUUAUCAAAUUGUUUAUUUAUCACUGUUGUUGCUUACUAGUUGAUUAAAUUUGAUGUUGAAUAAAGCACCUUAAAUUCUACUUAUUCUUUUGCUGUAGUCACACAGGAUGAGCUCAAUCCCCAGUUACCAUGUUGUGAGUACCUGGAUGAAAUGUGGUCUACUAGGGCAGUUCCUAGACUCUUUGCUCAGAGGAUUCUGUUUUGGUAGGAAGGAUUUUGAAUUUUUUAACUUCUAACAUAAUAUUGGAGCAAAAUAAUAGAAUUUCCAAAGGAAAGCAAAGUUUCAUUAAAUACACUCUUACACUGUGAUUCAGCCUUACUGCUUAGUUCGUUGGGAUCCCUCUCCAUCCUUAGUUCCCCUUCCAGCAAAGAUGCAACUUUUGUCAGUAGGCAUUUCUUACAGUAGGUACUAUCAGGACUACUAUUAACUCUCUUCUGCACAUGAGGUAGUAUGGCUUCAUUAUAUCGCUCAGUUGGUAGAAUGUUUGCCUGGCAUGCAUAGUGACCUGGGUUCAAUCCCCAGCACCCCCAAAAAAGGAAAAAAAAAUGAUGUGCAGACAUGCAACCUUUGAAGACAUUAUGGGUGACCCAGGAGCAUACCUUACUCUUUGUUCUCCACAACAAGAAGAGUAUUUUUGCUCUGCUCUUAAUUUUCUAAGUACUUUCAUUCUUAUAUAAGAAUUAUUCUGUUUGAAGACUGAGUACGGAUAGAGAAUACAAGUUUUGAUGACCAAGUAAUGAAAGAGAUAUUGGAGGCCACAAAAUCAUAUGAACAUCUUGCAUGUAGAGAGUAGAUUCUUCAUGCUGUCAAUCUCUCCUGGCCUGCACUGUACUUUUGUAAUAUUUUAGACCUCAGUGGCCUUUGAGGAUGUGGCUGUUAACUUCACCCAGGAAGAGUGGGCUUUGUUGGAUCCUUCCCAGAAGAGUCUCCACAGGGAUGUGAUGCAGGAAGUCCUUAGAAAUCUGGCUUCUAUAGGUAAGAAUGAUAACAUUUAUUUACAUAAUCAAAUGCAGAUUAUGUGGACUUUUAUUUUUCUUCUCACAAGUUAAGAAUGUGUACUUUACUCUGGGAGCAAAUGAGGCCAGAUGUCAUUGCACUUAGCAGUAUGAUUCCUAUGAUUUAGUCUUUUUUUUUUCUUUUUUCUUUUUUUGUGCGUACUGGGAAUUGAACUCCGGGGGCUCCACCAGUGAGCCACAGUCCCGGCCCUAUUUUGUACUUUAUUUACAGAAAGGGUCUCACUGAGUUGCUAAGUGCCUUGCUUCUGCUGAGGCUGGCUUUGAACUUGUGAUUCUCCUGCCUCAGCCUCCCAUGCCACUGGGAUUACAGGUGUGCACCACAGCCGGGGUUGUAAUUUAUUCUUAAACUACAUUAAUUCAUAAUGAUUAUUCUGGGCCAACAUUUUAGGAAACAAAUGGGUGGACCAGAACGUUGAAGAACAGAACACAAUUCCUGGGAGAGAUCUAAGGUAAUUUAUGCUCCCAAGAGGAAGCAGAAUCCCUUAAGGGAACUGUGCAUGUCUUAUAACUUAAAGAACUAGCUAACAAAUCAAAUAAACGCAAAUGAAAUAUUUUUAUUCCUGGAAAUUUUGUAUUGGAAAUGUGAAUUUUAAGGAAUAGGAUUGAAUUUUAGUAUGUUCAAUAUAAUUGAUAUGCUGCCAGUACUAUUUGCUGCAUUUGUGAUACUACUCUUUCAGUUCUACCUGUGGGGAAUCAGGGUUGCAGACUAAUCAGUGCAUUUACCUUCAAAGUUUAGACAUGACUGUAAAUCCGGACUCCCUGAUGUUAGUAAUGAUAUACUUCUAAGGCUUAUUAAUAAAUACAAAAGAAAUAAAGAGCCAACCCUUAAUAUUGCUUGUAACUUUUUAUAGAAAUCAUUGUAAGCUCUGGAAAAUUAAAAUUAGGUACUCAGUGUGGAAAAACCUUCAGUGAGAUUUCAAAUUUACUUUAAAAAAGGAUAUUCCUACUAGAGUAAGUCCAUGUGAAAGCAACUGUGUAGACACAUCUUCCUGUUACUUUUUAUUUUAAUAGCCACAUCAUACCAUCUGAGAAUGAGGAGAGUAGAAGGAAGCCAUCUGAACUUAAACAGAAGAGAAAAUCUUUAACUUCUCUCACGAGUAUUCAAAGACAAGUAGCAGUGCACACCGUAAGUGGACCUUAUAAGUGUUUGACAUGCGGAAAAGAGUUCAGUUGUUCCAGGUCUUUUCGAAAACAUGGACAGUCUCACUCAGGAGAGAAACCAUAUGGAUGUGAACAAUGUGGGAAAGCCUUCUCUUGUUACUUUUUCCUUCAAACACAUGAACGAACUCAUACUGGAGAGAAGCCCUAUGAAUGUAAACAAUGUGGGAAAGCCUUCACUAGUUCCUCUUACCUUCCAAUACAUGAAAGAACCCAUACAGGAGAGAAGCCCUAUGAAUGUAAACAGUGUGGGAAAGCCUUCAUAAGUUCUGCUUACCUUCAAAUACAUAAACGGAUUCAUACAGGAGAGAAGCCCUAUGAAUGUAAACAAUGUGGGAAAGCUUUUAAUAAGUACAGUAAUCUUCACACACAUGAACAAACUCAUACAGGAGAGAAGCCCUAUCAGUGUAAACAGUGUGGGAAAGCCUUCACUAGUUCCAAUUACCUUCUAUUACAUGAAAGAACUCAUACAGGAGAGAAGCCCUAUCACUGUAAACAAUGUGGGAAAGCCUUCACCAAGUCCAGUCACCUCCAUACACAUGAGCGAACUCAUACUGGAGAGAAGCCCUAUCAAUGUAAACAAUGUGGGAAAGCCUUUGCUACAUCCACUCACCUCCACACACAUGAACGAACUCAUACUGGAGAGAAGCCCUAUCAGUGUAAACAGUGUGGUAAAACCUUCACUAGUUCCAAUUACCUUCCAGUACACGAACGAACUCAUACUGGAGAGAAGCCUUAUGAAUGCAAGGAGUGUGGUAAAGUUUUCAUUAGUUCCGCUUACCUUCAAAUACAUGAGCGAACUCAUACUGGAGAGAAGCCCUAUCAAUGUAAACAGUGUGGCAAAGCCUUCAAUACAGUUGGUCAUCUUCAUAAACAUGAACGAACUCAUACUGGGGAGAAACCCUUUGAGUGUAAACAAUGUGGAAAAUCCUUUACUAGUUCUUCUUACCUUCAAAUACAUCAACGAAUUCAUACUGGAGAGAAGCCCUAUGAAUGUAAACAAUGUGGGAAAGCCUUCACUACAUCCAGUCACCUCCACAAACAUCACCGAAGUCAUACUGGUGAGAAGCCCUAUCAAUGUAUACAGUGUGGGAAAGCCUUCACUAAUUCCACUCACCUUCAUGCACAUGAGCGAACUCAUACUGGAGAGAAGCCCUAUCAAUGUAAACAAUGUGGGAAAGCCUUCAUUAGUUCUGCUAACCUUCAAACACAUGAACAAACUCAUACUGGAGAGAGGCCUUACCAAUGUAAGGAAUGUGGGAAAGCCUUCAGUAGUUCUGCUUACCUUCAAAUACAUGAACGAACUCAUACUGGAGAGAAGCCCUAUGAAUGUAAACAAUGUGAGAAAACCUUCAUUAGUUCUGCUUACCUUCAAAAACAUGAACGAAUUCACACUGGAGAGAAGCCCUAUGAGUGUAAACAGUGUGGGAAAGCCUACACAACAUCUAGUCACCUUCACACACAUAAACGGACGCAUACUGGAGAGAGGCCCUAUGAAUGUAAACAGUGUGGAAAAGCCUUUGCUAGGUCCACUCACCUUCAUACACAUGAACGGACUCAUACAGGAGAGAAACCCUAUCAGUGUAAACACUGUGGAAAAGCUUUCACUAAGUCCAGCAACCUUCACAUACAUGAACAAACUCACACUGGAUAGAAGUUCUGUGAAUAUAAACAGUGUGGUGAAACCUUCAGUUAUUCAUCUGCAUAGACAACGAAUAAACUCAUACUGAAGAGAAGUCCUACAAAUGAAUCUGGUAAAACCUUCAGUAGGCCCAUUCACCUUCAAAAAUAUGAACAAACUCAUAAGGGAAAGAAGCCCUGUGUUUGUAAAUGGGGUAAUAAAGUCUUUAUUUCAAAGCAUCAACUCAUACUAGACGGAAACCCUAUUAGAGGAAAGAAUGGAAAAUGCCUUACAUUAUUAGUUCCCAUUGUACGAAUGAAAAAAUUUGUGCUGGAGAAAAGGCCUUGAAUGCAAAAAAAAAAGAGUAGCAAAUCAUUUAAUAUUUCUAGUCACCUUCAAUGACAAGAAAGGACUCACACUACAACAAAUCUGAAUGAGUAUAUGUAAGUUCUUAGUUGCCUUCAGAACCAUUUUGCUUGCUCUGGCAAAUAAACCUCCUGAAUGUGUGACAUUCCAUUUUCCUUCCUAUGCAUGAAAGUACUCAUAAUGCAGAAAAAGCCUUGAAUGUGAAAAAGGUCUGAUUUCCCAGUUUUUUUGAAAGACAAAAGACAAAAAAACAAAACAAAACAAAAAACGGUGAAAACCCUAUGCAAGUAAUGGAUCUUAUAAUGGCAUCUGGUGUUCCAGUUUUCUUCAUGUUACUCAACCUUCUAUUGCUGUGUCAAAACACGAGAAAUUCAAGUUAAGGGGAGAAGAUUUCCUUUGGCUCACAGAUCACAGGUUUCAGUUCAUCUUGGGGUGGCUCUUUUGUUUGGUCCGAGAUGACUUAGAACACAUUGUUGGAAGAGCAGAGCAGAGCUGCAUAUGUAAUGGCAGCAGGGAAAAGAGAGAGGGGAGGAGGAGGGCACCAGCAGCCAGAUACCCAGUGACUGUUUCUGUUUAAGGUUACUGUUUUCAUAAGUUGUCUAAGUGCAAUGGUUAAAAAAAAAAAAUUAGGCAGAAAUAAAUGUGACACAUGCUUAUGAAUUAUGUGAUUUAUAGGUCUCAUAUAUAUAUAUAUAUAUAUAUAUGUGUGUGUGUGUGUGUGUGUGUGUGUGUAUUUAUGUAUCAUAAUAUAUUUCAUUUAUUUCUGAGUUAAAAUACUGAAUGUUUAACUGUUAUCAUGAGGUUGAAAUUUAUCCAUUCUGGUUUUUUGUUUGUUUUGUUGGUUGGUUUGUUUUAAUUUUGUGAUAACAAAAAAGAUUUGAAUCUGGGGCUGGGGCUGUAGCUCAACAGUAGCACACUUGCCUGGCAUGUGUGAGACGUAAGAUUUGAUUAUGAGCACCAUAAAUAAAUAAAUAAAAUUAUAAAGGUUUGCAACAACUACUUAAAAUGUUUCUCUUUUUUUAAAAAAAAAAAUUGAAUCUAUUAUUACUCGUGUCUGUUUUCACUUUAAAAAUUGUUAUGGGAGUGCAUAGGGUCCUAGAAUUACAUAUCCUUAAAUUUUUGGUAUAAGACAAACUUUUAAAGUUUUGCCAAUUUCGUAGGUUUUCACUACAAGUGAGAGUUGCUGAGACUUAGAAUUUCUAAUUGAUGGGUAUGAUUUUCUAUACAAAUUGUAUGAGCAUAUAAAGUUGUGUUGAUGCAACUAUUACAAAUAUGAACAAUUUUUAAAAAUUCAAAGAUUUUAUGAUAUGGAUAUAAAAAUAAAAAAGCAGAAGGAAAAGAGUGAAGUGAGAUGUCUAAAGGAAUAUGUAACUAUGAGCAUGUUCUUAUAAGAUCUAUUCAUUUGAUGAAACAGGUUUUUUUUUUGUUUUGUUUUGUUUUUGUUUUUUAAGAAAAUUGGGUGGUAGAAUCAGAUUUUCUCUUAAAGUAGAACUAUGGGUCGGGGCUGGAGCCUGAGCACAGUGGGAAAGCCCUGGCCUGGCAUCUGUAAGGCUCCACCAUGUGUGGUUCAAUCCUCAGCACCACAUAAAAAUAGAUAAAGAUACUUUGUGUUCAUCUGCAACUAAAUAGAUACUAAAAAAAAAAAAAAUUUUAAAAAGUAGGAUGGUGGAUUAUUCCUGAAUGAGCUAUGGGCACUACGGGGCAGAUCUGCUGGAUUAAGCAAGUUAUAGAUCCAAAUAAGUCAUAAAACUUUAGAGGAAAUUUCGAAGUAUUCAUGCAACAUGAAUUUUGUAAAAGGAAUUUUCUUAGUAGCCAUGUUGACUCUAAGUUAGAGGAAAUUAUAUCUAGAUUUUUCUAAAAAUUUGAGCAUUAAUAUUUUAUAUAAAUCAGAAUUAAUUCACUAUACUAAAAAUCACAUAAGUUUUCUAGACCUAGUGUUAGGGGGAAAAAGGAUGGAAGAUGUUUUUUAAUUUGUAUUUUUUUUAAUUUCUGAAAGUUUUUUUUUGUUUGUUUUUAAAUAUUCAACCAUGUCCUGGACAGCAGUUUUACAGUUUAGAGUAAUAUUUUCCUUCAAUAUAAUCUGAUUUUUCUUAAUGUGUCUGUAUUGUUCAGGGUAACUGGACAACUUUAUUCGUUUUUGUUGUUGCUGUUGUCUUGCUUUUUGUUUUUGUACCAGGGAUUGAACUCUGGGGCACUUGGCCACUAAGCCACUUUCCUGGCCCUAUUUUGUAUUUUAUGUAGAGAUAGGUCUCACUGAGUUGCUUAGUGCCUUGCUAUUGCUGAAGCUGGCUUUGAACUCAUGAAACUCCCGCCUCAGCCUCCCAAGCCACUGGUAUUACAGGUGUUGCCAUCACGUCUGGCCAACUUUGCUUCAAUUUUUUCUAAGAGUCACAUAUGCCCUGUUCAAUGCAAUGAUUUUCUUAUAUAACUCAUAAACUUGGGCACAAAUUCUUCUAGUAUCUAAUCAAGUUUAAAUUACUUAAUGUGAUUCAGCUUUCAGGUUAUCAGUGGGCUUCUUGUAAAGAAAAUCGCCCAUAUUGCAGGAAGUGUUUCUGUACCUUUUGUAAUUGUCCUAGGAAAACAAAGCUUUUAUUUUCUUUCAAAAUAAUAUCUUGUUUGCUUUAUUAUUUUAAUUUCUAUUAUUUAGCAAUAUGAGUCUUGAAAUAGUUAAAUUUAGGGUUUUAUUUUCUUUUGCAUUUAUUUUCUUUUAAAGUUUUUCAGUUGUUACUGCCUUUGAAUGAAUAUGAUUUCUCAAUGGUUAGUGUUUUAACUACAUUUUAAAACUGUUUCAACAUCUUUGGCAGGACUUCCCCAGAAUCCAAGUUCUAAAUUAAGAUUUUUUUUUUUAACUUAAAUUUGGGAUAUUGCUGAGACCCCUAGAUCUUCUCAAAUGUUUAUUUUAUAAAAAAGGGAAAUAUUAAACUAAUCAGGCUAAUUUGAUGUGUUGAAUUGUAUAUGAACAUUUUCAAAUUAUAUAGUAAUCAUAAAUCCUUUAAAAGUCAUAUUGAUAUGGAUAUGGUGUCAAUGUGAGUAUGUUGGAGAGUACCUGAAGUUUCUAAAUGACUGUUGGUCCUGGCCUGAUGUUAUUAUUUGGAAAUGAUGCAUACAAAGGAAAUAAUUGAAUUGUAUCUUAAUUAUGAAAUUUCAUCCAAUUUUUAACUAUAUAUGUUCUAAGUCAUUGUUAUAAAUAAAGUUGUUAUUUUGCUUUGUCUGUAUAUAUAAACUUUGAAAUCAGAUUCAUGGAAAUGAUUGACAAGUAUGCUUUCAUAUAGGUUUCUGAUCAUCUUAAGACCCAUGGCCUGAAAAAAUAUUUUCAUUACUUUAAUAAAGAAACUGAGUAACUAAAAUUUUUAGAUUAGAAAACAGAACAAGAAUUAAUUAUAUGAUACCAAAGUAACUGAUCAUUGUAUCUAUAUGAGUUUUAUGUGAAACGUUAUUCUUUAUGUAAAUGUGUUUGUUUUCAAGAUUUAGGAAAACAUUUUCUCAGGCUGUCUGGAGUCUGCAGCAAUUUGCUGAGUGCUGUGAUCUGGGUGUGGAGUAGGCAUGUCUCUAAAGGUCCUAGUUUGGCCUCUUGGUCCCAGUGUGGUGACAUGGGAGGUGGUGAAACCUUUAGAGGGUCCCAGUGUUGUGAUAUGGGAGGUGGUGAUACCUUUACUAGUUAGAGGUGCUUAGACGUUUGGUGCUGUGCGCUUGCAGGGAUUAGGCCUUCCGUGAGGGACCCUGAUUCAUGCUCAUGAGGGGAUUGGUACAGGAGCUAGAGCCUGGCUCCCCCCCGGCUCAUCUGGCUUCCUGGUUGGUGAGGUGACCUGUUUCCCACAAGAGCUCCCAACAUUGCCAUUUACCAGGGUGCAAUGCAGCCCACAUGGCUGGGCCAGAGCAAGCAGCAUGCUCUCAAACUCUCUCAACUAUGAACUAAUGAACUUCUCUGACAUAUGGAGAGUGAAUGGAGAACAUGGUGCCAAGGAGGAGGCUCUUUAAUCAGACUACCUGAGGGCAGGAGGCAGCUUUGGAGUUAGGGACCAGGCAGAGGUUACAAGAGUCUGGAGAUGCAGGUAGAAAAACCCUGGUGUGUUCCAAGCAGAUGGUUAUAGGUGGCCCUGGGGAGGGCUCAGAAGAUGAGCAGACCAGGUCCAAGACCUUAGAGUUUGGAGGAGGGGAGGAGAGCAGAUUGUGAUGGGAGUGAGGGCUCUGCUGGAAACUGAGCCAAAGACCCCCUGGUUUCACCAUGGCAGAGAAUCUGCCUGCAUUGUGCCCAUGGCCUGAGGCACUAAGACAUCAAAGGAGAGGUCAAAGCAGGAAAGCAUUCUGGCCACAGCCUGGGCACCAUUUGUUGUGUUUACUGUGAAAUGCAGGAACAAAGGAGAGCAGAGCAGAGUCUGAGCUGAGCUCUCACUCCACAUGUGGUCCCACCAUCACCAGCCACUGUGAUGUUCUGCCACCAAGAACCCUGACCAGAACUCAGCAAUGCCAGUGCCUUGUCUCUGGACCUGAGAAAUGGACCUGAACAAACCUUUUUUUCCUGUAAAGUAACCUUGCAUGCGGCAUUUUAUUAUCGCAUCCAGCACAGCAGCUAUGAUUGUGAACCAAAGUGGAAAUGUUUACUUUUCCACCAUGCUUGAUACUCCAAAAUUCAAAAACUAAAAACAAAUUCAAAGUAUUCUUACUUUUUUGGCAAUGCGGUUACUUACAAGAGAAUUUCCUCUUUAUAACAGGGUAAAAUUGAAAACAAUUAUUUUAAAGAAAUUUUCAGUGGGAUGUCAUUUAAAUUUUUUAUAGAUACAGAGGACAAGACUAAAAUCUGUCUUGGUAUACAGCUUUUUAGGCUGAAUUUUAUUUUUCUUUUCAUGAUGCUGGGGAUCAAACCCAGGACCUUUUUGUGAGGCAAGCACUCUAUCAACUAAGCUAUAUCCCUAGCCAGUCUGAAAAUAUUUUUUUUCAAGACCAAUCUGAUAUGUAAGUAUUCUCCAAGCUUCUAUGCAAAUAAUCUGGUAAAACUUGAUAAAACUGAUUUUGCAAACAAAUUGGUUUUUUCUCUGAAUAUUUUGUGUAUACUGGCUUGAUGGUAUAGAGAAAAUUAUUUCCAAAGAAAAACUAUAACACCCAUUGUGGUUAGUGACACUACUCAUUGUUUUCAAAUUUAUAAUACAUGUGUAUAGAUUUGCCUAGAUCUGAAAUUUUUCUCAUCCCCUCUAAUGUAGCUACACAAGUCUCACUUUGUCCCCUGGGUUCUUUCUGUUCAUAUAGGUUGCCUUGAAUCAGAACAACUGCACUAACUGAACUGUUAUCCUCCUUUUGUUUUUAUUCUAUAUUUUUUCCUUAAAAACUUUGUACCUAUUUUCUACCAAACUUGUGCAGAAGUUCAGCUGCUAACAGCAUAAUGCUAGCCAGGUUCCUUCAGUUUCUCACCAGUGUCCAUCAGAGAGACAAGAUUGAAUGCAACCUUGGUCUCCAGGAAAGCAGCCUGAGCCACUCCUUCCAGGUCCCUUGCUGUGCCGGUGUGGCUUGGAUCUAGACACUGAGUCCUAGUUGACAGUCACUUGUGUCUGAAAUAGGACCAGACCAACCACUGGGCAGGUCCAUCCUGGCACUGGGAGACAACCAGAACCAGAGACAACACGGCUGAAUGACAAGGAUCUUACAGAAAGAUCUUUAUCAAAGGCGGAGGUAGGAAUGCUGUCUGCUUAAGAUGGAGUCACUUGUCUCAACCCCUGCAAAAAUAAAUAAAGUCAGGAGGCUAUGAAAGAAGGAAUCCCAUGCACUUAUAUCUGAUAAUAACUGUCAACGAGAGAUUGUCAGGACCACAACCUUGCACAAACCCUGCUGCAAACACCUGCAUUUAUAUAUCAUCACCGUAUCUGGAAAUGAUAAGAGAUCAAAAAUAAAAGGCAUUUGGGCUUUUUUCUUGCAUCUCAGCAUCAUCUCUUCAUUUUGAAAACGCCUCUUGAUUUGAAAGUUGUUAUUCUCUUUCCUUUACCUCAUAUAAUCAUGUCUUUUUCAAAGCUCAGAGCCCCAGGGACCACCAUAGGGAUGAUAUUCGAGAGGGUUAAAUCUCAUUAAUCACUAUGAGAAAGGAAGCAGUAUUAACUCCUUAAAUCAGUGAGAAACUGAGUGUUAACAAAGUGACCAUUGUCUCUCAGGAUGUGGGAUAGGAAUUUUUUAAAAUAUUUUUUUAAAUGUUGAUGGACCUUUAUUUUAUUCAUUUAUUUAUAUGUGGUGAGGAGGAUUGAAACGGAGGGCCUCACACAUGCUAGACAACUGCUCUCUACCACUGAGCUCUCUACCACUGAGCCACAACUCCAGCCCCAGGAUAUGAAUCUUGAGCCCGAAAUUCCAAAGUCUUAAACUAAUUCCUACGUCUACUGUCCUUAGUAAUAACAGGACAAGCAAACAACAGCAACACCAGAGGCUGUGGCUCUAGUCAAAAGAAUUUGUGUGUAGAGCAGUUUGUAUAGAUCAAUUACUGAAAGGGAAAAACUCCCAAUAACCAUUUCUCACAAGAAGGAGAACACCACCAACCUCCUAGGUUUCCUUCUUAUAUCCCCUUCCAAGUUACUUUUCUGUCCUCCCCAAAAGUAUACAUUUUCUAACUUUUGAGCGAACAUUGCUUCUUUUUAAACAUUCGAAUGAAAUCAUACAAAAUAUUCUUUCGUUUGUUUAUUAUGUCUAUUUUAUAUAUAUUUUGAAUGUGAUUGCUGUAUUAUAUUCCAUUUAAAGAUAUAUAAUGCAUUUUGUUUAUUUUAUGAUAUUCAUUCUUUGUUGUUUCCUGUUUGGAGAAGUGCCAAGUAUUGUUGGUGUGAGAUGUCCUUGGCAUGGUGAACCUGUUGAGGCAUUUCUGCUGCUCACGUAGCUGAGUGGAACCACUGGUGCACGGUGUGUGGGUCCUUCUCUGGCACAUACUGCCUAGGAUCUGUGAAGAGGGUUGUAGCAGCAUGAGCACAGCAGUGCAUGAGGGUUCCCCUUGCCCUGUGUCCUCACAGCAUUUAUAUUGUCAGUGGAUUUCACAUUAGCCAUUGCGUAAUGGCAUUACAUGCUAGUUGGAAUUUGGAUUCUACUCAAGAGUAACAAUGUAGAACAAGUUUCCAUCAUUCUUGGCCAUUGUUUCUUUUAAUGAAGCACCUAGUCUAAUUUUUGCCCAUUUUCCCCUACGAGUUGUUUAUGUUUUUCUUACUGUUUUUUUUUUUUUUUCUUAUUUAGAGAGCAGGGGUACAUGUUCCAUACGCUCUUCAGGUCUGAUUUGGAAUCGAUAUCCUGAUAUCGAUAUCCUUGAUAUCCUGGGCCCUGCUCCUCCAUCCUCACUUGGGCCCAUGUUCUUCUCCACUUUUCCAUGGGAGAACACUCGUUUAGAGAAGGGAACUAUAAAUAUGGGAUAGAGAAGGAGAAGCAAGAUUUAAAUCACGAGAGAAUAAGACAAAAGAGGUCAAAGGCAACCCUUCUAAGGGCUAGUUCAUCCAUCCUCCUUACAACAUUCCCAGAGGGUACUGACAGGAGCAGGAGGGUCCACGAGUUCCCCGGGUUCUUCUUGUGCCCUAGCAAAAGAGAGACAGAACUGGGUUUCUAGUGUCUACUUCCAUGGAAACCUGAAACUAAGAUGAGCAUACACACCCUGAUAUAGACAGGGCUGCAGGAGAUGAAGCUGUAGGUGCCUCCUGUACAAACUGGAGUGGGUUGUUACAUGGGUAUCAUGUGACCAUAAGUGAGGACCACUUUUCUCCAUUGAGAACCCACUGUGCUCUGAUUCCCUAAAAAGAGUGAGGCUCUGGUGAGACAGAUUGCCAGAGCUCUUCCAGGCUCCAUAACUGUGAAAUAAAUGUCUGCUAUUUGUAAAUCAUGUAGGCUACAGCACUUGGUUUCAGCAGCCAGAGUAAACUGAGACCAAAGUGAUACCUCAGCAUUUGUGCCAUUGAGAAGUGAGUCACUGACCACUUGGUGUCAUGAGCUACUGGGGAGGCUGCCUACCAUACAGCCUACAAAGACACAUGGGUCAGAUUCAAACUAUAGGGAGAUGCAUUGGAAAUUUUAUUGCUAGAGUAUGACAAUAUCUGUAUUUCAUCUAAUUUCAACCUACAUCUCACUGAUGCAGAAAGGAAAAUAAAACCCAGAAGGGAAGUGAUCUGUCCAAGAUCACACUGUUGGAACCAGGGUGGUUAAUUUAUUCCCUACUUCCUUACACUGUCUUGAAGUUCUUUAUCUCUAACAUUGUGAGUUGUCUAGUGUAACACCAAACCAUGAGAUUUAAAUUUCAUCUAAUGGACACUUGAAUUCCCUAGGAAGUCAUUCACACUGUGGUCCCCUUCAUACACGCUUGAGAAAUUCACACAGACCAAGCCUCAUUAGUGGCUCACAGGGAGGGCCACCCAGUUACAGCUCUGGGUGGCUCUCAGCAUGGUUGCUGUGGAGCAUACACUGGGCACUCACAGGUCUGUUUUCUGUCUACGCUGGGGAUGGCUUCAAGAACUCAAGUGUUAUGAGGCUCUUCAUGAUGACUUUGAAUACUGGUAAGUGCUGUUGAUACACAGCUAACAAAACACUUUGAAAUGGAGUAUUACGCAGCACUAAAAAAUGACAAAAUCAUAGAAUUUGCAGGGAAAUGGAUGGCACUAGAGCAGAUUAUGCUUAGUGAAGCUAGCCAAUCCCUAAAAAACAAAUACCAAAUGUCUUCUUUGAUAUAAUGAGAGCAACUAAGAACAGAGCAGGGAGGAAGAGCAGGAAGAAAAGAUUACAUUAAACAGAUACAUGAGGUGGGAUGGAAAGGGAGAGAAAAGGGAAAUUGCAUGGUAAUGGAGGGAGACCCUCAUUGUUAUACAAAAUUACAUAUAAGAGGUUGUGAGGGGAAUGGGAAAAUAAACAAGGAGAGAUAUGAAU
rnacentral:lncRNA from 1 species